rnacentral:lncRNA from 1 species
UGCUCACAAUUAAUCCGACUACACACGAGCUUCUCUCCCUGGCCAAGACACAAUCAUAGUAUGAUGAAGAACAUGGCACUAGCCGGCAAUGGUAUGAAGAAGUUAAUCCUCGCUGUUCUCUUACUCUGUCUAGUUAUAGGGCAGAUACAAGUGGAAGCUAAGAGCUGCUGCCCAUCCACCACUGCAAGAAAUAUCUACAAUACCUGCCGUUUCGGGGGUGCAUCCCGUUCAAUGUGUGCAAAACUGUCAGGCUGCAAAAUUAUCAGUGGGAACAAAUGCAAGCCCCCUAACGACCACCUCACCCUUGACCCGGACACUGGUAAAUAAUAAAUUUAUCUCACUUGAUUUCUUCGUGAUUUGAGUCGUUAAUGUAUUUUCCAUCUGAUGAAACGUAUUGGUUUUGCAUUGAAGAGGAAGUUAAUGUGCUUAACUUCUGCAAGUUGGGGUGUGCGUCGUCUGUGUGCAACAACAUCAACGCUGGUAAGCACCUUUUGCUCAGACGGAGAAAACAAUAAUCAUUAAUUAGCGGCAGCUAGAAUCCUAUAAUCUAAUAUAUUUAUAUAUAUAUAUAAUUUUAUCAGCUCUGGGAAAUGAAGAGGCGAACGAUGCCGUUGAGAGUUGCGACCAAGCCUGCUCUAGCUUCUGCAGCGUGCAUGUUGGCAGCGCCACCGUGGUUGCUUAAGCAAAUGCAUGCAACUAGAUCGUCCUUGUGCUGAAUAAUUGGAUAUCGUAUCCACUUAAAGCUGCCUUGUGUAGUACGUCUUUGUUUGUGUCUCUCUUUAUAUUCCACUAAGGUCGGUGAUCUUGAUGCCACACACACUCAGAUGUGUGUUCAUCUCCAGAUACUACUCCAUGCUACCUGCCCUUUUUGUUUUGUUCAAUAACUGGGUAUCAUAUCCCGGCCAGUGUGCCAUCUAUUUUGUGUUUGUUUCCUUCUAGUUCCAAAGGGGUCAUCAUGAUGUUACCUUCUUUCGAUAUGGUGCUUUGCAUGACAACUGUUGUAUGGUACCAUCUUGUUGGCCAAUAAAUACAUCUUAUCCUAUGACCCUUUGCUAUGACCCUUUGCAAAUAAGUACAAGAUUGUUAUAAGCGUCAAUACUCAGUAUAAUUGAUCGCUGCUGUGAGUUCCCUUUCAGCUUAUCGUAGGCACACAUUAUUGCUAGCACGGUAAAGACAACCAACACGAAUGAUGAAGUAAACGUAGCGGUACUUUUGUAUACCAACACCCUUACUUAAAUGUACUGGUGUCAUUCCCUACUGGCACAUAUAUUCUUAUAUGCUAGCCAGAUUGGAAAAUUAACCAAUUAAAAUAAUUAUUUCAAGAUAGAAAUAACUUAUCGGCUUCUCGAAGCAUGUGUAAUUUUAAUUCAAGGACUCAAUGGAAGUUGAAUCACUUCAUCUAGAUUGCCUUCUGGAUUUUGGUUAACUAAAUUUAACAUUUGUGUCGGGGGGAAAUAUUAACGAUUUUCUUACGCUCUCUAAUUAACGGAUACAAGGGCUAGGGCCCACCCCUAAUACCCAUAAUCUCCGCUAACAACACAUCCCAGAGGCACUCCGCUCCGCCUCGCCCGACUUCAGGGUCGCAGGGUCGGACGUGCCCGACCCCCCAAGGCCUCGCCUCGUCUCAGCCGAUGGAGUUCCGCCUCGCCCGACCCUGAGCCCAACGGAUCGGACGCGCCCGACCCCUCGAAGCAGGACUCCGCCUCGCCCGACCCUGAGCGCAAGCGGUCGGACGUGUCCGGUCCCACCUGACAGAGCUCCGCCUACCCGAAGGUACGAGCAGGUCAUCAGACGGAAGCGCGGGCUCUGUGAGUCCCCCUGGGCUCACCCAACCGAUGGGACCGCGCAAGCUUCCAGAUACAGUUCUGACACAUGGAGAGGCGCCCGCGUUCCUCGACAUGACCUGUCAAAAUGUUGGUCUGCGCACUGCUGCCACGACUGCACAGGGCUACACCUGCACCGUCCUACCCCACUGUGACAUCUGUCAUAGGGCACUCAUCGCUCAUACCAUCUAAUGGAGGAGGGAAAACCGCCUAGUUUUCCACGUGGGCUAGCAAGAAGAGCACGUCAGCCACGCCGCCCCGUCAGGGUGCAUGGCUACAGUGGUUGACCAUCACCCGCGACGUGCACAGUCACAGUGGCCAGUCGUCACCACCAACUUGCACAGCUACAGUGGUCGGCCGCCAUGCACGACUCGCGUGUCCGGCUACAGUGACCGACCGCCGAGUCACCGAUGGGACCCAACGGCAACCCCUAUCCCUUAGUAGCAGUACCGACAAGACGCAGAGACAAGAAGGGAAGACGACGUCUCUAGUAGCCCCACUUGCUUCCCUUUUUACCUUUCUACCUGUUUACCUUCCUUACUCCCGGCUCAUUUGUAACCUCUGUAUCCUCCUUGCACUAUAAAAGGAGACCAGGGGGUCUGAGGGCAAGGGACCCUCGGAGACCGAACCCCGAAUUCACCCAAGUACAAACCAACCGAACCACCAGACGAGAAAGACUCACAGAGAUCUGGGAACCAGCUUCCCUCUCUCACCUAUUUGUAGCCUCUACUCCAGACUUGGUACGAGUAACACGAGCAGCCACCCGCACUGGACUCCUCCGCCAGAAACUGGUCCAACCAGUCGGGUCCCUCCCCCUGCUCUUCGUCCUCAUCAUCCUCAUCAUCGUCGUCCUCAUCCGUUGCCGUGUCUGGCCCCUCCGCAGCCUUCAGAACUCCGCUGCAGCUUUCUUUUUCUUCCUCACCGUCUCCUUGUCCUUCCUCUUCUUCUGUGCUUCGUCGAGGAGGCGGUUCCGCUGCCUCUGCACCACGUCCUCUGGCACCGGUGGACGGGAGGCUGUGACAUGGUUUAAGUUACCCUGCAGAUUCGAAGACUCCGCGUCAGAAUAGCAAACCAGGAAAUGCAGGAAAGAAGAACGAGAGUGCAAAUUUCUAACCAGCAGGACAUAGGCCUCGUCCGGGCGCAUCGGAGGGUGCCCCGGCACCGGGAACACGACAUCCCUGUCACCCAAUGCAUCCCGGACACGCUGCUCGAUCUCGGCGUCGGCAAUUGCACCCGUCGCAAGGACGGUGCUGUGGUACGCCCCAACAACUCCGGCCCCGGUCAGGCCCUCCUCCUUCAGAAGGUUGAUGGCUUCGAGGAGACCCCGGAUAUUCUUCUUCUCCUUCUCAACAGGGCCAUAUGUCCACGUUCCCGGUGCCUCCACGAUGACGCGGCCAGUGAACUCCGUCAAGAGGACAUCGGGGCGGUUCUUCACAUAGAGCCACUGCUGAUGCCACCCUUUGUGGGAUGACGGGGUCUUCAUCGAUGUAUACUCCUUGGGCCGAUGGCCACAGAGGUGGAUGCCGGCACACCCCAUCAGCAUCGGAAUCGUCCGCGUCUGGUUUCCUCUCUUCUCGGUCCUCUGAUGAAGAGUGACAGCGAAGAAGUACUUCCACAGGGCGAAGUUGGGCUCGAUCCCCAGGUAUCCCUCCCAAAGCACGACGAACGCCGCGAUGUGCUGGAUUCCGUUGGGGUUGAGGUGCUCCAGCUCAAUGCUAUAGUAGUGCAGCAGCCCCCGGAAGAAGCGACUUGGGGGAACCGCGAACCCCCUCUCGUGGAAGUGCGCGAAGGAGACGAUGUACCCGUCCUCCGGCUGUAGCACGGCCUUGUUCCCGGGAUACCGCCACUCGUUCUCGGCGAUCCUAUCGCGAAGAAGGCCCUUCUUCACGAGACCGAUCACGCGCGCGGUGUUGAAGAUUGACCAAGACCUUGAAUCCAUCGCCGAGGAAGGGGAAGGCUCGACGGCGGUGGUGGAAAGGUGAAUGCUCUGGCUCGAAAGAGGAUGAAAAGUGAACAAGGAGGCGAGAAAGGCUGAAGACGAGUGCGGAGCGGAGCAAGCAAGGUAAGCUCUCUCGUUUUACAGGGGGCGUGCGAGAAACGAAAGGCGAACCGAACGCAUUUAUUGCGACGUCAGGUAUGCCCCAUCGCCUCCGCCUUUCUUCGGAAACCGUACGCAUGAUUUCUUUUUAACCGCAGGGAACGCUACGCCCCCUCGCCCCACGAGCCCGGUGUUUUUUGCCGCUUCGUCUCCUGGAGGUCAUGCGCACAACUUCCUCCACAAGCGGCCCAGGGCCCGCUUCAGGUAAAAAAGGGAUACAGAGCUGAAAACACUCUAACGGCCCAUUACGGUCCAGGGGUUCGAAGGCUGGCCCUCUAGAGGGUUCGACAUCCACCCCAGGACAUUUCUUGAGCAAGGGGUGAGAAGGGACGGGUCCGCUAGCGACCACUACCCUGGUGAACAAAAGCCAAGGGCGUCCCGACCUCACAUUUGAGUCUCGAUUGGCGUUUAAGUUCAUGGUUUUUCCCCGAAGAAAGGCAAAGUGCCCCCGGAUCCGGUUGAACAGACCUGGGAACUAUAUGAACUGGCCGUCCGAAAUCUGGAGUACGCCACCAGCUUGGCCCAAGCCGGACCCGCCCGAACAGGGACCGGGACUCCACUCGAACUGACCCGUUAGCAGCUCACCGAGCACCAUGGUUCGUCCGAUGAGGAUAACAUGGCACGGCUCACCCCCUCCGUCCCAACGAACGGACGCUGAGGGGUAACGACUAAAAGACGAUCCGACCUCUCGAUCGGUCCCCUGCAAUGCGCGGGGGCUCGAGGGCUGGAAUCACAACGAAACGACCAUGCGCAUGGUUACGACUCGGAAUUUUGAGGCAGGAAUGGUCAUUGAAACAAUAGGGAAUCUUCCCAAACCGUACCAUCCUCAGAACACUCUGGCUACCCAAAACUCCCCGGCCAGGCCAAACAAGCAAAACUUUUCUCCUGAUCAAAUCAAGGUACAUGUUAAACAAGACCCCUGACAAACACUCUGCCGAGAGCCAAUCACAGCCUCUGGAGGAGCACCUUGCUCCACCAAAGGCUCGGGGCCUACUGUCAGGGGGAAAUAUUAACAAUUUUCUUACGCUCCCUAAUUAAUGGACACAAGGGCCAAGGCCCACCCCUGACACCCGUAAUCUCCACCAACAACACAUCCCAGAGGCACUCCGCUCCGCCUCGCCCGACUACAGGGUCACAGGGUCGGACACGCCCGACCCCCCGAGGUCUCGCCUCAUCUCAGCUGAUGGAGUUCCGCCUCACCCGACCCCAGGCGUAAGGGGUUGGACGCGCCCAACCCCUCAAAGCAGGACUCCGCCUCGCCCGACCCCGAGCGCAAGGGGUUGGACACAUCGGAUCCCACUAGACAGAGCUCCGCCUCGCCCGAAGGUAUGAGUAGGUCAUCAGACGGAAGCGCGGGCUUUAUGAGUCCCCCCAGGCUCACCUAACCGAUGGGACGCGCACAAUUCUAGAUACAGUUCUGACACGUGGAGAGGUGCCCGCGUUCCUCGACAUGACCUGUCGGAAUGUUGGUCUGCACACUACUGCCACGACUGCACAGGGCUACAACUGCACCGUCCUACCCCACUGUGACAUCUAUCAUAGGGCACUUAUCGCCCAUGCCGUCUAACGGAGGAGGGCAAACCGCUUGGUUUUCCGCGCAGCCUAGCAACUACAGCACGUCAGCCACGCUGCCCCGUCAGGAUGCAUGGCUACAGUGGUUGACCGUCGUCCGCGACGUGCACAGCUACAAUGGCCAGUCGUCACCACCAACUUGCACAGCUACAGUGGUCGGCCGCCAUGCACGACCCGCGUGUCCGGCUACAGUGGCCGACUGCCGAGUCACCAAUGGGAUCCAACGGCAACCCCCAUCCCUCAGUAGCAGUACCGACAAGACGCAAAGACAAUAAGGGAAGACGGUGUCUCCAGUAGCCCUACUUGCUUCGCUUUUUACCUUUCUACCUUUUUACCUUCCUUACUCCUGGCUCAUUUGUAACCCCUGUGUCCUCCUUGCACUAUAAAAGGAGACCAGGGGGCCCGAGGGCAGGGGACCCCCGGAGACCGAACCCCGAAUUCACCCAAGUACGAACCAACCGGACCACCAGACGAGAAACACUCACAAAGAUCUGGGAACCAGCUUCCCUCUCUUGCCUGUUUGUAGCCCCUACUAUAGACUUGGUACGAGUAACACGAGCAGCCACCCGCACUGGACGUAGGGCUAUUCCUGCCCGAACCAGUAUAAACCUCGCGCCCUCUCGUACAACCAUCCAAGCCUUACGCGUAGAGAAACAAAUUUACUAAGCCGGUAGUCUUGACCCGUGAUUCGUGAGACCGACAAUUUGCACAUACAAAUGUUAAAGUACAAAUGUUAAAUCUAGUUACCAAGCAGAAUACGAAAUAGCGGGCUAUAGUGAGGCUAUAGCGGCGCUAACUGCUGCAACAACAGUGUUGUACUAAUUAGCAGGCUAUAGCGGAGCUAUAGCGGUUGAGCACAGCUCUACGCUAAAUAUCAUAGCCCUCAAUUUUGUACAUUGUAUAUACUAUAUAAAUCUAGUUAACAUUUAGUCUAAAUGUUAAAUCGAGUUACCUAAAAUCCUGAAAGCAAAAUGUAUAAAUAUAUAUCUUUUAGGGUAGUAUAAGCUUCGAUUCCUUUUGCUGCUCUGUUAAAUCUCAUCUUUCGUUGUAGCCCAACACUCUAGUAUUGAUUUUGCACCAAGCUUCUUUGAGCCGCUCUGCCCUCUGAUUUUGCUGCGUAGGGGAAUCUUUAUCAGGUUGGGCUACUUCCAGUCGUGCGAUGUAUACCUUUGUAUCUUCUAGAAGGUAGACAGAAAACCCGCGUUCUCUUAAGGCAACAACCAGAAGAUUCUGCAGCGCACGGGGCAUAUCAUUGUUGUAGAAACGACCUUUAGUAUCGAUCUCCAACCCCUUAUAGUACUGGUUUUGCAACCAGUACCGUUAUGUCGGACCUUUAGUACCAGAUCAAAUAACCGGUUCUAAAGGGACUCCUUUAGUACCGGUUGGUAACCAGUAUCAACUUGUUUUGCGGCCAAAAAAAUAAAGAAAAAAAUAGCCAGAAGGCUAGCACACACACACAUCCCACGAAAUAUGCGCGUGCGCGGUCCAUGGGAUUCGAACCCAUGAAAUCAAGCUGCGCGCAACCCUUCGUUACCAUCUCACCUUCAGUACCGGGUCAUAACACCACCCGGUACUAGUAUCGGAUGCUGUAAUGACUCGAUACUAAAAGGCCUCUAGGGACCCUCAAAUUUGGACCCGAUACUAAUGCUAACAUUAGUACCGGGUCAAAGUGCAGCCAGUACUAAAGCAUGGGACGAAAGGUCAUAUUUCUAGUAGUGUAUAGUUGUUGUGUAGGACUGACUUGGCUGUCCUCUCUCUUCUCCAUCCCAUUGGUCUUACGCCGCCGCUCGCACGCGAGCCGGCACCCAACCAGAGGAGUGAGAGCUAGGGGCGGGUUGGGAGGUGGGGGUAGCGACUGGUGGCUAGGGUGAUGGUUGAUGUUGGCGGGGUUAGGGUUUCAUGGUUUUCAAGCUACCUACGGCCGGCGAACCUAGAGGAGGAGGUCGACAUCAGCUGCAACCCGCGGUGGUGGUGGUUUGGCCGGCGCCCCAGGCGAGGCAGCGUGGGAGUGCUGCUGGCGGGUUGGUGUUGGCGCUCAUUAUUGACACAUUUUUAGUACUAUUUUGUUCAUGGAAUAACACUCAAACGUGCUGGUGCUGCUGCCGCCAUCGCCGCCCUAGCCAUAAUAUAAAGGCAAAAUUUGCUAGAGGACAUGCAAAAUGAUGCUAGUUUGCUGGAGGGCACCGUUGACCAUGUAAUAUGCUACAAGACACUCUAGUUGUUCUAGAGUGUAUCAAUUUGCUGAAAGACAUUGCUACGACUAAAAUAAUGUUUCUGGACUGAGUUGGAGAGAGAGAUGGAGUGAAAUGUCUGUUUUGCCCAUGACCCCACUGAUCAGAUCCUUCUUCUUCCACCCUCCUUUCUUCUUUCUUCAACCAUUACCCAGCUCUAGUGUGUUGCAGAUCUACGAGGGUGGCGGCCCGGGGCGAGGGGCAUCGCUUGCCCUCAGACGAGCGCCGCGAGCGACGGCGCGGGGGCAGCAACGGCGCGUCGGAACCUGACCGUUCGUUAGCUCCUCUCGCUGCUGGGGAAGGAGGGGGAGGGGCCAUGGACGGGGUUCCCUCGAAAACCUUAGCCUCGAGCUCAGGCGGCUACGCGCAGGCAGCACUAGGCUCUUCGCGGGGAGGGGGCGCGGCCAAUCAUUGGCACCCCACUGGUCCAAUGCUGAUGAAGAUGGUGCCAGCGUCGUGAAGAUGGUGCCAGCGUCGUGUGAGGACCUCUCAUCUCCUCGAGUUCCAUGGCCAGCACAGGUGAGCGUCCGCUACCACAAAACAGAGGUGUCGUGAGAGUCAAAAAAACUCAUGAAAAUAGCUAAAACCAUCAUGAAAAUAAUCCAUGACACGACACUCUAACGAAAAUCCUCUCACAAAUAUGGUGCCAUCAAAAUACCAUUUUCAUGAGAGUGAACUGUCAUGAUUUUAUUUCGUGAGAGUAUUUCCUAUCAAUGACCUCCACGAAAUACUUUGUGCCACCAGGUCUUCAAGAUCAUUUUCAUGAGAGCCGAACGUCACGAAAGGUCCGCCACAAAUGUUUUUCCUGGGAGCCUCUAACUCUCAUCAAAAGCAUGUGGGCCGCCGCGAAAAACAGCCUGACCAAAUGACAAUUUUCAUUUUCAUGUGCUCUUACCGCCAUGAAAAUGGUCAUUUUCAUGAGAGUUGAUGAAACAAAAAAAUAGUGCCAUUUUCAUGAGAGUUCAAGCAACCAGGAAAAGGCACUAAUAAACAUCCAGAUCCCAUCCAGCACACAUCCAUGCACAUAUAUAACCCACAUAUUGCUCCAGCAACAUCCAUGCAUAUACAAGAUCCAAAUGUCUUGGUAUGAACCUACAUGCAUGUGAUGAACCAGUAACCUGCAAAAAGAGCUCAUAGGAUCUUGUCCUCAUAUUGUAGCUGUGAAAUUCUUGCAAGUAGUGUUGCAAUCAGUUCACUUUGAACCAAAAGAGCUCAAAGGAUCAUGUCCUCAAAGUUCCUCUUAAAGCUUAUGGGUUUGCUGGUGGAACUGGAAGGGCUUGAUGCAGCAUGCCAUUCUGCAAUAGAGAAAAAUUUAGAAAGCUGUACUAGUUAAAAUUGGAUGCAGCAGAGACACAUGAAACUAGUAUUUAUACAAUUCUAUAUAUAUAAUAAUUUGUCCCCUAAAUUUUUAGGAUCCUCUCGACGGUGGUGAGUCUUCCAGUAAGGCAAUUGAAUGUCCAUCGUGAUAAAAUUCUCCUUUGGAUUUAUCAUCUUCUCAACCAGAAAUCCUAGGAGUUCAUCCUUAAGCCUUACCAGUUGUAAUUUGGAAAUAUGUGAAAGUUAAACGAACAAUUAAAAUCUAAGGAUCCUUAUCAUCAUUUCCAUACGUUUGCGAAUUAAAAUAAUGAAGGAUACAAUGUUAGGUGAAAAUUCAAGAAACAAAAUUUUGUAUAGAGAUAAUGGUCCGACAUUAUUACAAGUUAAAGUUGUUUUAAAUAUCCUUGUAAUCUUCCUUUGGUUUCCUCGACGAUUCCAAGACAGUAACCUUGCUUCUAUCAAUGAUAAUUAUAAGGAGAACCCAAUGAAAACUGUGUAUUCAUAUUAGAACUAACUAAGGUUAAUUCGGAUAGGAAAGGAAAUCAAAAAUAGAUGGUACCCACACUUACUUAAAGUUGUAGGGUAGUAGUAUGUAAUGCUUGUAAUUCUGUUGCUCCAAGAAUUUGUAUAUGUGGUUCAAUGUAGACUUUGGUUGAUCCUGUAUCUGCUGUUGGUUGAAUAAGUGUUUCUAACCAUUUCUAGCCGUUAGAACUGGGACUAAAGGGAGCUCUUAGUGCUGGUUGAUAUUACUAGUCGGGACUAAAGAGCCCCCGUUAGAGUUGGUUUUCGGACGUGGAACUAACCACUCCUUUAGUCUCAAGUCCAAAAAUGAUUGAGACAUUUGUUGCUGGAUGGAACACUAGUAGAGAAUUGGCUUUCGAUGCGCCCCCUUUUGUCCCGGUUUAAAGUUGGACUGGGACAAAAGAGGGUGCGCCACGGUAGGUAAAAAUGGAGGGGGGAGUUAGUCCCGGUUGGUAAUUGCAACCGGGACUAGAGGCCCCCCUUUAGUCCCGGUUGCAAUGGCUAGCUGGGGGGCGUCGGUGGCGGCACCUUUUUGUCCCGGUUGGAGUCUCCAACCGGGAUAAAAGGUCCACCCUUUUAUCCCGGUUGGAGGCUCCAACCGGGACAAAAAGUUUAGUCCCGGUUGGAGCUUCCAACCGGGAUAAAAGGGUGUCCCUUUUGUCCUAGUUGGAGCCUCCAACCGGGACUAAACUUUCAACCGGGACAAAAGGUGUGGUUGGAGUUUUUAACUGGGAUAAAAACUCAUCCCCCAUUAUAUACCAAGACAGAGGACUUUCUUCCUCCUCCAGCCCGAGCCAGUCCAGCACAUUCACAGAGAGUUGACCUUCACCUACUCUCCGGUGGUGCCGAAGCAAGGAGGUGCUGCCCGAAGUUUUUUCCCUCAUUUUCGUGGGAAUUUCACUCAGCUAACACAAGUGUUGUGAAGGUUUGCUACUUCAUCCUCGUUUAUGCUUUGAUUUAUGCUUUGGAGAUGGAAAGAUUAUUUGUUAGAAUGUGAUGAAGUAGAAAAUGGAGAGAAUAUUUUGAGCUAGAAUGUGAGGGAGAUUGAUGUGUCAUAUAUAGUAUGCAUUCUUGCAGUGGUUUAAGAAUGAUGCUACCUUGUCCAGACAAUUUAUCUUAUCAAAUUCAAUAUAGUUUUUCAAAUCCAUACUUGUUGAACUUGCAUACCGUGUUCAUCUCUACGAGGAUAUUCUCUGCCGAGCAGCAACGUAUGUCAAGAAGGAGGUUCGAUUCUACGAGGAAGAGUGGAUACGGACAUCGUGACCGUGUCCCCUUUUCCGUAGCAUCUAACCUCUUUCAUGAUGAAGUGCGGUGCCGCCCAGUUGAGAACAUGCUCGCGAGAUGAACACAGUAUGCAAGUUCAACAACUUCUGCAGUAGUAAGGAAAGAAUUUUUGUACAUAGAUGACUUCUGCUACUUGUUGAACUUAUCAAAUUCAAGAAGGUUUUUCAAAUCCAUACUUGUUGAACUUGCAUACCGUGGUCAUCUCGCAGAGGAUGUUCUCCGCCGAGCAGCAACGUAUGUCAAGAAGGAGGUUCGAUUCUACGAGGAAGAGUGGAUACAGACAUCGUGACCGUGUCCCCUUUUCCGUAGAAUCGAACCUCUUUCAUGACGAAGUGCGGUGCCGCCCAGUUGAGGACAUGCUCGCGAGAUGAUCACGGUCUUUAAGUUUAACAACUUAUGCAGUGUUAAGGUAAUAAUUUUUGUACAUAGAUGGCUUCUGCUACUGGAGAAAGUGGCGAUGGUGGGGGUGAUCGUGGUUCCUCUUUCGGCAAGGGGAAAAUCAUAGUUGGCCCUCAGCAUAAGCCAAAGAAAAAGAGCGCACUGGAAAAAGCAAUGCUUCGUUAUUUGCAGCAACGUCAUGAAGAAGUUGUUGCCGCGGGUCAGGAACCUCCUUUUGGUCGUCGUUAUGCUCCACCCUUAGUCCCGGGUGUUUCACAUCCACUUAGUACUACCGUUUCAGGCGGCACAAAUAAACCUAAGGAUGAGGCUAGGUCAGCGGAACUUUCGUCUUCACUGUCCAAGGAUGCUUAAAGUCCUCCUAGAUAAUAACCAGUGGAUGGCUUGUUGUAUUGUAUCAUGUUGUUUGGAUCUUUAAUUUAAAUAUGUGUAUUUGGAUCUUCAUGUUGUUGUAUUGUACCAUGUUGUUUGGAUCUUUAAUCAAUUUUCACACGUAAUCCAUUGUCAAGUGUAAUCCAUUUUCAUGCAUAAUAAGAUGCAGAUGGACCGGCAAUGGAUGUAUAAUGCAGACAGGCAGAGCAAGGUGUUUAUUGAUGGCUUGCAUUAUUGUCUCGAAGUGGCCAAAGCGAACAAGCCAGAGAAUGGGUUCGUAUGUUGUCCAUGCUUCCAAUGCAAUAACAAGAAGGAGUAUUCAUAGGAUUCCUGGGGGACUAUUCACAGCCACUUGUUUAAAUACGGUUUCAUACUUAACUAUUUGGUUUGGACCAAGCACGGUGAACGAGGGGUCGUAAUGGAAGAUGGCGAGAAGGAGGAGGAAGAUGACACCAUUCCAGACUGGGUUGUAGGCCAAGCUUUUGCAGGUACUACAAUGGGCGAGGCUCAUGAAGAUGAGUUUGCAGAAAAUGGCCCUAUUGAUGACUUUGGUCAGGUGAUACGAGAUGCAUACAGAGAUUGCGAAAUUGAGAAGGAAGCAGCAAAGUUGCAGCGCAUGAUAGAUGAUCACCAAAAAUUAUUGUACCCAGGUUGCCAGCUGGGCCAUAAAAAACUAGGUACGACACUAGAAUUUGUGCAAUGGAAGGCAAAAAAUGGUGUGUCCGAUAAGGCAUUUCAGGGGAUGUUGACCAUUGUCAAGAAGAUUCUUCCCGAGAAUAAUGAAUUACCGUCCACAACAUAUGAAGCUAAACAGAUUAUUUGCCCUCUCGGAUUGGAUGUUCAGAAGAUACACGCAUGCCCUAAUGACUGUAUCCUCUAUCGUGGUGAUGACUACGAGAAAUUGGAUGCUUGUCCCGUGUGCGAAGCCCUGCGGUAUAAGAUUAGGUGAGAUGAUCCUUGUGAUGUCGAGGGGCAGUCUCCCAAUAAGAGAGUUCCCGUGAAGGUGAUGUGGUAUUUCCCUAUAAUACCACGCUUGAAGCGCUUGUUCAGGAAAAAGGCGAAUGCUAAGUUGAUGUGAUGGCACAAAGAAGACCGUAAGGAAGAUGAGAUGCUGAGACACCCCGCAGAUGGGGCACAGUGGAGAUCAAUUGAUAGAGCAUUCUCGGACUUUGAAAGUGAAGCAAGGACAUAAGGUUUGGUUUAAGUACUGAUGGAUUCAAUCCAUUCGGUGAGUUGAGUAGUGGCCAUAGUACUUGGCCUAUGACCCUAUUUAUGUUGAACCUUCCUCCUUGGCUAUGCAUGAAGUGGAAGUUCAUUAUGAUGCCGGCGCUUAUCCAAAGUUCAAAACAACCCGACAACGACAUUGACGUGUACCUAAGACUGUUGGUUGAUGACCUUUUACAGCUCUGGAAGGAAGAAGGUGUACGUGUGUGGGAUGAGGAUAGACAAGAGAUCUUUAAUCUACGAGUAUUGUUGUUUGUAACCAUCAAUGAUUGGCCUGCACUGAGUAACCUUUCGGGACAGACAAAUAAGGGAUAUCGGGCAUGCACCCACUGUUUAGACGACACAGACAGCAUGUAUUUGAAGCAUUGUAAGAAGGUCGUCUACAUGGGUCAUCGUCGAUUUCUCCCUGCUCACCACCAGCUGAGAAAGAGCAGGAUGCAUUUCAAAGGGGCGCCAGACCAUCGUAAAAAACCUGCACACCAUAAUGGAAAGUGUGUCUUCAAGAUGAUGAAGGAUGUAAAUGUAGUCUUUGGAAAGGGUCUUGGUAGCCAACCUAUUCCAAACGACAAUAACGGACAUGCACCCAUGUGGAAGAAAAAGUCAAUAUUUUGGGAGCUACCUUAUUGGGAAAUCCUAGAGGUUCGCAAUGCAAUAGACGUGAUGCACCUGACGAAGAAUAUUUGCAUGAACGUGCUAGGCUUCAUGGGUUUUUAUGGGACCUCAAAAGACACAUUGGAAGCACGACAGGACCUGAAAGCCAUGGGGCAACGAGAUGACCUACAUCCGAAAAAGAGAGAUAAUGGAUAGCACUACUUACGUCCUGCCAGUUACACUCUGAGCAAGGAAGAGAAGGAUAGCAUGUUUGAAUGCUUGAAUAGUAUGAAGGUCCCGUCUAGGUACUCCUCGAAUAUAAAGGGAAUAAUAAAUAUGAAAAAAAAGAAGUUUAUAAAUCUCAAGGCCCAUGACUGUCACAUGUUGAUGACCCAGUUGCUUCCGGUUGCACUGAGGGGUGUUCUACUAGAAAAUAUCCAGUUGCCGCUCGUAAAGCUAUGUGCGUUUCUAAAUGCGAUUUCACAGAAGGCAAUCGAUCCAUCCAAGCUAUCAAAGCUACAGAACGAUGUGGUGCAAUGUCUUGUCAGUUUUGAGUUGUUAUUUCCACCAUCCUUCUUCAAUAUUAUGACGCACUUACUGGUUGACCUAGUAAAAGAGAUUGGUAUUCUCGGACUUGUAUACCUGCACAAUAUGUGGCCUUUCAAGUGUUCAUGGCAGUCCUAAAAAACUAUGCUCUUAAUCGUGCCCAUCCAGAAGGAAGCAUCGCCAAGGGAUAUGGAACAGAGGAGGUGAUCGAGUUUUGUGUUGAUUUUAUUGAUUCAAUUGACUCGAUUGGGGUUCCAACUUCACGCCAUGAGGGGAGGCUCCGAGGAAUGGGCACCCUUGGAAGGAAAUCAAGUUUGAGCAAUGAUACUGAUUUGUUCGACAAGGCACACUACACGGUUCUACAACAGUCAUCCUUUGUGUCUCCAUAUAUUGAGCAGCACAGGCAGAUGGUAGUUUCCAAAAACCCGACCAAAUCCGAUGCUUGGCUUACCCGUCUUCACAUGGAAACUUUUCCCUCCUGGUUGCGCCAACAACUUAUGGGUAACUCUGAGAUUCACCCACAGCUUGCCUGGUUAGCCAGGGGACCUGCUAGCACAAUUGUGAAAUUUCAAGGCUAUGAGAUAAAUGGUUAUACAUUUUACACGAGAGCCCAGGACCAGAAAAGCACGAAACCAGAAUAGUGGUGUCCGCAUACAUGCCAUGGACAGAAAUAAUAGCAAGGAGUCGUAUUAUGGUUUCAUAUAGGAGAUAUGGGAACUUGAAUACGGACCGUUGUACAUCCCUCUAUUUCUUUGUAAUUGGGUGAAGCAAACUGCCGUAACCAAAGAUCAGUACGGAAUGACAAUAGUAGAUCUGAGCAAGACUGGAUACAGUGAUGACCCAUUCGUACUUGCCAACAAUGUGCAACAGGUGUUCUAUGUGAAGGACAUGUGUAGCAAACCCAAGAGAAAUCCAGAAGAGACAUGGGAGCCAAAGUGCCACAUAGUUUUUCCAGGUAGAAGAAAAAUCGUGGGAGUCGAGGAUAAAACAAACCAAUCAGAUGAUUAUGAUUAGUUUGAUGGCAUGCCUCCAUUCGCCGUUGAAGUUGAUCCAAGCAUCCUGCUAUCCAAAGAAGAGGCUCCGUACUUACGCCGCGAUCAUGAUCAAGGAACUUUCGUGAAGAAGAAAUUCUACAACGUUGUAUUGUAAUGCGCUAAAUUUACAUGACCUUUGUGUAGUAAUUGAUACAAUUUUUAAUUUACCCUAUGUAUGAUUUGAUGUGUUCUUAAAUUUGUUAGGUGAAGAUUUAUUAGAUAAACAUGAACAAUGUUAACCACAUACAUACAUGGAUUUUUCUGCGCAUUGAAAUUAUUUAAUGGAAUAAUUUCUUGAUCACAGCGAUGUAGUAAAAUAAAUAUUUUAGAGCCUAAAUGAACUGGUAUAGAAUUAAUGACUAACUCACACUUAUUGUCAAUUUACUCGCUAAUUAAAUAUAUUUUUGCAUGUACAAAAUAUGUGAAGGUUUUUGUUUUUCAUCCUGAAUUGCAGUGAAAAGAUAAAUAAAAUCCAUUUCCAAAAAACAGGCGGGAGAAGAAAACUGGGAAAAGGACCUUUUGUCCCGGGUGCCAACAGAAACCGGGACAAAAAGCCCCCCCCCUUUUAUCCCGGUUGGUGGUGGCACCCGAGAUAAAAGGGUAGGCUCCAAGCCCCACUUGGCGGACGCACCCUUUUGUCCCGGGUCCCGUCACCAACCGGGAUAAAAGGGGGGGCCUUUUAUCCCGGUUGGUGAGGGGACCCAGGACAAAAGGCCCUUUAGUCCCGGGUGUCAUUACGAACCGGGAUAAAAGGGGGGUUAAAAGGCACUAUAGCCCCUUCUACCCCCCACGCCAGUUACAGUUAGCAAAAUUUUCACCAAGAUCCCGCGCGCACUCUGCUCCGUCGCUGCCCGUCCGCCUUCCUCGCCAGCCGUCAUCGUCGUCGUCCCCCAUUGCCCCGGCCGUCGUCGUCCCGCCGGCUGACCGUGCCCAGAUAGCCUCCUCCUCCAUCGCCCCGGCCCGCCUCGAUCCUCCUGCGUCGUGCCCGGCCCCUACCUCAUCGACGCCGGCCACCUCCAUCGCGGGGCCUCAUCGCCGCCUCCAUCCUCGUCGCCACCUCGACGCCCUGGGUCGCCGCCUCGUCGCCCCUCGUCGCUGCCUCGUCGCCGUCCUGCCUCCGCCGUCUCGCCGUCCCGCGCGCCUUCGCUCCGUCGUCGCCUCCGCCGUCCCACCGCCCCAGCCACCGCCAUCCCGCCACCCCGGCCACCUCGUCGCCCCGACCACCGUCGACCGCGCGUGAGGUCCGCCGCACCGGCACUGGCGCCGGGAGUACCGCCUUGCUGACGCAAGCCCACCGGCUUGCGUCAACAAGGGCCUUUUUUAAGUUAGAAAAUAAAUAGAAAGGAGUAGUAAUUAGGUAGAAAUUCAAUAGAUUUUUGUAUAUGUGUUACAAAAUCAAAUUAGUGUAAAUUAGUUGUAAUUAGGUUCGUCGCUCUGCCUAGGUUAGAAAUGAAUCGUGUUUCGUCGUGGUUCCGUCCCCGCCUCCGCCGUCCCGCCACCCUGACCGUCGCCGUCCCAACCUAGGCACCGUCUGUGGUUCCGUCCCCGCCUCCGCCGUUCCGCCUCCAUCGCAAAUUCAUGUUAUUGCUAGAAAUUCCAAUAAAUAUGAACAAAUUAGUAGAAAUUUGGUAGAAAUUAAUCAUUGCUGCGGCCACCUCGCUCCACAAAUUCAUGUUAUUGCUAGAAAUUCAUAAAAAUUCAUGUUAUCACUAGAAAUUCGUACAAAAUUCAUGUUAUUGCUAGAAAUUCGUAAAAAUUCAUGUUAUUGCUAGAAAUUCGUACAAAAUUCAUGUUAUUGCUAGAAAUUCGUACAAAUUCAUGUUAUUGCUAGAAAUUCGUCACAAAGUACUACUAAUUUGCAAAAAUUUGUAUAAAUAUUCCGGACUUUGUGGGAUUCAUGUUAUUUUCUGAUUUCAUGUAUAUACCCUUAUGUACAUAUAACUAAGGAGAUUUCUAUGACUUUCAUGUAUGUUUCAAUCAAUAGUUGAAAUGGCAGACGAUGAGACCGCAAGGUAUCUCAUGGAGCAGAUAAUCGCUGGUGAUGGUAGUGGCGACAACCUUCCACUAUCGUACACCGAUGAAGAGGGCACCCAGGCGGACAUGUUCCUCAACAUGUCCGCCGAUGGGAAUGAAGAGCAAAAGCCCCAGCAACACCUUGCCGGGGCGGAAGGUUCCGGCGAGGUAUAUAUAACGAUUCUUGUAUUGUUUCACACCACCGUUACUACUACGUACUAAUUAACGAAUCAUGAACCGUUAGCCCUCUGGAUCGACGCAAGGGCAGAAGACACGAGGUCGUACAAAGGUGAUGGAAGGGAGGCUUGUCAUCACGGAAGUGAUAGAAGAGGGCAGGCCGGUUGCUCCCGAGAAAGUAGCAAAGAAGUACGUGAGUCAGAUCGGGGCAAUCGUCCGGGACAACGUGCCUAUCAGCAUCAGAGAAUGGAAGGGCAGAAGCACUAAUCCGUACGCCCUCCUGGAGACAGAAAGAAUAUGCUGUGGGAAGAUGUCAAGAGACAUUUCACAUUCACCGAAGGAUAUAUUGAGAAGGAUGUGAAAGCGUGGACGCUUAAGAAGAUGGCUACACAAUUUCCAGACAUUUAAGAAGAUGCUAGAUACCCACUACAUUAAGAAGGGCCGAACUCCAGACUUCAACGCGUGGUCAAAGUUGAGGGACCACUAGGAUGCAUUUGUUGAAUAUAAGAGGAGUGAAUACGAUGUGAAAAAGAUCACGACCAACACAACAAAUGCUAGUCAGAAGGGCUACCAUCAUCAUCUGGGGCGAGAUGGUUAUGGCUCAGCAAUUCCCAAGUCGAGGAAGAUGGAACAAGAUCUGAUUGAACGGGGAAUCGUACCGGCAACUAUUGAAUGGCCCGAACGAUCAAAAAAUUGGUACUACGCUCAUGGAGGCUCCCUGUGCCAAGAGGAUGGGACGUUGAUUUUCAAUAACACAAUACGUUAGAAGGCCAAACAUCUUGUGAAGAACAUUGAAGAUUCUAAGGCUGGGAGGUUGAAGGUGGACCGAGAAAAUGAUGAGCUCACAUUGGCCCUUGGUAAUCCAGAGCACCCAGGAUGUUGCCGAGGGUUCGGGGUCGUUCCGUGGAAGUUUGUUUUCCGAGGCGACAGCGCCUCGUACAGAAGCCGGAAGCGAAGAAAGGAACAGAUCGAGGAGAGCUGGUGGCAGAUGCUAGAAUCCAAAGUGCAGGCACAAGAACAAAGAAUGAUGGAGGAAAUCAAUCGUCGAGUGGCCCACGCAGUUGUGGAGUUGGCCCAAUCUGGAGCAUUGCCGAAUCCUAACAACGCCAGCCCUUCUCAAUGCCUCUUGAGCAGUUAUGCUUCUACAGGGGUCCCCGAUGCGCACACGCCCAGGUUACCCGUGGAGGAGCAACGGUUCCCCGUGGAUGCCAUCACGCAACACACCACAUGUGAGCUGCAUGCACCGGUCGGCAACCUCACUAUUAAGGUAUACUUAUACAUAAUAUUUAUGCAAUCUUGUCAAUUGAUCCACGCCUCGAUAUCGGAGUUUAACUUGUUUACUUCUACUAUAUGUACAGGUAGCGUACGGGAGUGCGUUAGCAACCCUGGCGGGGCAGAGCAGUCAUGGCAUGAAGAUUCCACCUGGCUACGCUAGCGUCCGCGUAGAGCAAAUAGUUGAUAGCCAAUAUGAAGGUCUAGAGCUCGACCUCCCGGGAGGUGACAGGGAAAGAACACUGGCAGAUGCGCUUCAUGGGAUCAUUCUAUGGCGAAAACGCUACAUCAUUAUUCCCGGCACGGAGCCAUCUCCUCAGAGCUCAAGACCACUCCCCGUAGAUCCCCAGCAGCGACCUUCUCCUCAUAGCUCGAGACCGUCAUCUCCUGCACAACCUGCUCCAGGACCGUCCCUUCCAUCUAUAUCAAGGUCUCCAUCUCCACCACAUCCUGGUGGUGGGAGCGACGACGACAAUAACAACACCCCUUCCUGAUCACCAUCGCCGGCACCAAGAGCGGCCCCCAUGAAGGAACCUGCACCACCACUAAAAAAGUCACGAGCACCGCCUCCCAAGCAAAGACAGAGAAAGAAGAAAACAAAGGAGCCUGAAGUGACUCGUAAGGAACGCUGGGAGACAAUGUCUCAUGCGGAACAGUGGGCAGAAAUCCAACAAGAGGCCAGUGAGUGGUUCAAGAAACAAGCCGAAGAAAAAAAAGCAACGGAGAUGCAGCCACCGCCAGUAAAUCGAAGAGAUUUAAACUUUUUUAUCAGGAUGGAAGAAGGAGCCAAGAAAAGGAUACCACUCUUAUCAAACUAUGAACGGGCUUUAGUAAAGGCUGAUGAAAAGGAUAAAAGGAAAGGAAAGUCAUCUUCCAGCGGUGCUGUCCCCGACCUCAGCCAUUUAUCAAAAAAAGAUGCUCAACGGGUAAAAGCAAUGCCCUUGGAUCAACAAGCAGAAGUAUUGAAGUUCAUGCAAGAAACAGGUCUGGGACUUGAUGAAUGCCUAGGGCAAGUUGAGACGCCAACUGCACCGCCCCCUGAGCCGAGAUGGCCUUAUGAGCUAGGCAAACCUCUAGUAAAGCCUUCAUUGGUACGAAAGCUAUCAACAAAGAUGUACGCAUUCCAUCAAUGGUACAUGAUGGCAUCCGCUGACUCAAGGGAGAUGCUCGGCCUGAAGGUAAAACCGAUGGAUUUUCACGACAGAGGCGAGAAAGUGCUGUGGCUAGACUUCAAGGAUAUAUACGAAGUGUACCAUCAUGAUGCCAUAGACGUCUCUCUGAUCCGCGCUUGGGUUCUGUAAGUGUCCGUUUAUCUCUACAUGUAAAUUUUGGCGUGCGUCACCGUACUAACUUCGUCUUCCAUUUCAUGUAGGAUGCUAAUUCAGACAUGCCGCCGAGAGGCGUACCUACAUAUAGGCUUCAUGGAUCCAUCUGUAGUUAACCAACAGCAGAUACAAUUAGCAUCGGAGAAAACCUUGGUGGAAGUAUACAAUUUCCUAGACAAACAAACAUUCAAGGAUUUCAUACUAUUUCCAUACAACUUCAAGUAAGUGUGUGUAUACCGUCUACUUUCGAUGUCUUUUUCCUUAUCUCUACAUGUUAGUUAGCUCUAAUAUGCAUGAACAUUUUACGCACGCAGCUUCCACUGGAUCCUUAUUAUAAUUGAGCCUCAAAGAAGCCACGUCACUGUCUUCAAUUCGUUGAGGAAAGAUCCAGUGGAGCACCAAGAAAUGCAACACAUGCUAGGCUUGUAAUAAUUCUGGACCUUUAUCUCUAUGCAAAAGUUUGUUUCCUAAAUUCUAUCCCUGUUACACUAUAUCAUUCAUUAUUCUAAUCCACAGCGUAUGGAAACAAUUCAUAAGGACACAAAAAGGUCCAUUCAAAGAAAAACUUACAUGGAACACAGACUUCCCGGUACAUAUGAAGUCUGCACAUUUAUUACAUUGUAUAACACGAAUAUUUCAUAACUUAUUUUUUUCCGUAUUGAAGUGCUUAAGACAGGAACUCGGAAAUAAUCUAUGUGGCUACUACAUCUGUGAGCACAUGCACAGUUUUAUGGGACCCAAGGGACUAAAGAUGACGCCGCACAACUUUAAAGUACGUAAAAUAAAACUAUUACUAGUUAAUUAUUUUCUAGCUCCUUAUAUGUAUUUGUUCACGUAACAUUCACAAAUUUCCAAAUUAUAGAUGUUAAAUAUUCAACAAGGACUCUUGAAGGAAGAAAGAGUAGCGGCAAUAUGUGAAGGUCUCAUUGGAUUCCUAAUGGACAAGGUGGUAGAUCCAAAAGGAGAAUUUUAUUUUGAUGGACGACAAUUAGACACUCUGAUCAGCAACACCUCGAUGGGAAGAUUGUAGAUAGAUACUUUGAUUUAUUUGUAUAUAUAAUACGCGCUAAUUAUGAUCGAUUUGUACUAGUUGAAUUCUGUAUAUGAAUUGUGUAUAAGAAUUGUGUAUAUAUAUAGUAACUGUAUAAUUACAAAUCCCAUUCGUUUAAAUACUAGUUAAUUUCAUUCUAAAAAAAUCUCAACUACUUAAGGUUAACAAAAGGGCUGCGGUACUACGUACGUGAUGCAUGCAUGAAAAAUUCAGGCGCCAGGCAGGUGCCAUGCAGGGCAUCAUUUAGUCCCGUUUGGAAUCCAGCCGGGACUAAAGGGUAACCCUUUACUCCCGGUUGGGAAACCCAACCGGGACUAAAGGGGGACCGUUACUCCCGGUUAAAAGACCCGGGACUAAAACCCCCCCUUUUGUCCCGGUUGGCUUAUCCCGGAUAAAUUUUCGGGAGAUAUGCACCCUACCAACCGGGACUAAAGGCCAAUUCUCCACUAGUGGAAGGUCCUUUCUCUACCAUGAAUAUUGCCAGAAAGAAUUGAAAGAGACCGCUUGCUAAAAACAUGUCAUAGAUGCGGACCAAGCUACCAAGGAGGUAGACCAAACAUGAUACACACCAUGCGUACCUUGCUGUGCAGACUAUGCAUGGACAAGAUACCCGACCACAUGUUGGCUUUGGUCACAUCAAAAGAAUCAUGUAGGCCAUUAAUAAACUACUUGAAGCGUCAUUCCGUAUCUUAUAUCCAUCAUCUGCAUUACAUUACAUUAAAUAUUAUUAACUAUUUGAAUAAAAUGAACCAAUUUAAAAAUAAUGAAUUGUACAUUACUACAAAAAGCCCUAGCACUGCCAGUUCCAAAAACAUCAUUGUUGACGGCCGUUAAGUACCAAAUAUGACGGUCAAUAUCCUAAAGAAUAAAGGACAAUUGGCAUUUCUUACACACAUAUUUGGUUUCGAAUAAUGUAGUUCUACAUGUCCUUGGAGAUUAUUUGGGUGUGGGUGAAAUAAUACAAAAAGAAGGAGAAAACACACUCCCAUGGCAAAGAAACAUAACUCCGACCAAUGAGAGAUAGCCACAGGGGCAGCACAUGGAUCCAUGGGCCCACAAACUGCAUCAAACCAUCUUACAAGGCGGGUAGCACCCACAACUGUCAUUAGGACCCACCUGGAAGUCUAGCAAAGAAGAAGGUUGUGAGUGGGGCCACGAGGGGUUCGGUUGAAUCAUCUCUAGCUCCCUUCAUCCCCAGCUGGCGCGUGGCGGUGGUUCAUGGUGUCCCGACAUCGGUUAGAGGACAUUCCCCCAAAUAUUCCUCCUGUAAACCAGCUCUAUGAACCUAUAAAUAGAGGGGUGUGCUCUCCAUUCCAACACACACCACAAGUUGAAGCACUCUCUCCCUCUUUAGUUUCCAAGUUUACGGAGAUAGGCUGGAGUAGCUCUGCUAAAGGUUCCAAGUCCACUUGGAGUUAAGCGUAUGUCUCUUGUAUCAUUAUUUCCUAGAGAGACUUUAUGCUAUUCAAGUUAUUUAUCUUCUUCAUAUAGUGUUAUGCUUAGUUCUUAUAUGCAUGAGUUAGUCUAAUACCCUUGCUCUAUUGAUAUGCUCAGCUUAUGUGCUCGUAUGCUAGUCAUGUACCCUUGCUGUCAUAGUAUAGGGUUAUAUGCUGUCAUGUGUGCCUAUAGACCUUGCUACAGUAUAUACUUGUUGUGUAUACAUACCAUUUGUAUAUACAUUAUUACAAGUUAAGGUAGUUUUAAAUAUCCUUGUGUUGACAACCAAAGCUUGAUCUUUUGUUUCCAUUGCCAGCGGAUUCAUCGGCUCAGAGUAGGAUCAAGACAUCAAGUUGAUGGAGUUCUUUAUAUUUCAAGAGGAGUCAUGGAGUUCUUUAUAUUUCAAGAGGAGUUGAUGGUGCUUUCAAUAUUGCAACCAGACAUCAUUGGCUCUGAAGACACCGAAUCAUCGGAGUUCUAUGAUCAGUUUCGGAACAUGAAGCCUUCAUACUCCGAAACUGGGGGGCCUGUGUUGACACCGAAUUAUCGGACUUCUAUAAUUAGUUUCGGAACAUGAAGCCUUCAUACUUCGAAACUGGGGGGUAUGUGUUUACACCAAAAUUUAGAAAUGUGCUCUGAAAGGAAGGACCUGGGAGAUCUAUUGGCUGAAAUACAAAUCCAUCGAAACUAGCCUUAUGCUAAGAGAUCAGAAUAUUGUACAAAGUCUAGAAAGUUCUAUUUACAUCUAAGUAACUCGAUAACUAGCCUUACGCUAAGAGAUCAGAAUAUUGGACAAAGCCUACAAAGUUCUAAUAUAGGUAACGUAAUGACCAGGUGAGGAUAGUUACAAGCUCGCUUGAGAUCGAAGCCGAUGUAGCCCUGCGCGCAAGAAGAAACUCACCUAUUUCUACUCUACUCUUACUCCUAGGGUUUGAUGGCGUGGCGUCAAAAGAUUGUAUUGAUUGAUUGAUUAUUUGAUACAAAGCUCAUGGGCCUAUAUUUAUACCCUUGAGAAAGCUAAAAUCCUAAUCAGUUAUGACAUGAAUCGUGACAGAAAAUCUAACUAAAGAUAGAUCUCCAUGCUUUCCCUUAUUUGGUGGAGUCGAUUUCACUUCAUAUCGGAUCCCUCCCGAUCUUCUAUCGGCUUCUAGCAUCCGGUCAUCUGCGACUGGCCUUGGUCAACAUCAGGUGUCAACAGACUUAUUUCUUCUACAAGUUCAUCGGCUGUCAGAGCCUUGUCUUAGUCAGUUGACUCUAGUAAAAAAUCGAUGUCAAUACAUGCCCCCCAAUUUUUGAAUAAAAUAUUAUAUUUCAAAAUUCUCUUCUCUUGUCAACAGCUUUUGAAAGAAAAAGAGUCACUGCUGCAAUCAUAAUCUUUUUCCCCGGGUUUUGUGAUAGCACCCUCCUCAUUUUAAGGGAUUCACCAUGUGGAAAUUAUAAUAUAACUGCUUCACCCAUUUCGUUUUCUUCACCAAACCAACUAUUGUCAGCCGCUACAACCAAAAAUCAAUUAUUCCCUUCACAUGCCUAGCGACUGCAUCCAUCACUCAUCGUCACCAUUAGUCUCCAUGUGUCAAGGCUUCUUCAACCAGCAAUGGCGACAUUAUCUUCCAUUCCACAGGUACCAUGUAUCCUAGCCAUUCCUUUCCCCUUUCAACCUGAAAUCCAAUCUAGUCACUAUAUAUCAAACCUGUGUUCUUAAUCAAUACUUGCCCCCUUGUACUUAGAAACACCCUUUUGAUCCCCAUAUCCGAUACGCAAGCAGAAUACUUUCUAGGCCCCAUGGGUAGUGAAGACCCAAUAGAAUCUAUUAAUGCUGAAAUACUUGGACAAAGUCUAGAAAGUUCUAUUUACAUCUAAGUAACUCGAUAACUAGCCUUACGCUAAGAGAUUUAAAUAUUGGAUAAAGCCUAGAAAGUUCUUAUAUAGGUAACUGAAAAGUGUGUUGACGCAAAAAUUGGAUGGUUGACUCCUGCGUACUAACACACGGAACCAGGGAGAAUCUGCUUAGCUACUGUUCGGGUUAUAGCCCUCUCGAUCCGUAGCGUGCCAGUUAAUCUGACCUGCUGAUUGACAAGUAAAAAUGUCAAAUUAAGAGCAAAUCAGCUGGUGUUCCGAAUCGCUCCACGGGACGUAUCAGUAGACAGCCGAUACGGGCAAACGACAAUCAGCUAGAUCAGCCGAUUUGCUCUUGUAUUUGACGUUUUACUUGUCCUUCUCAAUCAGCAGGUCAGAUUGACUCGCACGACGCAGAUCGAGAGGGCUAUAACCUAAACAAGAGCUAAGCAGAUUCUCCCGGGUUUCAUGUCUUAGUACACAGAAGUCAACCGUCUGAUUUUAUCAUCAACACGCUUUUUGGCACGCUCAGUGGGACCCGAUUCAUAUCUUAAUGGUAAUUGGUGAUCAAGUUUCAAACAACGUAUCCACUGGUAGAAAACUGAGCAUUAGUCCCGGUUGGUAAGGGUCAUAUCUCUCGGAUAUCCAUCCGGGAUAAACCAACCGGGACAAAAGGGGGGGGUCUUUAGUCCCGGGUAUUUUAACCGGGAGUAAAGGACCCCCUUUAGUCCCGGUUGGUGUCACCAACCGGGACUAAAGGGCCUGCCACGCCAGGCGCGGGACAGGCCCUUUAGUCCCGGUUGGUGACACCAACCGGGACUAAAGGGGGUCCCUUUAGUCCCGGUUGGAUUUCCCAACCGGGACUAAAGGGGUCCCCUUUAGUCCCGGCUCAAUUCCAACCGGGACUAAAUUGCGCUUGCAUGGCACUGGUGACGCCUGAAUUUUUCAUGCAUGCAUCACGUAUACGUAUAGUAGUACCGCGGCCCUUUUAAUUUGUUAACCUUGUAGUUGAGAUUUUUUUAGAAUGAAUUAAAUCAACUAGUAUUUAAACGAAUGGGAUUUGUAAUUACACAACUACUAUAUAUAUACACAAUCCUUAUACACAAUUCAUAUACACAAUUCAACUAGCUUAAUUAGUACAAAUCGAUCAUAUAUACAAAUAAAUCAAAGUAUCUUCCUACGAUCUUCCCGUCGUGGUGUUGCUGAGAGGAGUGUCUAAUUGUCGUCCAUCGUAAUAAAAUUCUCCUCUUGGAUUUACCACCUCGUCCAUUAUGAAUCCAAUGAGACCUUCACAUAUUGCCGCUACUCUUUCUUCCUUCAAGAGUCCUUGUUGAAUAUUUAACAUCUAUAAUUUGGAAAUUUGUGAAUGUUACAUGAACAAAUACAUAUAAGGAGCUAGAAAAUAAUUAACUAGUAAUAUAUUUAUUUUACGUACUUUAAAGUUGUGCGGCGUCAUCUUCGGUCCCUUGGGUCCCAAAAAACUGUGCAUGUGCUCACAGAUGUAGUAGCCACAUAGGUUAUUCCCGGGUUCCUGUCUUAAGCACUUCAGUGCGGAAAAAAAAUAAGUUAUGAAAUAUUCGUGUUAUACAAUGUAAUAAAUGUGCAGACUUCAUACGUACCGGGAAGUCUGUGUUCCAUGUAAGAUCUUCUUUGAAUGGACCUUUGUGUGUCCUUAUGAAUUGUUUCCAUACGCUGCGGAUUAGAAUAAUGAAUGACAUAGUGUAACAGGGAUAAAAUUUAGGAAAUAAAUUUUUGCAUAGAGAUAAAGGUCCAGAAUUAUUACAAGCCUAGCAUGUCUUGCAAUUCUUGGUAGUCCACCGGAUCUUUCCGUAACGAAUCAAAGACAGUGACGUGGCUUCUUUCAGGCUCAAUUAUAAUAAGGAUCCAGUGGAAGCUGCGUGCGUAAAAUGUUCAUGCAUAUUAGAGCUAACUAACAUGUAGAGAUAAGGAAAAAGACAUCGAAAGUAGACGGUAUACACACACUUACUUGAAGUUGUAUGGAAGUAGUAUGAAAUCCUUGAAUGUUUGUUUGUGUAGGAAAUUGUAUAUUUCGGCAAAGGUUUUUUCCGGCGCUAAUUGUAUCUGUUGUUGGUUAACUACAGAUGGAUCCAUGAAGCCUACAUGUAGGUACGCCUCUCGGCGGCAUGUCUGAAUUAGCAUCCUACAUGAAAUGGAAGAUGAAGUUAGUACGGUGACGCACGCCAAAAUUUACAUGUAGAGAUAAUAAACGGACACUUACAGAAUCCAAGCGCUGAUCAGAGAGACGUCCAGGGCAUCAUGAUGGUACACUUCGUAUAUAUCCUUGAAGUCUAGCCACAGCACUUUCUCCCCUUCACCGUGAAAAUCUAUCGGUUUUACCUUCAUGCCGAUCAUCUCCCUCGAUUUGGCGGAUGCCGUCAUGUACCAUUGAUGGAAUUCGUACAUCUUUGUUGACAGCUUCCGUACCAUUGCCGGCUUCACUAGAGGCUUGCCUAGCUCAUAAGGCCAUCUCGGCUCAGGGGGCGGUGCAGUUGGCGUCUCGACUUGCCCUAUGCAUUCUUCAAGUCCCAGACCUGUUUCUUCCAUGAACUUCAAUAUAUUUUCUUGUUGAUCCAAGGGCAUUGCUUUUACCCGUUGAGCAUCUUUCUUUGAUAAAUGGCUGAGGUCGGGGACUGAACCGCUGGAGGAUGAUUUUCCUUUUCUUUUAUCCUUUUCAUCAGCCUUUACUAGAGCCCGUUCAUAGUUUGACAAGAGUGGUAUCCUUUUCUUGGCUCCUUCCUCCAUCCUGAUAAAAAAGUUUAAAUCCCGCCGACUUACUGGCGGUGGCUCCAUCUCCCUUGCCCUUUUUAAUUCGGCUUGUUUCUUGAACCACUCACUGGCCUCUCGUUGGAUUUCUGCCCACUGUUCCGCAUGAGACAUUGCCUCAAAGCGUUCCUUGCGAGCCACUUCAGGGUCGACCUUUGUUUUCUUCUUUCGAGGCUGUCUUUGCUUGGGAGGCGGUGCUCGUGACUUCUUGAGUGGUGCUGCAGGUUCCUUCGAGGGGGCCGCUCUUGGUGCCAGCGACGGUGAUCGGGGAGGGGUGUUGUUAUUGUCGUCGUCGCUCCCAGCACCAGGAUGUGGUGGAGAUGGAGACCUUGAUAUAGAUGGAAGCGACGGUCCUGGAGCAGGAGAUGCCGGUCUCGAGGUAUGAGGAGAAGGUCGCUGCUCGGGAUCUACGGGGAGCGGUCUUGAGGUCUGAGGAGAUGGCUCCGUGCGGGAAAUAAUGAUGUAGCGUUUCUUCCAUAGAAUGAUCCCAUGAAGCGCAUCUGCCAAUGUCUUUUCCCCGUCGCCUCCCGGGAAGUCGAGCUCUAGACCUUCAUACUGGGCAUCUACUAUUUGCUCGACGCAGACGCUGGCGUAGCCUGUUGGAAUGUCCAUGCCAUGACUGCUCUGCCCUGCCAGCGUUGGUAACGCACUCCCAUACGCUACCUGUACAUAUAGCAGAAGUAAACAAGUUGAACUCCGAUCUCGAGGCCUGGAUCAAUUGACAAGAUUGCAUAAAUAUUAUGUAUAAGUAUACCUUAAUAGUGAGGUUGCCGACCGGUGCAUGCAGCUCACAUGAGGUCCGUUGCGUGAUGGCAUCCACGGGGAACCGUUGCUCCUCCACGGGUAACCUGGGCGUCUGCGCAUCGGGGACCCCUGUAGAAGCACAACUGCUCCCGAGGCGUUGAGAAGGGCUGGCGGUGUGAGGAUUCGGCAGUGCUCCAGAUUGCGCCAACUCCGCAACUGCGUCGGCCACCCGCCGAUUGAUUUCAUCCAUCAUUCGUUGUUCUAGCAUCUGCCGCCAGCUCUCCUCCAUCUGUUCCUUUCUUCGCUUCCGGCUUCUGUAAGAGGCGCUGUCGCCUCGGAAAGCGAACUUCCACGGAACCACCCCGAACCCCCGGCAACGUCCUGGGUGCUCUGGAUUACCGAGGGCCAAUGUGAGCUCAUCAUUUUCUCGGUCCACCCUCAACCUCCCAGCCUUGGAAUCUUCAAUGUUCUUCAUGAGAUGUUCGGCCUUCUCACGUAUUCUGUCAUUGAAAAUCAGCGUCCCAUCCUCUUGGCUUAGGGAGCCUCCAUGAGCGUAGUACCAGUUCUUUGAUCGUUCGGGCCAUUCAAUAGUUGCAGGUAUGAUUCCCCGUUCGAUCAGAUCUUGUUCCAUCUUUCUCCACUUGGGAAUUGCUGAGCCAUACCCACCUCGCCCCAAAUGAUGGUGGUAGCCCUUCUGACUAGCAUUUGCAACGUUGGUCGUGAUCUUUUUCACACCUUCUUCACUCCUCUUGUAUUCAACAAAUGCAUCCCAGUGGUCCCUCAACUUGGGCCACGCGUUGAAGUCUGGAGUUUUGCCCUUCUUGAUGUAGUGGGUGUCCAGCAUCUUCUUGAAUGUCUGGAAUUGAGUAGCCAUCUUCUUAAGUGUCCACGCUUUGACAUCCUUCUCGCUAUAAUCUUCGGGGAAUGUGAAAUGCCUCUUCACGUCUUCCCACAGCAUAUUCUUUUCUGUCUCUGGAAGGGCGUACGGAUUAUCGCUUCUGCCCUUCCAUUCUCUGAUGCUGAUAGGCACGUUGUCCCGGACAAUUGCCCCGAUUUGACUAACGUACUUCUUUGCGACUUUCUCGGGAGCAACCGGCCUGCCCUCAUCUGUAACUUCGGUGAUGACAAGCCUCCCUUCCAUCACCUUUGUACGACCUCGGGUCUUCUGCCCUUGUGUCGAUCCGGAGGGCUAACAGUUUAAGAUUCGUUAAUUAGUACGUACUAGUAGCGGUGGCGUGAAACAAUACAAGAAUGGUUGUAUAUACCUCGCCGGAACCUUCCGCCACGGCAAGUUGUUGCUGCGGCUGUUGCUCUUCAUUCACAUCGGCAGACAUGUUGAGGAACAUGUCCGCCUGGGUGCCCUCUUCAUCCGUGUAUGAUAGUGGAACGUUGUCGCCACUAUCAUCACCAGCGAUUAUCUGCUCCAUGAUAUACCUUGCGGUCUCAUCGUCUGCCAUUUCAACUAUUGCUGCAAACAUACAUGGAAUCAUACAUGACAGUCAUAGAAAUCGUCUUAAUACAAAUUUGUAUAUAAUCACAGUUCGGAAUCAUACAUGUAUAUAAUGAAAUCAUAAAAUAACAUGAAUCGUACAAAGUCCGGAAUCUUUAUACAAAUUUCUAUGAAUUUAUACAAAUUUCUAUGAAUUUAUACAAAUUUCUAUGAAUUUCUAUGAAUUUCUAUGAAUUUCUAUGAAUUUCUAUGAAUUUCUAUGAAUUUAUACAAAUUUCUACGAAUUUCUAUGAAUUUCUAUGAAUUUCUAUGAAUUUAUACAAAUUUCUACGAAUUUCUAUGAAUUUCUACAAAUUUCUACGAUUUUCUAUGAAUUUCUACAAAUUUCUACGAAUUCCUACGAAUUUUGACGAAUUUCUACGAAUUUUGACGAAUUUCUACGAAUUUCUACGACGGCGAUAAGGGCGGCGAAGGCGGGACGGCGGCGGUCAGGGCGGCGGAGGCGGGACGGCGGCGGUCAGGGCGGCGGAGGCGGUUCACCGGAACCACGGGCGGUGCCUAAGCUACUACGUUGUGAUGGGCGGCAGGACGGCGGCGAUCACGGCGGCUACUCGGCGGCGAUCACGACGGCUACAAGGCGACUGUCACGGUAGCUACUCGGCGGGACGGCGGCGAUCACGACGGCGGGACGGUAGUUAACAACCUAACUACAAAUCUAACUUAACAAACUAACUAGAAAUCUAAAAAUCUAACUUAACAAAAUUAGAAAUCUAAAAAUCUAACUUAACAAAAUUACAAUUCCAUCUAAAAAAACAAAAUUAAAAAUUAAAAGAAAACGGCCAGCUCUCCCGGCGCACCGGCCGGCGCGGCAGACCUCUCGCGCGCGGGGCGGCGGCCGGGGCGGCGGGACGGCGGCGGCCGGGGCGGCCUGACGGCGGCGGCUGGGGCGGCGACGAGGACGAAGACGACGACGGCGGGAUGACGGCGGCCGAGGCGAAGACGACGACGGCGGCCGGCGAGGGGCGACGAGGAUGGAGCUGGCGACGAGGGGCGAUGCAGCCGGCGAGGGAGGCGGACGGGCGGCGACGGGCGGAGAGGGAGGCGGACGGGCGGCGACGGGCGAGGGAGGCGGACGGGCGACGACGACGGCGCAAUGCGGGACUUCGACGGCGCAAUGGGGGACGACGACGGCGGCGGCCGGCGAGGGAGGCGGACGGGCGGCGACGGGCGGAGAGCGCGGGACUUGCGAAAAUUUCGCUAAGUGUGGAACUGGCGGGGGGUAGAAGGGAGUACAGUGCUUUUAACCCCCCCCCCCUUUUAUCCCGGUUCGUAAUGGCACCCGGGACAAAAAGGGCCUUUUGUCCCGGGUCCUGUCACCAACCGGGACAAAAGGCCCCCCCUUUUAUCCCGGUUGGUGACGGGACCCGGGAUAAAAGGGUGCGCUCCCAGCCCCACCUGGCGGGGGCACCCUUUUAUCUCGGGUCCCGUUACCAACCGGGACAAAAGGCCCCCCCUUUUAUCCCGGUUGGUAACGGGACCCGGGACAAAAGGGUGCCCCCGCCAGGUGGGGCUGGGAGCGCACCCUUUUAUCCCGGGUCCCGUCACCAACCGGGAUAAAAGGGGGGGGCCUUUUAUCCCUGUUGCAAAUGGCAACCGGGAUAAAAGGGUACGUUCGGGCGGGAGACGAAACGUACCCUUUUAUCCCGGUUGCCGUUUGCAACCAGGAUAAAAGGGGGGCCUUUUAUCCCGGUUGCUGUUAGCACCCGGGACAAAAGGUCCUUUUUCCUAUUUUUCUUCUCCCGCCUGUUUUUUGGAAAUGGAUUUUAUUUAACCUUUUCACUGCAUUCCAGGAUGAAAAACAAAACCUUCUCAGAUUUUGUACAUGCAAAAAUAUAUUUAAUUAACGAGUAAAUUGACAAUAAGUAUGAAGUAAUCAUUAUUUCUAUACCAACUCAUAUAGCCUGUAAAAUAUUUAUUUUACUGCAUUGCUGUGAUCAAUAAAUUAUUCAAUUAAAUUUUUUGAAUGCGCAGAAAAAUCCAUGUUAGUAUGUGGUUAACAAUGUUCAUGUAUAUCUAAAAAAUCUUCACCUAACAAAUUUAAUUACAAAUUUUAUCAAUUAAUACACAAAGGUCAUGCACAUUUAACGCAUUACAAUACAACGUUGUAAAAUUUCUUCUUCACGAAAGUUCCUUGAUCAUGAUCGCGGCGUAAGUACGGAGCCUCUUCUUUGGACAGCAGGAUGCUUGGAUCAACUUCAACGUCGAAUGGAGGCAUGCCAUCAAACUGAUCAUAAUCAUCUGAUUGGUCUGUUUUAUCCUCGACUCCCACGAUUUUUCUUUUACCUAGAAGAACUAUGUGGCACUUUGGCUCCCAUGUCUCUUCUGGAUUCCUCUUGGGUUUGCUGCACAUGUCCUUCACAUAGAACACCUGAUGCACAUCAUUGGCAAGUACGAAUGGGUCAUCACUGUAUCCAGUCUUGCUCAGAUCUACUAUUGUCAUUCCGUACUGAUCUUUGGUGACGGCAGUUAGCUUCACCCAAUUGCAAAGAAAUAGAGGGAUGUACAGCGGUCCGUAUUCGAGUUCCCAUAUCUCCUGUAUGAAACCAUAAUACGACUCCUUGCUAUUAUUUCUGUCCAUGGCAUCUAUGCGGACACCACUAUUCUGGUUCGUGCUUUUCUGGUCCUGGGCUCUCGUGUAAAAUGUGUAACCAUUUAUCUCAUAGCCUUGGAAUUUGACGAUUGUGGUAGCAGGUCCCCUGGCUAACCAAGCAAGCUGUGGGUGAAUCUCAGAGUUACCCAUAAGUUGUUGGCGCAACCAGGAGGGAAAAGUUUCCAUGUGAUGACGGGUAAGCCAAGCAUCGGAUUUGGUCGGGUUUUUGGAAGCUACCAUCUGCCUGUGCUGCUCGAUAUACGGAGACACAAAGGAUGACUGUUGUAGAACAGUGUAGUGUGCCUUGUCGAACAAAUUAGUAUCAUUGCUCAAACUUGAUUUCCUUCCAAGGGUGCCCAUUCCUCGGAGCCUCCCCUCGUGGCGUGAAGUUGGAACCCCAAUCGAGUCAAUUGAAUCAAUAAAAUCAACACAAAACUCGAUCACCUCCUCUGUUCCAUAUCCCCUGGCGAUGCUUCCUUCUGGACGAGCACGAUUACGAACAUAGUUUUUUAGGACUGCCAUGAACCUCUCGAAAGGCCACAUAUUGUGCAGGUAUACAGGUCCGAGAAUACCAAUCUCUUUUACUAGGUGAACCAGUAAGUGCGUCAUAUUAUUGAAGAAGGAUGGUGGAAAUAACAACUCAAAACUGACAAGACAUUGCACCACAUCGUUCUGUAGCUUUGAUAGCUUGGAUGGAUCGAUUGCCUUCUGCGAAAUCGCAUUGAGAAACGCGCAUAGCUUUACGAGCGGCAACCGGACAUUUUCGGGUAGAACACCCCUCAGUGCAACCGGAAGCAACUGGGUCAUCAACAUGUGGCAGUCAUGAGCCUUGAGAUUUGUAAACUUCUUUUGUUUCAUAUUUAUUAUUCCCUUUAUAUUCGAGGAGUACCCAGACGGGACCUUCAUACUAUUCAAGCAUUCAAACAUACUAUCCUUCUCCUCCUUGCUGAGAGUGUAACUGGCAGGACGUAAGUAGUGCUGUCCAUUAUCUCUCUUUUCCGGAUGUAGGUCAUCUCGUUGCCCCAUGGCUUUCAGGUCCUGUCUUGCUUCCAAUGUAUCUUUUGAGGUUCCAUAAACACCCAUGAAGCCUAGCACGUUCACGCAAAGAUUCUUCGUCAGGUGCAUCACGUCUAUUGCGUUGCGAACCUCUAGGAUUUCCCAAUAAGGUAGCUCCCAAAAUAUUGACUUUUUCUUCCACAUGGGUGCAUGUCCGUUAUCAUCGUUCGGAAUAGGUUGGCUACCAAGUCCCUUUCCAAAGACUACAUGUACAUCCUUCAUCAUCUCGAACACACGCUUUCCAUUACGGUGUGCAGGUUUUUUACGAUGGUCUGGCGUCCCUUUGAAAUGCAUCCCGCUCUUUCUCAGCUGGUGGUGAGCAGGGAGAAAUCGACGAUGACCCAUAUAGACGACCUUCUUACAGUGCUUCAAGUACAUGCUAUCUGUGUCAUCUAAACAGUGGGUGCAUGCCCGAUAUCCCUUAUUUGUCUAUCCUGAAAGGUUACUCAAUGCAGGCCAAUCGUUGAUGGUUACGAACAACAGUGCUCGUAGAUUAAAGAUCUCUUGUCUAUCCUCAUCCCACACACGUACACCUUCUUCCUUCCAGAGCUGUAAAAGGUCAUCAACCAACGGCCUUAGGUACACGUCAAUGUCGUUGCCGGGUUGUUUUAGGCCUUGGAUAAGCGCCGGCAUCAUAAUGAACUUCCGCUUCAUGCACAGCCAAGGAGGAAGGUUGAACAUACAAAGGGUCACAGGCCAAGUACUAUGACCACUACUCAACUCACCGAAUGGAUUGAAUCCAUCAGUGCUUAAACCAAACCUUAUGUUCCUUGCUUCACUUUCAAAGUCUGGGAAUGUUCUAUCAAUUGAUCUCCACUGUGCCCCAUCUGCGGGGUGUCUCAGCAUCUCAUCUUCCUUACGGUCUUCUUUGUGCCAUCGCAUCAACUUAGCAUUCGCCUUGUUCCUGAACAAGCGCUUCAAGCGUGGUAUUAUAGGGAAAUACCACAUCACCUUCACGGGAACUCUCUUCUUGGGAGACUGCCCCUCGACAUCACCAGGAUCAUCUCGCCUGAUCUUAUACCGCAGGGCUUCGCAGACGGGACAAGCAUCCAAUUCCUCGUAUUCAUCACCACGAUAGAGGAUACAGUCAUUAGGGCAUGCGUGUAUCUUCUGAACAUCCAAUCCGAGAGGGCAAAUAAUCUGUUUAGCUUCAUAUGUUGUGGACGGUAAUUCAUUAUUCUCGGGGAGAAUCUUCUUGACAAUUCUCAACAUCCCCUGAAAUGCCUUAUCGGACACACCAUUUUUUGCCUUCCAUUGCACAAAUUCUAGUGUCGUACCUAGUUUUUUAUGGCCCUGCUGGCAACCUGGGUACAACAAUUUUUGGUGAUCAUCUAUCAUGCGCUGCAACUUUGCUGCUUCCUUCUCAGUUUCGCAAUCUCUGUAUGCAUCUCGUAUCACCUGACCAAGGUCAUCAGUAGGGUCAUUUUCUGCAAACUCAUCUUCAUCAGCCUCGCCCAUUGUAGUACCUGCAAAAGCUUGGCCUGCAACCCAGUCCGGAAUGGUGUCAUCUUCCUCCUCCUCCUCGCCAUCUUCCAUUACAACCCCUAGUUCACCGUGCUUGGUCCAAACCAAAUAGUUAGGCAUGAAACCGUAUUUAAACAAGUGGCUGUGAAUAGUCCCCCAGGAAUUCUUUGAAUACUCCUUCCUGUUAUUGCAUUGGAAGCAUGGACAACAUACGAACCCAUUCUCUGGCUUGUUCGCUUUUGCCACUUCGAGAAAAUAAUGCAAGCCAUCAAUAAACACCUUGCUCCGCCUGUCUGCAUUAUACAUCCAAUGCCGGUCCAUCUGCAUCGUAUUACGCACGAAAAUGGAUUACACUUGACAAUGGAUUACGCGUGAAAAUCGAUUAAAGAUCCAAACAACAUGGUACAAUACAACAACAUGAAGAUCCAAAUACACAUAUUUAAAUUAAAGUCCCAAACACUGCAUAAGUUGUUCAACUUGAAGACCGUGAUCAUCUCGUGAGGAUGUCCUCAACUGGGCGGCACCGCACUUCGUCAUUAAAGAGGUUAGAUGCUACGGAAAAGGGGACACGGUCACAAUGUCCGUAUCCACUCUUUCUCGUAGAAUCGAACCUCCUUCUUGACAUACGUUGCUGCUCGGCGGAGAACAUCCUCGGCGAGAUGAACACGGUAUGCAAGUUCAACAAGUAGCAGAAGUCAUCUAUGUACAAAAAUUCUUUCCUUACCACUACAGAAGUUGUUGAACUUGAAGACCGUGUUCAUUUCGCGAGGAUGUCCUCAGCUAGGCGGCACCGCACUUCGUCAUGAAAGAGGUUAGAUGCUACGGAAAAGGGGACACGGUCACGAUGUCCGUAUCCACUCUUUCUCGUAGAAUCGAACCUCCUUCUUGACAUACGUUGCUGCUCGGCGGAGAACAUUCUCGCCGAAAUGAACACGGUAUGCAAGUUCAACAAGUAUAUGGAUUUAAAAAACCAUAUUGAAUUUGAUAAGAUAAACCGUCUAGACAAGGUAGCAUCAUUUUUAAACCACUGAAAUAAUGCAUACUAUAUAUGACACAUCAAUCUCCCUCACAUUCUAGCUCAAAAUACCUCUCCAUUUUUCUACUUCAUCAUCACAUUGUAGCAAAUAAUCUUUCCAUCUCCAAAGCAUAAAUCAAAGCAUAACACGAGGAUGAAGUAGCAAACCUUCGCAGCACUUGUUGGCUGAGUCAAAUUCCCACGAAAAUGAGGGAAAAAAGUUCGGGCAGCACCUCCCUUGCUUGGGCACCACCGGAGAGUAGGUGAAGCUCAGCUCUCUAUCAAUGUGCUGGACUGCUCGGGCUGGAGGAAGAAGAAAGUCUCUGUCUCGGGGUAUAGUGGGGGAUGAGUUUUAAUCCCGGUUAAAAACUCCAACCGAGACAAAAGGAAACACCUUUUGUCCCGGUUGGAAAGUUAGUCCCGGUUGGAGGAUCCAACCGGGAUAAAAGGGACACCCUUUUAUCCCGGUUGGAGGCACCAACCGGGACUAACCCUUUUAUCCCGGUUGGUGCCUCCAACCGGGAUAAAAGGGUGUCCCUUUUAUCCCGGUUGGAUCCUCCAACCGGGAUAAAAGGGUCCCGCCACCGACGGCCCCCGCUAGCCGUUGCAACCGGGACUAAAGGGGGGCCUUUAGUCCCGGUUGCAAUUACCAACCGGGACUAAUGCUCCCCUCCAAAUUCCCGCACCCCGGCGCACCCCCUUUUGUCCCGGGCCACUUUUAAACCGGGAUAAAAGGGGGUUGAUCGAAAGUCAGUUCUCUACUAGUGAUCGGUGACUCCGCUCGAGGAGAAUUGUUUAUAUCAAGCAUAGAAAUGACAACGUUGGAAGUGGAGGAUAUAUUUUGCUCUGUUGAUUUAAUUGCCGCGAGAGUGGCGGACAAGUUCUAAUGAUUGAAGAUCAGAAGCGUCUCGUGGAGAAUUUUUCAGAAGCUAUAUUUGGAAUUAUUAUAUUAUCUCAGGAGCAGAUUAAAUAUAACGCCACCACUGAAAGCCGAUGAGAUGUAUCUAUCGGCUACAUGCUAUUCAGAUGAAUUUGAUGACAGAUUAAUUACGGAGGAGACCGACCGAUACAACAUUAUGGUUUCUUACUGCUGAUCUGUUAUGAAAGAGGAUGUGAGAAGCUGAUAAUCAAGCAACAAUAAAAUGAUAUACACGCAGGGCAUUAAAUAUUGAGUUAAUGAUUGGGAGUACUACCAUUAUCUUAUGAAAAGUCCAUCGGCUAACCAAACAGCGUCAGCCGAUGGAAGCAAAUAGUGUCAGCCGAUAGAAUGAUGUUAUAUAAGUAUAUAUAUCGGCCUCCGAGCCAAUGGGAAGUAGGAACUAUCAGCCGAUGCACACAUCCAUGGACAUAGCCGAUAAGACAUUGUAUCGGCUGCUUGGCAAAUAAAAAUAGCAUCGGCUGACCGCUUGUUAAAAUAUUAUCGGCCGAUUGCUUGGCAAAAUAGUAUUGGCUGACUGCUUGGCAAAUAAAAAAAUAAUAGGUUGACCAAAAAAGGAUAGCAUUGCCUGAUUGCUUGGCAAAUAAAAAAAAUUACGUCGGCUGAUUGGUUCCAGCAAAAUAGUAUCGGCUGCUUGUUGAUCAGAAAAAGCCGAUACUGUUACAGCUCCCGCAACUGUGCUUUGCUGUCAUCGGCUGGGUUGUUCGUGCUCCAUCUGCAAAUAUUUGUCCCGGCUAGAAAGUAUCGUACGUGCAUUGGGAUUCGGCAGUACAAAUCACGUACACGCGUAUGGUCUGCUCAGAAGCUGUCUGUUCGACGAAGUUCCAGGCCAAUGGUGGAGACUUGAUGACCAUGGUGACCUGCAUUAAUCAACAUGAAGUAUGUAUCGGCUGUUCGGUGAUUGGUAGCAAAUCAGCUUUCUCAUAGCCGGUGACAUAUGGGGCAAGAAAUAUCAGGCUUAAAAAAGGACAGUACGAUCAAUGUCGAAAGUUGUAGCCGACGGUUCUAUUAUUGUGCAGUCGAUGGAACAUAGAAGAUGCAUCUGAAUGAGCAAAAGGAAGGGAGCCGAUAGAAGGGAAUUUAAGUUGCAUGAGAUCCAAUUAAAUUAAGAUGACGAGAGGUGUUGACAUCGAAUCAUCGGACUUCUACGAAGUCUUCAUACUCCGAAACUAGGGAGUCUGUGUUAACACCAAAAUUUAGAAAUAUGCUGAUGCAAAAAAAUAAUGAAAUCUCCUAAAUAAGGCUCAAGAAAGAAAAAGCAAGAAAAGAAAAUCAAUCGCACGCGGCAAGAAUUGAAUAAAAUAUUCUAGAGGUAGAGUUGGUUAGGAUAAGCUUAAUUAGGGAUAGAGUUGGAUUAGUUAGAGAUAGUAUUUUGAUUAGAAAAGAUUGUGUACAUGACUUGUACGUGGUGCGUCAGAGGCCAUCCGCCCUAUAAAUAUAAGGGGUCGUGGCCAUUGUAAUUAUCAUCACACGAUCAAUAUACAACAUAUUUAUCUUUUACCUUUUCGGCUUCACGCCAUUGUAUUAGGAGUAGGAGUAAUGUAGCUUCCUGACGAGUUCCUUCUAGCAAGCUGUGCUGCAUUGACCUUGAUCUCUGGCGAGCUGCAAAGUUCCGUCACCAGGUGUUCUAGGCUUUAACCACCGGGCGCAUCGCUUGUGGUUUCGUCUAGUUUCAUCUACAAGGUAUCGAAUAUCAUGGAUCUUUAACUUACGCAUCGCUUCUGUCUUGAUCUACGGUAUUCACCAGUUAUCCUGCCUUGGUUAAGUCUGCAUCGGCUGAUAUUUAUCUGUUCUAUCAUCUUGCCGUUCAGUUUGCUUUAAUUAGCUUUAGAUCGGUUCAUUAUAGAUGAUAGAUCGCUUAAUAGCCUGUUGCAUCUUAAUCUUGGUUACCCCUUCAAGUGCUGUUGGGAUUAAGUUUCGUUAUGAUUGGAUUCAUCGGCUGGUGGGGUUGGUGGGGUUCAGAUUAACAUCGUGCUAAAUAUUUCUAGACUGCAACUACUGGACGCAUCGCUGUGGUUUCAUCUAGAGAUAUUGGUAGAGAGUUUAGUUUAGAUCUCAUCGGUUCGUGGCUCUAGCUAUGGUGGAGCGGCAGCUGAAUAGCAUCCUGUUUUCUAUCGGUCGCCUGGCCGAUAGUUAUUGCAAAAUAUAUUAAAUCGCCUGGAUGGCCGAUGGAUCACUCACGCUCGUCAAGGAUCAUAUCGGCCUGAUCGGCCAGUUGCCUCGGACUUCAAAGGAUUAUUUUCACCUUGUCAGUUGAAUGGUCAAACUGGCUGGCACGCCCGCGCACACCAUGCGCGCCGAUUUGGAUUUUGCACUGGAGUUAAGUAGAUCUUCCAGGUCCUCAUGUGGUGACGAAGGAUCCACCACCAUCAGGAUUUUGCGUCAACACAUUUUGGCACGCCCAGUGGGACACGGUUAUAAGGUUCAUAUUUUUAUUCAUAUAAAAAAGCAUCUUCGGCAUCAUCGGCCAAAUGAGUGUUCAUCGGCUUGUUAGAAUUAAUUCAAUAUAAUAUUUCAGCAAAAGCAGCCGAUGUAGCGAUUGGAGAUAAGGCCAAGUCAAGUCUGCGUGUAUACGCAUGUUCCGGUGGGAUCAUCUUCAUAAAUGCCAAUGACGAUUAGAGAUGAAGCUUCCUGCAAAAUGAUUGGCUACUCUAUCCGGGAAGAAUUGCUUUUUUAUGAGGCAUAUAUAGAGACCCAUGUUGCAAUUAGGGGGCGUAUUCGUGCAUUGGCUGAAAUAAAAAAAUGCAUCGGCAUAUUGAAAAUUGCAUCGGCCGAUUGACAGUCGUAUCAGCUGAUUGGAAAAAUAAAAAGGGAUCAGGGAUCCGCCGAUUGAAAAUUGCAUCAGCUGAUGGAAAAUGAGAGCAACAGUUACAAUAUUUUUUUUAAAAGAAAGCAAGUAUCGGCAAGCAGUAGCCGAUGGAUUUGUAUUUCAGCCAAUGGGGUUUUUGUUUCAGCUGAUAGUACUACUGGCUGAUGGCAAGUCCAAUGGAGUUAAAAUUGCAUUGACUGAUUGAAAUAAAAAUUAAGUAUCGGCUAAUUUAUGGCCAAGUAGCAUCUGCUGAUUUGUUGCAAAGUAGUUUCGGCUGAUUUAUGGCAAAAUAGAAUCGGCCGAUUUAUGGCAAAGAAGCCAAUAGACAAAAGCAUCGGCUGGUAGAGAAGCCGAUUGAGCAAGCAUCUGUUGAUGAGCUAUGUAUGGGAAAAAGUAUUGGCUGCUUAAACAAUUGACAAAAGCCAAUUGGUCAGACUGAGAAGCCAACUGGGAAAGCAUCGAUCGAUGGAUUGCGUAUGGGAGAGAGUAUCGGUUGAAGUCUUUAGUAUUGACUGCUAGAUAUUUGAGCAAGCGUCGGCCGAUUGACUGCUUGGUAAAAAAAACAUCGGGCUGAUUGCUUGGUUAAUAAAAAAAUUGCAUCGUUCAAGCAAAGAUUGCAUGGGCUGAUUGGUUCAAGCAGAAUAGUAUCGGUUGCUUAUAGAAUAUAUCGGAUAUUAAUUUCGAAGCAUGAAAAUAUUCAUACUCCGAAACUGGGGGGCCUGUGUUGACAACAAAAGCUUGCUGGUUACUGCAUCAAGUUUUGGUGUCAACAUACUUGAUCUUUUGUUUCCAUUGCCAGCGGAUUCAUCGGCUCAGAGUGGGAUCAAGACAUCAAGCUGAUGGAGUUCUUUAUAUUUCAAGAGGAGUCAUGGAGUUCUUUAUAUUUCAAGAGUAGUCGAUGGUGCUUUGAAUAUUGCAACCAGACGUCAUUGGCUCUAAAGAUACCGAAUCAUCGGACUUCUAUGAUCAGUUUCGGAACAUGAAGCCUUCAUACUACGAAACUGGGGGCCUGUGUUGACACCGAAUCAUCGGACUUCUAUAAUUAGUUUUGGAACAUGAAGCCUUCAUACUUCGAAACUGGGGGGCCUAUGUUAACACCAAAAUUUAGAAAUGUGCUCUGAAAGGAAGGUAUCGGCCGAUGAUGCAAAAAAAUAAUGAAAUCUCCUAAAUAAGGCUGAAGAAAGAAAAGCAAGAAAAGGAAAUCAACGCACACGGCAAGAAUUGAAUAAAAUAUUCUGGAGAUAGAGUUGGUUAGGAUAAGCUUGAUUAGAGAUAGAGUUGGAUUAUUUAGAGAUAGUAUUUUGAUUAGAAAAAAUUGUGUACAUGACUUGCCUUGUACGUGGUGCGUCAGAGGCCAUCCGCCCUAUAAAUAUAAGGGGUCGUGGCCAUUGUAAUUAUCAUCACACGAUCAAUAUACAACAUAUUUAUCUUUUACCUUUUCGGCUUCACGCCAUUGCAUUAGGAGUAGGAGUAAUGUAGCUUCUCGACGAGUUCCUUCUAGCAAGCUGGGCUGCAUCGACUUCGAUCUUCGGUGAGCUGCAAGUUCCGUCACCAGGUGUUCUAGGCUUUAACCACUGGGCGCAUCGCUGUGGUUUCGUCUAGUUUCUUCUACCAGUUACCGAGUAUCUUGGAUCUUUGACUUAUGGCACAUCGCUUCUGUCUCGAUCUACGGUAUUCACCAGUUAUCCCGCCUUGAUUAAGCUUGCAUCGGCUGAUAUGUAUCUGUUCUUUCAUCUUGCCGUUCAAUUUGCUUUAGUUAGCUUUAGAUCGGUUCAUCAUAGACAAUAGAUCAUUUAAUAGCAUGUUGCAUCUUGAUCUUAGCUAUCCUUCGAGUGUUGUUGGGAGUAAGUUCCGUUGUGAUUGGAUCCAUCAGCUAGCAGGGUUUAGAUUAACAUCCUGCUAAAUAUUUCUAGACUGCAACUACCGGGCACAUUGUUGUGGUUUCACCUAGAGAUAUUGGUGGUGACGUUAGUUUAGAUCUCAUCGGCUUGUGGCUCUAGCUAUGGCGGGGCAACAACUCAACAACAUCCUGUUUUCAAUCGACCGUCUAACUGAUAGCUAUUGUAAAUUAUAUUAAAUCGGCUGGAUGACGAUGAAUCACUCACAUUCAUCAAGGUACUGGAAUCGGCUUCACAGCCGAUAUAUUUGUCAUGAUUUAUUUUGUUGCACCAUUAUCGCUACUGUGCUAGGAUUAUAUCGGCCUAAUCGGCCAGUUUCCUCGGACUUCACAACGACUAUCAUCUCCUUGUCAGUUGAAUGGUCAAACUGACUGGCAUGCCCGCGCACACCACACGUGCCGAUUUGGAUUCUGCACUGGAAUUAAGCAGAUCUCCCAGGUUCUCAUGUGCUGAUGCAGGGUCCACCACCGCCAGGAUUUUGUGUCAACACCUUGUAAUCUUCCUUUGAUUUCCUCAAUGAUUCGAAGACAAUAACCUUGCUUGUAUAAAUGAUAAUUAUAAGGAGAACCUAGUGGAAACUGUGUAUUCAUAUUAGAACUACCUAUGGUUAAUUAGGUUAGGAAAGGAAAUCGAAAAUAGACCGUACCCACACUUACUUAAAGUUGUUGGGCAGUAGUAUGUAAUGCUUGUAAUUCUGUUACUCCAAGAAUUUGUAUAUGUGGUCCAAUGUAGACUUUGGUUGAUCCCAUAUCUGUUGUUGGUUAAAUAAGUGUUUCUGGCCAUUUCUAGCCGUUAGAACCGGAACUAAAGGGGGCUCUUUAGUACGGGUUGAUAUUACUAACCGGGACUGAAGAGCCCCCAUUACAGUUGGUUUUUGGACGCGGAACUAACAACUCCUUUAGUCCCGAGUCCAAAAACGACUGAGAUAGAAGAUCCUUUCUCUACCGUGAAUAUUGCCAGAAAGAAUUGAAAGAGACCGCUUGCUAAAAAUAUGUCAUAGAUGUAGACCAAGCUACCAAGGAGGUAGACCAAACAUGAUACACACCAUGCGUACCUUGCUGUGCAGACUAUGCAUAGACAAGACACCCGACCACAUGUUGGCCUCGGUCACAUCAAAAGAAUCAUGUAGGCCACCAAUAAACUACUUGAAGCGUCAUUCCGUAUCGUAUAUGCAUUGCCGGUUCAUCUGCAUUACAUUACAUAAAGUAGUAUUAACUAUUUGAAUAAAAUGAACCAAUUUAAAAGUAAUGUGUUGUACUCUACUAUAGAAAGCCCUAUCACUGUCGGAUCCAGAAACAUCAUUGUUGAUGGUCGUUAAGUACCAAGACGGUCAAUAUUCUCAAGAAUAAUGGAGAAUUGGCAUUUCUUACACACAUAUUUGGUUUUGAACAAUGUAGUCCCACAUGUCCUUGGAGAUUAUUUGGGUGUGGGUGAAAUAAUACAAAAAGAAGGAGAAAACACACUCCCAUGGUGAAGAAACAAAACUCCGACCAAUGAGAGAUAGCCACAGGGGCAGCACACGGAUCCAUGGGCCCACAAACCGCAUCAAACUGUCUUACCAAGGCGGGUAGCACCCACAACCAUGAUUAGGACCCACCUGGAUGUCUACCAAGAAGAAGGUUGUGAGUGGGGCCAGGAGGGGUUCGGCUGAAUCAUCUCUAGCUCCCCUCAUCCCCAGCUGGUGCAUGGCGGUGGUUAAUGGUGUCCCUACAUCGGUUAGAGGAGAUUCCCCCAAAUAUUCCUCCUGUAAACCACCUGUAUGGACCUAUACAUAGAGGGGUGUGCUCUCCAAUCCAACACACACCACAAGUUUAAUCACUCUCUCCCUCUUUAAUUUCCAUGUUUAUGGAGUUAGCCUAGAGUAGCUCUGCUCAAGGUUCCAAGUCCACUUGGAGUUAAGCAUAUGUCUCUUGUAUCGUUAUUUCCCAGAUUGACUUUAUGCUUAGUUCUUAUAUGCAUGAGUUAGUCUAAUAGCCUUGCUCUAUUGAUAUGCUCGGCUUAUAUGCUCGUAUGCUAGUCAUAUACCCUUGCUGCCGUAGUAUAGGCUUAUAUGCUCUCAUGUGUGCCUUUAGACCUUGCUACAAUAUAUACUUGUUGUGUAUACAUACCAUGUAUAGGCUAGUCGAUCUAUACCAUGGCAUUGGUUCAAUAGCCAUGUUUUUGGUGGCUCCAACCCUAGUCAGAAUAGCUCGGGACAGCUAGAGUGUUGUUAAAAAUGCAAGAGUGAUGGUUGGGUUGUUUAGCAUCGUUGGAUAUGGGUUUUCCCCACGGGUUUCUAAGAGUAGGCGGCAGCUAGUGACAGCCCUGUCCGUCCUUCGUAAUCCCCCCACAUUCAAGUACGCCAUAGAAGUUCAUAAAUUAGCAGUAACUACACCGGCAGACCGGUAGGGUAUUGUCUCCCUAUAGUACCUUGGUGCAUAGAACUAGGUCAUAUACACUGUGUGUCUAUGUUUACGCUGAUAUGAUCUGUGCAGUAUAUAGCAUGUAUAUAUGAACCUAGAGCUAACUCCUAGUCCAUUCUCCGUAGCUUAGUUAUCUUGAGAUGAUUCUUCUGUGUGUGUAACACUACCCAUCUUAUCAUUAUCCUUAAUCCUGUCUUGUGUAAUAUAUCUACUCAUCCUAUGAUAUACUCAUAUGCAUAGUAAACUAUUUUGACCUACCCGCCUUCCUUUGGGAAAUACGAUACCCUGGAAUAAUCCUAGGUGAAAUGCUACAACGGUAUAUCCAUGUGCUUACGGAAUUAUUCCUGACCAUUAAAUAUACCAACAAUCAUCACUAUCUAUUUUGGGCAUCGUUAGUGAAGGGUCGGCAGUGAUGGGCAUCCCCUUCACCAAUGGAGCUGGAACUGGCGGUGAUGGCCAUUAAAAAAAAUGGGACCCCACCCAGCGUACCCCGCAACCCGGCCGGCUGCGCCUCCCAUCAUCCCCGCCGGUCGCCCUUCCUCUUUGCCGGCCGAGCAUGGUUCCGGCCCUCGUCCCUACCGCCUCGCCUCCAUCGCGACCCCCUGCCGAUGCCCUCAUGCCUGGCCCCCCUCGUCUGGCCGGCCACCCUCCCGAUGCAUCCACCGGGGCCCUCGCACCACCAACCACCCUAGCCUAGAGAGAGAGAGGAGGAGGGAGGUGAGGCCACGCACCUCGUCCUACAACGCCGCUGUUGCUCCUCGGCCCACCGCGCCUCACCCCACACCACAGCCGCACCUCGCCAUCUUACCGGCCGCGACGCCCCAUCUCACCGGCCACCGUUCCUCACCCCCACAUCGGUCAUCGCUGCUCCUUGCCCUACUGCUGCUCUUUGCAGCCGCGAAUGAGGGGCGAGUGGAGGGGGAGGGGCGGGGCAGGAGGAGGGCAAGAUCCGGGAGGAAGGGAGAGAUUUUGGGAGGUGGAGAUGGAAGGAUAUGGCGGAAGGUAGAGAUCUAGAGGGAGAGAGCGGGGGGGAGAGGGGGGCAUGUGGGGAGAGAGCGCAUGUGGGGUGGGGCCGGGCUGGUGGGAUGGAAGGUAGAGGGGCCGGAGGGCGCAGUGCAUUCAACUGGAUUAAGUAAAUAUUUCGGAUUCGAGACCCCAGCUUUAUUAUCACCGCUGGUCCGUAGUACCAUUCGGUGCCGGCUCAUAAUUUAAUUUGAACCGGUGGUGAUGUUUUAUUAUCACUGCUGGUUUCAAUUUUCACCAUCGGAUCAUAUAAAAAUCCGGCGGUUAAAAAUCCGCUGGUUUCGAUGAAAACCGACAGUGAUAGGACGACUGUGAUAGUCUCUUCUCUAGUAGUAGUAUAUUAGUACCGGCUGCCGGAUGGUGUUGCCGACGAGUACUUCUCCAGGGGCGAUUCAGUACUGAUGUUAGCAAAGCUUGUUCUCUAUGAAUUUGGGGAUGGAAAGCUAGUUCUCUAGUUGUGAUUUGUUACAUAUAUCUCUAUGAUAGUCUAGAAAUUGCAUGUCCUUCGUUGACAUAGUUGAAGCUGCUUCAAGAAUUUACUUCGUGCAGUCGUGCAGCAUAUUGGAUUAUCACCUAGACAGGAUACAUAGGUGAAGCAUUGCAUGUGAUUGUGGCUGAUAAUUAUGCAGGACGCUGUUGCAAUCAACCAUCAAGAAGACUGGAGCGAUGGGGUUGCCUCAUCAACAAUUUUUAUAUAUGGCUGCAGUAUUAUUAAGCCCACGUCAAUAAUUUUUUCUCCGCAGCAUAUAUAUGGUUACUCAGUUCGCUGGAGUAUCGCUGUGGAAAAACAUACGUACUGCGCCUCGGAACUAACUGGCAUUCAGGCCAUCAACGACCAGAUAUUUGGGACAACCAACAAAUAGUAGGUGGUUCCUAAGUUGUAGUCGUAUGUACUAAUGCGCCUCGAUGGGGUUUUCUUCAGAUAUUUUAUUGCCGUUCAAUGAACAAGCAGAUACAUAACCUGUGCAGAAAAUUCCAUCUCCACGCAUGCCACUGCACCAACAAGAUCCUCAGUCGACGAUGAUGGCUCAGCCUGUUCCUUCUGCCACCAAAUCCUCAAUCUUCCCUCCAGCAACGGAGAAUGCACCUUUAGUACCUUCAGUAUCAGAUGUUGCAAUCGGUACCGUGAAACCGAGACUAAAAUCCUUACUUUGCAGGGGGCAAAACAAUCUUGCAAAUAUAUAUUUUGAAUUCCAACAAAAUUUAAGAAAUGUUAAAGAUGACUAGCUGAGAGUCAACAGACAAGAUAUGAUAUUAGGAAUGUGGGAGGAUGAAUGCAUUUGUACAGGGGUCAUACUAUUUCCAGACUCUUCUAUAUUUCCAUAUGACUACCUACUUCAAUGUCACGCGAGCCAUUCAAAAAGAUACAUGGUACACUUGUAUGUCUAAUCCAUUAUUGAUUAUUUCCUCUUGUCAUCUCUUACAAGUAUUUCUCCAUACUAUAGAAACGUGCAACACAUUUUUAGGAUAUGGACACGCAUGAUUAAUAUGCUUGGACUAGUAUACAGGUCAUCUUUGGAUGAGUACAUAUGAAUGCCAGGGAGGGACUGAUGGAUAUAAGGAAAAGGGACCAUGCAUAAAUAAUGACAUAUGUAACAUGGCAAUCUUCAUUGCCAUGCAACUCCUAUCAACAAUCAUGGAAUACAUACUACUGCUCCAGAAGGGUGGUGUGCAAAUUUAUUUUACCUCGCGGUGAAAAUCUCCAGAGCAGGCCUGAAGUUAAAAUAAGAGGCAGUCACUAUCGAUCAUGACAGUCUCGAAACUGUACAGCACUAUGCUAGUCCUAGUCCUCAUGUCGUUCGUGCUGUCGUGUAGCAUGAUGGAUUAUUAACUGGGCAGGACACGGAGAUGGCUAGCGAUGACAGAGGAUGACGUACAUGAUAUUCACCUCUGAAAUGAAGCGUAGGCUAAUGAAGCACAAUUGCAUGUGAGUGUGGCAGAUAUUUAUACAGGACAGUGAUUGCAAUAAUCGACCAUCGAGAUCGAAGACAGGGGCGAUGGGGUUGCCUCAUCAAUAAUUCGCGCAACCAGACAAGCUGCAGACUCAAUAUGGUACGAAGCUAUUUGGUCAGCCCACAUGCUCUGAUAUAACAUUGGCAUCUGCUGAUCUACAGUAUAUAUGACCAGAAAUAUUGUGCCACCUCAAUAAUUUUCCGAAGUAUCGUUGGGGAAGCACCUACAUACUAUGCCUCGGAACUAACUGACAUGUUGGCCUAGGCGGUCCAGGCCGAUUGGACAGGCUCUUCCUUAUGGCUCCUCACGUCCCCUUCGUUUCCGAGUAAUCUCAGGUGUUCUGAAGUUUUCUUUUCACUUGCAUGUGGACCUUAUAUAUCAAUAGCUUCGGGAUAAGAAUGCCUCUUGAUAACCUUCCAAAUCGUCGCUUGAUUCACUUUGAUUCCAAAAUCAUCUUGCCAUAUCUUUUGAGACUUAGGCCCUAAGGCAUCAUGGAGGAUUGCUCGCCAAGAAUGAGCACCAUUGGGCUCCUGAGGACCCUAGGCCGAUCAGCCUGGGCUCUAUAGGUUGAUUGGCCCAGGCCCUCUCUGGGCCCAUUGGCCUUCAUCUUUCUCUGAGUCGACGCUUAUUGAGGGCUUUGUCCAAUUAUAGUCCAUUAUAGUCUAAUUUCCAAAAAAAUAGAAUAUCCUCCAAAAUACAAUACAUUUGUGAAAACAGCCCAAUUAUUAGGUAUGAUCAAUAGUCUAGGUAUUAAAUUAAUGUUAUUAUUUAAGAUAAAUAGGGAUAAAGGGUGUCAUUAAUAACGAGCACCAACCAGCGUACCAGCUGUUAACACUAACCGAUGCUAAUAUGUACCCUUUAGUACCGGCUAUUUCACCCGGUACUAAACGAGACAAGAGCACCCUAACAGAGGUUAAUACCAUCCAUUUCAUGAGUAAAAUACUAUGAUUCAAAAAUAAUUCAAAUCCCUUAAGACAAUACCUAUCAAAUGAGUAGAUUGUAAAUAGAGUAAAACAAUGUCCUAAUGAAACGGAACACUUCUGGUUCGUGUAGAGCACAAUAUAGAAAACAGUAGGGUAGCUGUACGAUUGACACGUGGUCCAUUAAUUAUUGAGCCAUCACUAUGGACAUGUCUUCAUGAGUAGUGUACUAGUCAUGACACAUGGUAUGUAGUAGGUGGAGGUAUUGAGUUAGCCAUGCCAUGAGCACUUAGUUACAACAAACACUUUGCCAUUAUCGAGCAUCCCAAAUCACUACAAAAUCCAUAGUUUACCAUAUACUACAAAAUCUGAGUUAAAAUAAGAGCAUACACGGAAGAGUCCGAAUGCACCGGUUUAGGACCAGGCACAUUGAAUUACUAGAAAAAGUUAUCGGACAAGGUUUUGGGUAACCGCAUGAAAAAUGUUGGAUUUUACUGAACACUUAGUUACAAUUACCAUGCCGUGAGCACUUAGUCACCACAAACAUUUAACCACUUUAGAUCAUCCUGAAUCCCUAUAAAUUCUGUACCUUACACCGUACCAUGAAAACGACAAGAACAGAGACAGAUGCAGUGAAAAUCUCCAGAGCAGGCCUGAAAUUAAAAUAAGAGGAGGCAGUCUCUAUCGAUCAGGACACGGAGAUUGCUAGCCAUGACAGAGGAAGACAUGAUAUGAUAUUCACCUCUGAAAUGCAGCGUAGACUAAUGAAGCACAAUUGCAUGUGAGUGUGGCAGAUAAUGGACCAUCGAGACCAUCGAAUGGUAUGAAGCAUGAUUAUCACCUAGACAUGAUAUCCUAGACAGGACGGUGAAUUGUAAAAAGAGUAAUCUUGAUCAAAGAAUGUCCUAAUGAAACGGAACAUUUUUGGUACGUGUAGAGCACAAUAUAGAAAACAGUAGAGUAGUUGUACGAUUGAAACUGCAUCCAUCCACGUGGUCCAUGAAUUGUUGAGCCAACACUGUGGACAUGUCUUCAUGAACACCAUCUAGUGAGGACAGGAUGCAGAAAAAUAUAAAAACAUGUCAUAGGGAGGCAGACCAAUCUUGCAAGGAGGUAAACGAAACGUGAUACACGAUCUGCCUACCUUGUCGUGGAUACCCCAAGAGAAGAUGUCAUAGAGGUGCAGACCAAGCUAGCAAGGAGGUAGAUGAAACGUGAUACACGGCCUGCCUACCUUGCCGUGGAUAUUAGCCCUGAUAUCAUUCUAUUGUUCAAGGAAUAACACUCAAUGCUGCUGCUGCUGCUGACCUGGCUCCAUAAAGUUGUAUUCCUCUAGCCGCUUGCACUAACUUUAUCUGAAGUAUUAUUCUCUCUGCCCUGAUAUCUGAAGUAUUAUUCUCUCUGCUGACUUUGCUGAAGAACCUACAUAAUAUGUCUUGGAACUAACUGACAUUGAUUCACAGACAAACUCUACAAGGUGCUGUUGUUGCCAUAUUUUAGAGCAUCCCAAAGGACUAUAAAUAAUAUAGUUUACCAUAUACCGUAUACCAUUAUAUGUUAGCUAAAAUAAGAGCAUAACAUGUCGCAGGAGUCCAAAAGCACCGGUUGAGGACCAGGUACAUUGAAUUACUAGAAAAAGACAGGGGGCAAUGUUUAGGUAGCCACAUGAAAAACAUUUGAAUUUACUGUUCCAUGAACACUUAGUUACCAUGCCGGGAGCACCUAGUUAACACUAAAAUUUAGCCACUUUAGAUCAUCCCGAAACACCCUCAAUAGCGACAAAUUUUGAUUUAAAUGCCGUCACCAAUGAUCCUCAAUAGCGACGUGUUUAGGUUUAAAUCCCGUCACUAAUAACCCUUGGUAGUGACGUGUUUUGGUUUAAAUCUCAUCCCACUGAUCCUCAAUAGUGACGUGUUUUUAGCAACACACGCUAUGAAUGACUUGUCAUUGGUGACAUGUUAAAUGCGUUAUCUCAAUGGCAAAUCAUUGGUGACGUGUUUUAAAAAAACAUGUCACUGUGAGAGUUAUUGGUGAAGGGUAAUUAAAAUGCAUCACUAAUUUUGUAGCAUUAGUUAUGAUAUAAUUUAGUAACGCAAAAAUCUACCAUCAGUAAUGAGGUUUAGAGCCGUCGCUAAUGUGGGUUUCUUACGAGUGAUGCAAGCUCUACAAGGUGCUGUUGUUGCCAUUUUAAAGCAUCCCAAGUGACUACAAGUUAAUAGCAUAGUUUACCAUAUACCAUAAAAAUAUUAGUUACAAUAAGCACAUCCGCAUGUGGAAGAGUCCGAAUGCACCAGUUGAGGACUAAACACAUUGAAUUACUAGAACCAAAUGUAAGACAAAGAAAGGGGUCAAGGUUUGGGUAACCGCAUUAAAAACAUUGGAUUUUACUGUACCAUGAACACUUAGUUACCAUUACCAUACCUUGAGCAUCUAGUUACCACAAACAAUAAUUUAGCCACUUUAGAGGUUCCAGAAUCACUAUAAAUAAUAUACCAACACCGUACCAUGAAAACAUCAAGAAGAGAGACGGGUACAUGGACCACCAUCAAGUGAGUAGUGACAGCACGCACAAGAAUACCCGGAACCUGUUAGCUUGUCUGUAGUGAUCUGUUUUCUUCCCCAUAAAAUCCAUGAGUAUUGCCACAAAUAAUGAAAGAGGCUGACCAAGCUAACAAGGAGGUAGAGAAAACGUGAUACACGUAGGUUUCAUUCAAGACAUCCAUGUAAGAUUCAUUCAAAACAUUCAUGGAAAUUUCUUGUAAGUUUUCAUGUAAAUUUCAUUCAAGACAUUUGUUAGAGGUGUUGUAUAUAUAUACCUUAACGUACAUAUAUCUAUGAUUUCAUGGUUGUUAGUGAUGGCAGAUGAGGAGCAUGCAAGGUAUUUAAUGGAGCAGAUUAUUGCUAGUGGUAGUGGCUCCAACCUGCCCGUAACGUACACCAACGAAGAGAGCAGCCAGGCGGACAUGUUCCUCAACAUAUCCGGUGAUGGCAAUGAAGAGCCCGAGCAAAACCUUGCCGUGACGGAAGGUUCCAGUGAGGUAUAUAUCAUUUCCAUUGUUUUACCCCAUCUAUAAUUUCAUAUUCAUUAUUACUAUGUACUAAUUAAUGGAUCUUGAACCAUUAGCCCUCUAGAUCAACGAACCGAAAUAAGCCCCGAGGUCUUACAAAGAUAAUGCAGGGAAGGCAUCACAUCACGGAAGUCACAGAAGAGGGCACAUCAGUUGCUCCCGAACAUGUGGCAAGAAAGUACGUGAGUCAAACCGGGCAAUGUGCCCAUCAGCAUUAGGGAAUGAAAGGGCAAUAGAAAUGAUCUAUACACGCCCCCGGAUACACAAAAGGAUAUGCUGUGGGCAAAUAUCAAGAAACACUUCACAUUUCCCAAAGGAUAUGUUGAAAAAGAUGUGAAAGCGUGGAUGCUGAAGAAGAUGGUCACCGAAUUCCAGACAUUCAAGAAGAUGUUGGAUGUCAACUUCAUCAAGAAGGGUCGAACUCCGGGUUUCGAUGAGUGGCCAAAGUUAAGGGACCACUGGGAGUCAUUUGUCAAAUACAAGACGAGUGAAGGUGGUGCGAGUAAGGUUCGCAUCAAUGUUGCCAAUGCUAGCAAGGAGUACCAUCAUCAUCUAGGGCGACGUGGUUACAGCACUGCAAUUCCCAGAUGGCGCAAGAUGGAACAAGACCUGAUCGAUCGGGGUAUCGUACCAGCAACUCCUGACUGGCCUGAUCGAUUGAAAAAUUGGUAUUAUGCUCAUGAAGGCAAUCUGAGCCAACAGGAUGCGACAUUGGUCUUCAAUAAAACAAUACGUCAGAAGGCCGGAAGGCUUAUUAGGAACAUUGAAAAUGCUAAAUCUGGGAGGUUCAAGGUGGAUAGAGAGAAUGAUGAGCUCACAUUGGCCCUUGGGACUAUCAUCUCUAGCAUUUCCAGCUCCAGGACUGUCGUCACCACCGGGACCGUCGCUUCUUGCUCGAUCACAGUCUCCAUCUCCAGCACAUCCUGGUGGUGCGAACGAUGACGACAACAACACCCCUCCCUGCCCACCAUCGCCGGGACUAAGACCCGCAUCGAGUAAGGAACCUGCAGCACCACUGAAGAAGUCGCGACCACCGCCUUCCAAGCCAAGUCAGCAAAAGAAGAAAGCAGAGAAGCCUAAGCCCACUGAGAAGCCAACAACCGAUAUGACCGAUGCGGAAAGAUGGAAGGCACUCAAAGAAGAAUGCAGGGAGUGGUUCUGUAAAAAGAACCAAAGAAAGAAAAGGAAAGCAGAUGGAGCCACCGCCAGUAGAUCCAAGAAAAUUAUAAUUUUUUAUUAAGAUGUCAAAAGGAGCCAAGAAGAUGAUUCCACAACUAUCAAACUACGACCGGGCGUUAGUCAAGGCUGAUGAGAGUUAAAAAAGGAAAGGAAAGUCAUCUUCAAGUGGUACUGUCCCCCACCUCGAGGAUCUACCAGAAAAAGACGCUAAAAAGAUAGUAGCAAUGCUCUUGGAUCAACAAACACAUAUAUCAUGAGAUUCAUGCAAGAAACAGGUAUGUGCCUUGCUGAAUGUCUAGGGCAAGUUGAUAUGCUAGCUCUAGAGCCAUUUGUACCGAAAUGGACCUUUGAGCUAGGCAAGCCUCUAGUAAGGCCUGAGCUGGUACAGAAGCUAUCCACAUAGCUAUAUGAAUACCAUGAAUGGUACAUGAAGCAGUCUGCCAAUGAGAGGAAAAUGUUCGGUCUCAGGGAAAAACUGAUAUUUUUUUUCGGCGAAGGCGAGAAAGUCUUGUGAUGGAAUUCAAGGAUAUAUAUGAAGUGUACCAUCAGGAUGCCCUUGAUGUCUCUCUCAUCAGCGCCUAGGUUAUGUAAGUGUAUGUUUAUCUAUACGUAAUUUUUGUCUCAUAUCAUUAUUUCUUUUGCGUGCGUCACCCUACUAACUUCGUCUUCCAUUUUAUGUAGGAUGCUAAUUCAGAUGUGCCGCAUAGAAGCGCACUUCCAUGUUGGCUUCAUGGAUCCAUCCCUAGUUAACCAAAAGCAGAUACGGAAGUAGCUAGAGAAAAUGUUGGAGGUGGUAUACAACUUCCUGGACAAACAAAACUAUAGAAUAGGGGCAAUAUGUGAAGGUCUUGUAGGAUUCCUAGUGGACAAGGUGAUAAAUCCAUAAGGAGAAUAUCAUUACAACGGACGAGCAUUAGACACACUGAGCAACACCUAGACGGGAGGAUCCUAGGAAUGACCUAGACAGAUUUUGGUAUAAAUAGUAAUUGUGUAAAUACUAGUUUGAUUUGUAUAGGAAUAUACUAAGAAUUGUAUAUAUAGUAAUUGUACAAAUACUAGUUUGAUUUGUAUAAAUACUAGAUUGAUUUUAUUAUAAAAAAGUUUUAAGUCGUACGUGCAUGCGCCUACAAAGGCGCGUAUGCCCUUUAAUCCCGGUUGGAAAAACAAACCGGUACUAAAGGGGCUCGUGCCGCACCUGGCAUGACCGCCCCUUUAGUCCCGGUUGAACGACCCAGGACCAAAGAUCUGCCCCGUCUCAUAAAUUUUAUCCUGGAUGCUUUUUAGAGAGAUUUGAGGCCUAUCAACCAAGACUAAUAUCGAGUUUUCUACCAGUGGAACUAACUAACGUUCACAUGCUUCUGACAUUCACCUGCCAUUUGGUGUAGACAAGGGCACCCUAACAUAUGGUUAAUAUUAUUCAUGAAAGAAAAUCCUUUGAUUCAAAAAUACUUCAAACCUAAUAAUACAAUACUUCUCACAUCUGAAAAAUAUGAGAUGGCCCGACAGUAUUCUAACCGACGCAAUAAUAUUUUGAGGGCAGCACUACUACAGCGACCCUCAUUCGUGCCGGUGCUGGAACCCCUAUCACGACCCUGAUACAAAUGAGGGUACAUUAUUGUUGCCAGUGCUAGAAUAGCCACGAAUAACUUGCUAAACAUGCUGUUACACUCACUACUAGAAAAAUAACCUCUCGUCCUGAGGCUUAGUACCGGUCACUUUUUUGCCCAGUACUAAUGUUAGUAUUAGUACCGGAUCCAAAUUUGGGAUCCCCCAGAGACCCUUUAGUACCAGGUGGAGUCUCCACCCGAUACUAAAGGCUUUGUUACCGGGUGAAGGAUCCUCCCGGUACUAAUGGGGGAUUUUUAGUACCGGGUGGGAACCCCACCCGAAACUAAAAUCUCCCAUGCGGACCCCUCCCCCCCCCACGCGUUGCCUCUGUCCUCCCUCCUCCUCCUCUGAGUAGUUAUCCCUUCCUCAUCCCUCCUCCUCCUCCCACACGUGGGGUGAGGUGAGGUGGCAGUAGCAACGACAGGUGGUGUGGCGGGUCACGGCGGGCCGGAUGCGGAGCCGCAACGGUGGUCGGCGGGAUGGGGUGGGGCAGAGCGGCAUGGCAGGGCGGAGCGGUGGGACGGGGCCGAGGUGGAGGUGCCGGGCGGAGGUGGAGUGGCAGGACAGAGGCGGAGGCGGAGCGGCGGGUCGGCGAGCGGGUGGAGGGUGGCGACGAUGGGGCGGGCAGAGGCAGAGGGGUGGGUGGAGGGGCGGCGUGGUCCACCGGCGGGGGGGGGGGGGGGAGAGGGAGGCGUGGGGGGUGCGGUUGGUGAUUUCAAUUUUCUUUUAAUUUUUUAACACCCUUCAGUACCAGUUAUUUUAACCGGGUCUAAAGGGAUCCCCUCUUGUACCGAAUUGCUAGUACAGGAUGCACAACCGGUACUAGAGGGAGGUUCCCAACCGGUACUAGAGCCACUUUCCCCGGUAGUGACUUUUUCACCGAUUAGAAUAUGUUAUUAUUCUAAUCAGCUUUUGUUGAUCUCCUGUAUAAUUUAGUACCUAAUUCUACUAGCAAUUGUUAACGCCGACACGUAUUGGGUAUAGUCCUAACAGUGUCUAACUAGGGCACUACAUUUGUUAACCUAUAACUACUGGUAUCGAUUAGCCCUGGUUAGAAUACUGUCAAGGCAGCCAGAAAAAAUUGUUUGCCAAUUCUGCUAUCCAUCAGAACCAUGACUAGUACCGUAUUGUAAUAAACGAAUUACACAAAUAACUGAUGCACACAAAGGAAUAUGCACUCGCAUGUGCUAGACGUUCGUAGCAACAACAAAUUACUCUCAUCAUCAAUUAAACAUAAUAGAUUAAACAUUAACUGAACAUAGUUCAACACGUACAUCAACAAGACAAAGCAGUUUAAACAUCAACUGAACAGAACUGAAAACAUACAUCAACUGAUGAUAAACUUCGACAUGAACACAACACAUAAACAUCAACUUCAAUAGAACUUAAUAGAGCAUAUUAAACAACAACAUCGACAAAACAUAUAAACCCAGCUCAGUAGCUCAAGCAUCAACUAAAACUGCUGAAUUAAAAUAACAUAACAUAGUGUAGUUCAUCAUGAUGAUAACUAACAGAACCGAAAAGCCUAACUGGGUAAAAGAGCAAUUCAUUCAUAAUGCUUCAGCACUUACAUCACCGGAGUAUGCAACUGGCGGCGUCGCUUACGUCACUAUCACCGCGCUUGGCGAGUAAAGGAGGAGGAGGUGGCAUAGUAAUCGAAGAGGAGGCCGCUGUCGGCGGGUUUAGACUACGUGGAGGUGUGGGUAGGGUUAAGGUGGCUCUGUGGACGAGUAUAUAUAAGAGGUCUGGGCUUGUUAGAAUAAGAUAACAUUCUAACUGGCCAAAUUCGGAUCCGGUUAGAAUAAAUUGUUCUAACCAGCCUUAAUUCGAGGUGGUAAGGAUAAGUUAACAUUCUAAUCAGCUCUAUUUGGAGCCCGAUUGAAUGUUCUUGUUAUUCAAAAAAAGAUCAAGUUCAUCAAUUUUUUUCUAGAAAAACAUCAAGAUAAUUUAAACACGAUAUAUAACAAGAUUAAUACAUUUAAAAAUUGUUUUCUCCAAUAAUUAACGAUAUUUAACAAAUUCAAAAAAAAUCCAAAUUAACAGAACAUAAUAACCAAUUGUUCGAAAAAAUCAAAAUAGUCCACACAGUAUCAUAUUACAAAUUCAGAAAAAUAUCAAAAUAAUCCCUGAUCCACUCGAUACCGUCGUAGAACUUUGAAAUACUGAGCUUCUUGAUUCAUCUGAGGUCCACGUACUCGUCUCAGUAACACUAGUGGUGGCCAUGCAUCUUGUAGAUGUCUUCUAAUGAAUUAAGCUUGACAUACAAGGUCGUGCCUUCCACUCCUUGAGGAUUGCUUAUGACGUUUCUGCAAAUAACGAAGCAUUGCUUUCUCCAACAUGAUUAUUUUCUUCGGCUUAUCCCAAGGGACAACUAUGGUUUUCCCCUUGCCGGAAGAGGAACGAUGAUCGCCCCCACCAUCGCCACUUCCUCCAGUAGCAGAAGCCAUCUAUGUACAAAAAUUCAUACCUUAGCACUACAGAACUUGUUGAACUUGAAGACUGUGAUCAUUAGGCGAGCAUGUUCUCAACUAGGUGGCACCGCACUUCGUCAUGGAAGAGCUUCGAUUUUACAAAAAAGGGGACAUGAUCUUCCAUGAUGUCCGUAUCCGCUCUUUCUCGUAGAAUCAGAGCUCCUCCUUGAUAUACGAUGCUGCUCGGCGGAGAACAUGCUCACCGAGAUGAACACGGUAUGCAAGUUCAACAAGUAUGGAUUUGAAAAACCAUAUUGAAUUUGACAAGACAAACUAUCUAGAUAAGCGUAGCAUCAUUCUUAAACCACUGCAAGGAUACGUACUAUAUAUGACACAUCAAUCUCCCUCACAUUCUAGCUCAAAAUACCUCUCCAUUUUCUACUUCACAUUCUAGCAAAUAAACUAUCUAUCUCCAUUCUACACAUCAAGUUGUUUUAACUAAUACAAAUCGUAUAUAACAAGCAAAAUAUCCAUCACAUUCUAGCUCAAAAACAUGUAUAAAUACAAAUCCUCUUCAUUCUCCCUUUUUCUAACAAACAAACUCAUUUUUCUCCCUCUCCAAAGCAUAAAUUAAAGCGUAACAUGAGGAUGAGGUAGCAAACCUUCACAACACAUUGGAUGAGUGAAAUUCCCACGAAAAUGAGGGAAAAAAAUUCGGGCAGCACCUCCCUUGCUUCGGCACCUCUAGAGAGUAGGUGAAGCUCAGUUCUCUAUUUUUGUGGUGGACUAGCUUGGGCUGGAGGAGGAAGAAAGGCCUCUGUCUUGGUAUAUAAUGGGGGAUGAGUUUUUAUCCCAGUUAAAAGCUCCAACUGAGACAAAACGGCCAAUCUUUUGUCCCGGUUGGAGCCUCCAACCGGGACAAAAGGGGCACGCCAUCGACGCACGGGAGCUAGCCGUUACAACCGGGACUAAAGGGGGGCCUUUAGUCCCGGUUGCAAAUACCAACUGGGAUUAAAUCUCCCCUCCAUUUUUGCCUACCGUGGUGCGCCCCCUUUUAUCCCGGGUCAACUUUAAACCGGGACAAAAGGGGGCGUCGAAGAUCAGUUCUCUACUAGUGACCCCUCCCCACCUAUCUCUCUCCCUCCAUGCUCCUCGAUCUGUGCCUCCCCUCCCCUCCCCUUCCACUCGCCCCUCACCGACGGUAAGGAGCAGCGGCGGGGCGAGGUGAGGUGGCAGCAGCAAUGGCAGGUGGUGGGUCGCAGCGGAGCGGCUACGGUAGGCAGCCGGACGGGGCAGAGCGGCGGGGCGGGGUGGAGGCGGAGGUGGCGGGUAGAGGCGGAGCGGCGAGGCGGAGGCGGAGGUGGAGGCGGAGUGGUGGGACGGCAGGGCCGGGCGACUAGUAUAGGUGGGCGGGCGGAGGGCGGCGACGGCGGAGCGGGCGGAGGCAGAGGGGCAGCGGGGGCCGCCGGCGGGGGGUGUGAUCGGGGAUUUCAAUUUUUUUUAAAUUUUUUAACACCUUUUAGUCCAACUGGUUCUAAAGGGACCCCUCUAGUAUCAAAAUUGCUAGUACCGGUUGCACAACCGGUACCAGAAGUGGUUCCUAACUGGUACUAGAGCCACUUUCCCUGGUAGAGACUUUUUUACCAGUUAGAAUAUGUUAUUAUUUUAAUCAGCUUUCGCUGAUCGCCAGUAUGAUUUAGUACCUAAUUUUACUGGCGAUUGUUACCGCUGACACGGAUUGGGUAUAGUCCUAACAGUGUAUAACUACGGCACUACAUUUGUUAACCUAUAACUACUUGUAUCGAUUAGCCCUGGUUAGAAUACUGUCAAGGCAGCCAGAAUUUUUUUUUUUUGCCAAUUCUGCUAUCCAUGAGAUCCAUGACUAGUACCGCAAUGUAAUGAAUGAACUGCACAAAUAACUGAUGCACACAAAAGAAUAUGCACUUGCACGCUAGACGUUCGUAACAACAAAUUACUCUCAUCACCAAUUGAACAUAAUAGAUUAAACAUUAACUGAACAGAAUUCAACACGUACAUCAACACGACAAAGCAGUUUAAACAUCAACUGAACUGAACUGAACACAUACAUCAACUGAUGAUAAUUAUCGACAUCAACAGAACACAUGAACAUCAACAUCAAUAGAACUUAAUAGAGCAUAUUAAACAACAACAUCGACAAAACAUAUAAACCCAGCUUAGUAGCUCAGGCAUCAACUAAAAUUGCUGAAUUAAAACAACACAACGUAGUGUAGUUCAUAAUGCUUCGGCGCUUACACCACUGGCGGGUCGCUUACGUCGGCAUCACCGCGCUGGCUGAACCUCCGACACCCCCACCACGGCAAACGGAGGUGAUGGCGGAAGGUGAGGCAACGACAGUAGCUGGUGAGCUCCCGCUCCAAUGUCUCGCGAGUAAAGGAGGAGGAGGUGGCAUGGGAAUCGAAGAGGACACUAGUAGAGAAACGACUUUCCAUCCACCCCCUUUUGUCCCGGUUUAAAGUUGGCCCGGGACAAAAGGUUCACCAACCGGGAUUAAAACUCGGUCACUGGUGGGGGGCUCACCAACCGGGACCUUUUAUCCCGGUUGCAAAGGCUAGUGGGAAAAAAUUACUCUGAGAGGCCUUUUAUCCCGGUUUGAAACACCAACCGGGAUAAAAGACCCCCCCUUUUAUCCCGGUUGGUAACACCAACCGAGAUAAAAGGGUCAAGAGCCUUUUAUCCCGGUUGGAAACACCAACCGGGAUAAAAGGGGGUCUUUUAUCCCGGUUGGUGUUUCCAACCGGGAUAAAAGGGUCCCCCACGAGUUAAUACAAAAGGAUAGUAUCCCCUACAUAGUCAGAUGUGGUGUGUAGGUGGGAUGGUAAGGAAGCUACGCGCGAGGCUGGAGGUUGUGGGUUCGAAUCCCACGAACCGCGCACGCGCAUAUUUCGCGUGAAAAAUCGCGUGACUUGCGACUUGCGCGUGUGGGGGGGCCUCCUGGGAGCUCGGGAAUUUUUUUUUUUUGCAGCGCCGGCCGUGGGUGAACCCUUUUAUCCCGGUUGGUAUUACCAACCGGGAUAAAAGGGGGUCUUUUGUCCCGGUUGAGUGACCCGGGAUAAAAGACCCCCCCUUUUGUCCCGGUUGGUUUAUCCCGGAUGCAUUUUCGAGAUCUUUGCACCCUACCAACCGGGAUAAUAGGUGAGUUCUCCACCAGUGGGAGGCCGCCGCUGGCGGGUUUAGACUACGUGGAUGUGUGGGUAGGGUUAAGGUGACGGUGUGGACUAGUAUAUAUAAGAUGUCUGGGCUUGUUAGAAUAAGAUAACAUUCUAACCGGCCAAAUUCGGACCCGGUUAGAUUAAAUUGAUAUUCUAACCGGUCCUAUUUCUAGGUGGUAAGAAUAAGUUAACAUUGUAAUUGGCUUUAUUUGGAACCCGAUUGAAUCUUCUUGUUAUUCAAAAAAACAUCAAGUUCAUCAAUUUUAAUCCAGGAAAACAUCAAGAUAAUUUAAGCACGAUAUAUAACAAGAUUAAUACAUUUAAAAAUUGUUUGAUUCACAAAUUAACGAUAUUUAACAAAUUCAAAAAAUCCAAAUUAACAGAACACAAUAACCAAUUGUUCGAAAAAAUCAAAAUAAUCCACACACAUUAAUAUAUUACAAAUUCAGAAAUAUAUCAAAAUAAUCCCCGAUCCACUCGAUACCGUCAUAGGACUUUUAAAUACUGAGCUUCUUGAUUCGUCUGAGGUCCACCUACUCGUCUCAGUAACACUAGUGAUGGCCAUGCAUCUUGUAGAUGUCUUCUAACGAAUCAAGCUUGACGUACAAGGUCAUGCCUUCCGCUCCUUGAGGAUAACCAUCUUUGGUGAUCUUGAAAUGGCAGACGGUGGAUGUGCCAAAGGUACGUGACGAUCCUUCUAAAUGUAUGCCACCACAACUUCCGUCUGAUCGCCAUGGGUGACACCAAGAAGAGCUACCAUGCGGCAAGGGACGAACAAUUUAUCAAUUAGUGCCGCUGUCCAUCGCCAUCAUCUAAUCCAGCCAUAUCUUGUUGUAUAUUUAAGUAUAGAAAUUAAGAUUUAAAAAUAAACAGAAUAAAUUGAGAUCGAUUAUGUAUGUAUAUCAGAACAUUAGCUUUUGGAAAAAGGGCUUCGAUGGAAGAGAGGCACGGGGCAUAGAGACAACAACGAGUGACAAUAUGUCAGAAGAAUACCCGAUCACAAUUAUUGGCACACACAGCCGAUAUUUACAGUAGUCAAUACCCCUGGUAAAUAACCACACCAUCAAGAGUAAAUAGUGACAAUAUGCAGUAUAUACACGACAUAGCCUUGGCUGCCGUGGAAGCACCAGAAGGGAGACAAAUAACAGGGACCACUACAUCAAGUAGAUAGUGACAAUAUGCAAAAGAAUACCCGCGCCUGUUAGCAUGUGUGAACUGACCACACCACGAAACGUGAUACACGGCAAGCGUACCAAGGCCUUGCUGUGCAGACUAUGCAUGGACAACACAUGGUACCUGACCGCUUUUGGCCUCAGACACAUCAAAAACUGCAUCGUUCCACGUUGUACAUCCAUUGCUAGUUUAUCUAUAUUACAUAAUAUAUUAUUAGCUAUUUGAAUAGAAUGAACCAAUUAAAAAAUUACGUUGUAUUUUAGUACCGGCUGCAGGAUGGUGUUACCAACCAGUACUAAUUGGCCUGUAGGAGUGAUGGUUAUUAGACUUGGUACUGUUGUUAGCAUCAUUAACCUAAUUGUGCGCCGUAUGAAUUUGGGGAUGCAAAGCUAGCUCUCUAUGAAUGUGAGGGAUGGAAAGCUAGUUCUCUAGUAGUAAUUAUAUAUAUGACAGUCAGGAAAUCGAACACUAUGCUGCUACGAGUCACCAUCAUUUCCUUCAUUGACAAUCUGACAUAGGUGAAGCUGCUUCAAUAAUUUCCUUCGCGCAGUCGUGGAGCUUAUUGGAUUAUCACCAGGACGGGACACGGAAAUGGCCAGCAAUGAAGCUGAUUGCCGUCUGAGGAAGACUACAUACUUACCUAUGAAAUGAAGCGAUUGCAUAGACUAAUGAAGCAUUGCAUAUUUGCAUGUGAGUGUGGCAGAUAAUUCUGCAGGACAUGAUUGCAAUCCACGCACCAUCGAGAAGACUGGGGCGAUGGGGUUGCCUCAUCAAUAAUCACGUGGAUGCAUGCAUGCAUGUUCCCUCAACCGGACAAGGGUCUGAUAUAUGGCUAUAGUAUUACUGAGCCCACAUCAAUAAUUUCCGCUGGUGUAUCGUGUGGGAAGAAUCAACAUACUACACCUCUGAGUUCUUGGAACUAACUGACGUUCACAUGCAACCUCCACAAGGUGCUGUAUGCUUUUGACAUUCACCUGCCAGUUCGUGUAGAGGACACCCUAACGUAUGGUUAAUAUUAUCCAUUUCAUGAGUAAAAUACUGUGAUUCAAAAAUACUUCAAAUCCCUUGAGACAAUACUUCUCACUUGACUAACCACUAACCAACCCCGAAACCCUAACUCAACUCCGAACCCUAACCCCUAACGGCAUAACCACUCCGUUUUGCCGGCGAGAUGGAGGAACUGGCUGGAAGGUAGAGAGGGCAGCGGUCCAGGGUUGAAAACGACGGGCGAGCGCAGUAACAUGUGGAGGAGGAAGUGCCACGUAUUCGUUCACCGCUAUUGGGCAGCGACACACGACACGCCCAAUAAGAUCUUCGCACGGUAGAAGGACGUCAUGUAUUCAAUAAUGUUAUUGGUCCCCCAUGUGCAGAAGGGCGCGCGCGUAUGGAAUAACAAGUAGGGACACUGCAACUAAUCUACUCUGCUCGUCCAGUCCCUAGCCUAUAAAUAGAUGCCAUGCUAGCUCUUGUUGUGCUCACAAUUAAUCCGAUUACACACGAGCUUCUCUCCCUGGCCAAGACACAACCAUAGUAUGAUGAAGAACAUGGCACUAGCCGGCAAUGGUAUGAAGAAGUUAAUCCUCGCUGUUCUCUUACUGUGUCUAGUUAUAGGGCAGAUACAAGUGGAAGCUAAGAGCUGCUGCCCAUCCACCACUGCAAGAAAUGUCUACAAUACCUGCCGUUUCACGGGUACAUCCCGUCCAACGUGUGCAAAACUGUCAGGCUGCAAAAUUAUCAGCGGGAACAAAUGCAAGCCCCCUAACGACCACCUCACCCUUGACCCGGACACUGGUAAAUAAUAAAUUUAUCUCACUUGAUUUCUUCGUGAUUUGAGUCGUUAAUGUAUUUUCCAUCUGAUGAAACGUAUUGGUUUUGCAUUGAAGAGGAAGUUAAUGUGCUUAACUUCUGCAAGUUGGGGUGUGCGUCGUCUGUGUGCAACAACAUCAACGCUGGUAAGCAACUUUUGCUCAGACAGAGAAAACAAUAAUCAUUAAUUAGCGGCAGCUAGAAUCCUAUAAUCUAAUAUAUAUAUAUAUAUAUAAUUUUAUCAGCUCUGGGAAAUGAAGAGGCGAACGAUGCCGUUGAGAGUUGCGACCAAGCCUGCUCUAGCUUCUGCAGCGUGCAUGUUGGCAGCGCCACCGUGGUUGCUUAAGCAAAUGCAUCCAACUAGAUCGUCCUUGUGCUGAAUAAUUGGAUAUCGUAUCCACUUAAAGCUGCCUUGUGUAGUACGUCUUUGUGUCUCUCUUUAUAUUCCAAUAAGGUCGGUGAUCUUGAUGCCACACACUCAGAUGUGUGUUCAUCUCCAGAUACUACUCCAUGCUACCUGCCCUUUGUGUUUUGUUCAAUAACUGGGUAUCAUAUCCCAGCCAGUAUGCCGUCUGUUUUGUGUUUGUUUCCUUCUAGUUCCAAAGGGGUCAUCAUGAUGUUACCUUCUUUCAAUAUGGUGCUUUGCAUGACUACUGUUGUAUGGUACCAUCUUGUGGCCAAUAAGUACAUCUUAUCCUAUGACCUUUGCUAUGACCCUUUGCAAAUAAGUAGAAGAUUGUUAUAAGCGUCAAUACUCCGUAUAAAUUGAUCGCUGCUGUGAGUUCCCUUUCAGCUUAUCGUAGGCAUACAUUAUUGCUAGCACGGUAAAGCCAACCAACACGAAUGAUGAAGUAAACGUAGCGGUACUUCUGUAUACCAACACCCUUACUUAAAUGUACCGGUGUCAUUCCCUACUGGCACAUAUAUUCUUAUAUGCUAGCCAGCUUGUAAAAUUAACCAAUUAAAAUAAUUAUUUCAAGAUAGAAAUAACUUAUCGGUUUCUGGAAGCAUGUGUAAUGUGAAUUCAAGGACUCGACGGAAGUUGAAUCACUUCAUCUAUAUUGCUUUCAGUAUUUUGGGUAACUAAAUUUAACAUUUGCACAUACAAAUGUUAAAGUACAAAUGUUAAAUCUAGUUACCCAAGCAGAAUAUGAAGAUAGUUUAUAGUAUAUAUAUACUAUAUAAAUCUAGUUAACAUUUAGUCUAAAUGUUAAAUCUAGUUACCUAAAAUCCUGAAAGCAAAAUGUAUAAAUAUAUAUCUUUUAAGGCAGUAUAAGCUUCGAUUCCUAUUGCUGCUCUGUUAAAUCUCAUCUUUCGUUGUGGCCCAACACUCUAGUAUGCAUGUUGCACCAAGCUUCUUUGAGCCGCUCUGCCCUCUGAUUUUGCUGCGUAGGGGAAUCUUUAUCAGGUUGGGCUACUUCCAGUUGUGCGAUGUAAAGAUUCGUAUUUUCUAGAAGGUAGACAAAAAACUCGCGUUCUCUUAAGGCAACAACCGGAAGAUUCUGCAGCGCACAGGGCAUACCAUUAUUGUAGAAACGACCUUUAGUACCGAUCUCCAACCCCCUUUAAAACUGGUUUUGCAACCGGUACCGUUAUGUCGGUCCUUUAGUACCAGAUCAAAUAAGUACCGGUUGGUAACCAGUAUCAACUUGUUUUGCGGCCAAAAAAAUAAAGAAAAAAACAGUCAGAAGGCUCGCGCACACGCGCAUCACAUGAAAUAUGCGUGUGCGGGGUCCAUGGGAUUCGAACCCAUGAAAUCAAGCUGCGCGCGACCCUUCGUUACCAUCUCACCUACAUAGCGCAUAUGCUUUCCUGAAGUAACCCGUGGAGGAGGCUUUAGUACCGGGUCAUAACACCACCCGGUACUAAAAAUGACUCUUCAGUACCGGGUCAUAACACCACCCGAUACUAGUAUCGGAUGGUGUAAUGACCCGAUACUAAAAGGCCUCUAGGGACCCUCAAAUUUGAACCCGGUACUAAUGCUAAUAUUAGUAGCGGGUCAAAGUGCAGCCAGAACUAAAGCAUGGGAUGAAAGGUCAUAUUUCUAGUAGUGUAUAGUUGUUGUGAAGGACUGACUUGGCUGUCCUCUCUCUUCUCCAUCCCCUUGGUCUUACGCCGCCGCUCGCACGCGAGCCGGUGCCCAACCAGAGGAGUGAGAGCUAGGGGCAGGUUGGGAGGUGGGGAUAGUGACUGGUGGCCAGGGUGAUGGUUGAUCCUGGUGGGGUUAGGGUUUUAGGGUUUUCGAGCUUCCUAUGGUCGGCGAACCUAGAGGAGGAGCUCAACAUCAGCUGCAACCCGCGAUGGUGGUGGUUUGGCCGGCGCCCGAGGCGAGGCAGCGCGGGAGUGCUGCCGGUGGGUUGGUGUUGGCACUCAUUAUUGACAACUAUUUUGUUCAUAAAAUAACACUCAAACUUGCUGCUGCUGCUGCUGCUGCCAUCGCCACCCUAGCCAUAAUAUAAAGGCAAAAUUUGCUAAAGGACAUGCAAAAUGAUGCUAGUUUGCUGGCGGGCAUCGUUGACCUUGUAAUAUGCUACAAGACACUCUAGUUGUGUAUCAAUUUGCUGAAAGACAUUGCUAUGACUAAAAUAAUGUUUCUGGACUGAGUUGGAGAGAGAGAUGGAGUGAAAUGUCUGUUUUGCCCAUGACCCCACUGGUCAGAUCCUUCUUCUUCCACCCUCCUUUGUUCUUUCUUCAACCAUUACCCAGCUCCAGCGUGUUGCAGAUCUACGAGGGUGGCGGCCUGGGGCGAGGGGCAUCGCUCGCCCUUGGAGGAGCGCUGCGAGCGACGGCGCGGGGGCGGCAACAGCGCGUCAGAACCUGACUGUUCGUUAGCUCCUCUCGCUGCUGGGGAAGGAGGGGGAUGGGCCAUGGACGGGGUUCCCUUGAAAACCUCAGCGUCGAGCUCGGGCGGCUACGCGCAGGCAGCACUAGGCUGCUUCACGGGGAGGGGGCGCGGCCAAUCAUUGGCACCCCACUGGUCCAAUGCUGAUGAAGAUGGUGCCAGCGUCGUGUGAGGACAUCUCAUCUCCUCGAGUUCCAUGGCCAGCACAGGUGAGCUGCCGCUACCACAAAACAGAGGUUUCGUGAGAGUCAAAAAACCUUAUGAAAAUAGCUAAAACCAUCAUGAAAAUAAUCCGUGACAUGACACUCUCACGAAAAUCCUCUCACAAAUAUGGUGCCAUGAAAAUACCAUUUUCAUGAGAGUGAACUGUCAUGAUUUUAUUUCGUGAGAGUAUUUCCUAUCAAUGACCUCCACGAAAUACUUUGUGCCACCAGGUCUUCAAGAUCAUUUUCAUGAGAGCUGAACAUCAGGAAAAGUCCGCCACAAAUGUUUUUCUUGGAGCCCCUAACUCUCAUGAAAAUCAUGCGGGCCGCCACGAAAAACAGCAUGACCAAAUGACAAAUUUCAUUUUCAUGUGUUCAUACCGCCAUGAAAAUGGUCAUUUUCAUGAGAGUUGAUGAAACAAAAAAUAGUGCCAUUUUCAUGAGAGUUCAAGCAACCAGGAAAAGACACUAAUAAACAUCCAGAUCCCAUCCAGCACACAUCCAUGCACAUAUAUAACCCACAUAUUGCUCCAGCACACAUCCAUGCAUAUACAAGAUCCAAAUGUUAAUAUAGUAGACAUCCAUGCCUGAACUAGUCUGCCACACAAGUCAUUGAUGCUACAAAUCCUACAAUCGCAGCAUGUGCAUACAAGUCACAGAAUGAGACAAUGUACCCAAAACUAAAAGGUUAGCAUCAACUGUGCUUCAACCAAAGUUGUCAUCCCAACUCUCCUCUUCAUCCAUGCCAUUCUUGUCGUGGCCGUCACUGUCAGUCCCCAUGGCAUUGCCAAUGCUGUGCAUGUCUUGGUAGGAACCUACAUGUGAUGAACUAGUAACCUGCAAAAAGAGCUCAAAGGAUCUUGUUCUCAUAUUGUAGCUGUGAAAUUCUUACAAGUAGUGUUGCAAUCAGUUCACUUUGAACCAAAAGAGCUCAAAGGAUCUUGUCCUAAAAGUUCCUCAUAAAGCUUAUGGGUUUGCUGGUGGAACUGGAAGGGCUUGAUGCAGCAGAUGCCAUUCUGCAAUAGAGAAAAAUUUAGAGAGCAGUACUAGUUAAAAUUGGAUGCAGAAGAUACACAUGAAACUAGUAUUUAUACAAGUCUAUACAAUUAAAAUCUAAGGAGACUUAUCAUCGUUUUCAUGUGUUGUGAAUUAAAAUAAUGAAGGAUACACUGUUAGGUGAAAAUUCAAGAAACAAAAUUUUGCAUAGAGAUAAAGGUCCAACAUUAUUACAAGUUAAGGUAGUUUUAAAUAUCCUUGUAAUCUUCCUUUGGUUUCCUCAACGAUUCGAAGACAAUAACCUUGCUUCUAUCAAUGAUAAUUAUAAGGAGAAUCCAGUGGAAACUGUGUAUUCGUAUUAGAACUACCUAAGGUUAAUUAGGUUAGGAAAGGAAAUUGAAAAUAGAUGGUACCCACACUUACUUAAAGUUGUCGGGCAAUAGUAUGUAAUGCUUGUAAUUCCGUUGCUCCAAGAAUUUGUAUAUGUGGUCCAAUGUAGACUUUGGUUGAUCCCGUAUCUGCUGUUGGUUAAAUAAGUGUUUCUAGCCAUUUCUAGCCAUUAGAACCGGGACUAAAGGGGGCUCUUUAGUACGGGUUGAUAUUACUAACCGGGAUUAAAGAGCCCCCAUUAGAGUUGGUUUUUGGAUGCGGAACUAACAACUCCUUUAGUCCUGAGUACGAAAACAACUGACAUAUUUGUUGCUGGAUGGAAGGUCCUUUCUCUACCGUGAAUAUUGCCAGAAAGAAUUGAAAGAGACUGCUUGCUAAAAAUAUGUCAUAGAUGUAGACCAAGCUACCAAGGAGGUAGACCAAACAUGAUACACACCAUGCGUACCUUGCUGUGCAGACUAUGCAUUGACAAGAUACCCGACCACAUGUUGGCCUCGGUCACAUCAAAAGAAUCAUGUAGGCCACCAAUAAACUACUUGAAGCGGCAUUCCGUAUCGUAUAUGCAUUGCCGGUUCAUCUGCAUUACAUUACAUAAAGCACUAUUAACUAUUUGAAUAAAAUGAACCAAUUUAAAAGUAAUGUGUUGUACUCUACUAUAGAAAGCCCUAUCACUGCCGGAUCCAAAAACAUCAUUGUUAAUGGUGGUUAAGUACCAAAUAUGACGGUCAAUAUUCUCAAGAAUAAUGGAGAAUUAGCAUUUCUUAGACACAUAUUUGGUUUUGAACAAUGUAGUUCCACAUGUCUUUGGAGAUUAUUUGGGUGUGGGUGAAAUAAUACAAAAAUAAGGAGAAAACACACUCCCAUGGCGAAGAAACACAACUCCAACCAAUGAGAGAUAGCCACAGGGGCAGCACACGGAUCCAUGGGCCCACUAACCGCAUCAAACCAUCUUACCAAGGCAGGUAGCACCCACAACCGUCAUUAGGACCCACCUGGAAGUCUACCAAGAAGAAGGUUGCGAGUGGGGCCAGGAGGGGUUCGGUUGAAUCAUCUCUAGCUAGCUCCCCUCAUCCCCAGCUGGUGGGUGGUGGUGGUUGAUGGUGUCCCUACAUCAGUUAGAGGAGAUUCCCCCAAAUAUUCCUCCUGUAAACCACCUCUAUGGACCUAUACAUAGAGGGGUGUGCUCUCCAUUCCAACACACACCACAAGUUGAAUCACUCUCUCCCUCUUUAGUUUCCAAGUUUAUGGAGUUAGGCUAGAGUAGCUCUGCUCAAGGUUCCAAGUCCACUUGGAGUUAAGCAUAUGUCUCUUGUAUCGUUAUUUCCUAAAUUGACUUUAUGCUUAGUUCUUAUAUGCAUGAGUUAGUCUAAUACCCUUGCUAUAUUGAUAUGCUCGGCUUAUAUGCUCGUAUGCUAGUCAUAUACCCUUGCUGUCGUAGUAUAGGCUUAUAUGCUCUCAUGUGUGCCUGUAGACCUUGCUAUAGUAUAUACUUGUUGUGCAUACAUACCAUGUAUAGGCUAGUCGAUCUAUACCAUGGCAUUGGUUCAAUAGCCAUGUUUUUGGUGGCUCCAACCCUAGUCACAAUAGCUCGGGACAGCUGGAGUGUUGUUAAAAAUGCAAGAGUGGUGCUUGGGUUGUUUAGCAUCGUUGGAUAUGGGUUUGCCCCACGGGUUUCUAACGGUAGGCGGCAGCUAGUGACAUCCCUGUCCGUCCUUCGUAAUCCCCCCACAUUCAGGUACGCCAUAAAUGUUCGUAAAUUAGCAGUAACUACGCCGGUACACCUGUAGGGUAUUGUCUCCCUGUAGUACCUUGGUGCAUAGAACUAAGUCCUAUACACUGUGUGUGUAUGUUUACGCUGAUAUGAUCUGUGCAGUAUAUAGGAUGUAUAUAUGAACCUAGAGCUAACUCCUAGUCCGUUCUCCAUAGCUUAGUUAUCUUGAGAUGAUUCUUCUGUAUGUGUAACACUACCCAUCUUAUCAUUAUCCUUGAUCCUGUCUUGUGUAAUAUAUCUACUCAUCCUAUGAUAUACUCAUAUGCAUAGUAAACUAUUUUGACCUACCCGCCUUCCUUUGGGAAAUAUGAUACCUUGGAAUAAUCCUAGGUGAAAUCCUACAACGGUAUAUCCAUGUAAAUGCGGAUUUAUUCAUGACCAUUAAAUAUACCAACAAUCAUCACUGUGAGUUUUGGGCGUCGUUAGUGAAGGGUUGGUAGUGAUGGGCAUCCCCUUCACCAAUGGACCUGGAACCGGCGGUGAUGGCUAUUAUAAAAAAGGGGACACCACCCAGCGUACCCCACGACCCGGCCGGCCGCACCUCCCAUCAUCCCCGCCAGCCGCCCUUCCUUUUCGCCGGCCGAGCAUGGUCCCGGCCUUUGUCCCUACCACCUCGCCUCCACCGCGACCCCCCGCCGAUGCCCUCGUGCCUGGCCCCCCUCAUCUUGCCGGCCACCCUCCCGAUGCGUCCACUGGGGCCCUCGCACCACCAACCGCCCUUGCUUAGAGAGGGAGAGAGAGGAGGGAGGUGAGGCCACGCACCUCGUCCUACACCGCCGCUGUUUCUCCUCGGCCCACCGCGCCUCACCCCACACCACAGCCGCGCCUUGCCAUCUUACCGGCUGUGACGCCUCAUCUCACCGGCCACCGUUCCUCACCCCCACUUCGGUCGUCGCCGCUCCUUGCCCUACCGCUGCUCUUUGCCGCUGCGAAUGAGCGCCGAGUGGAGGAGGAGGGAUGGGGCAGGAGGAGGGCAAGAUCCGGGAGGAAGGGAGAGAUCUCGGGAGGUGGAGAUGGAAGGAUAUGGCGGAAGGGAGAGAUCCAGAGGGAGAGAGCAGGGGAGAGAGGGGGGCGUGUGGGGAGAGAGCGCGUGUGGGGUGGGGCCGGGCUGGUGGGAUGGAAGGGAGAGGGGCUAGACGGGCGCAGUGCAUUCAACUGGAUGAAGUAAAUAUUUUGGAUUCGAGACCCCAGCUUUAUUAUCACCGCUGGUCCGUAGUACCAUCCGGUGCCUGCUCGUAAUUUAAUUUGAAUCUGCGGUGAUGUUUUAUUAUCACCAUCGGAUCAUAUAAAAAUCCGGCGGUUAAAAAUCCGCUGGUUUCGAUGAAAACCGACGGUGAUAGGAUGACUGUGAUAGUCUCUUCUCUAGUAGUGGUAUAUUAGUACCGGCUGCCGGAUGGUGUUGCCGACCAGUACUUCUCCGGGGGCGAUUCAGUACUGCUGUUAGCAAAGCUUGUUCUCUAUGAAUUUGGGGAUGGAAAGCUAGUUCUCUAGUUGUGAUUUGUUACAUAUAUAUCUAUGAUAGUCUAGAAAUUGCAUGUCCUUCGUUGACAUAGUUGAAGCUGCUUCAAGAAUUUACUUCGUGCAGUCGUGCAGCAUAUUGGAUUAUCACCUAGACAGGAUACAUAGGUGAAGCAUUGGAUGUGAUUGUGGCCGAUAAUUAUGCAGGACGCUGUUGCAAUCAACCACCAAGAAGUCUGGAGUGAUGGGGUUGCCUCAUCAAUAAUUUUUAUAUAUGGCUGCAGUAUUAUUAAGCCCACGUCAAUAAUUUUUUGUCCGCACCAUAUAUCGAUGGGGUUGCCUCAUCAAUAAUUCGCGCAACCAGACAAGCUGCAGACUCAAUAUGGUACGAAGCUAGUUGCUCAGCCCACAUGCUCUGAUAUAACAUUGACAUCUGCUGAUCUACAGUAUAUAUGACCAGAAAUAUUGUGCCCACCUCAAUAACUUUCUGAAGUAUCGUGGGGAAGAACCUACGCGUACUAUGCCUCGGAACUAACUGACAUAUCGGCCCAGGCGGUCUAGGCCGAUUGGACUGGCUCUUCCUUGUGGCUUCUCACAUCCCCUUCGUCCCCAAGUAAUUUCAGGUGUUCUGUAGUUUUCUUUUCACUUGCAUCUGAGCCUCCUAUAUCAAUAGCUUCGGGAUAAGAAUGCCUCUUGAUAACCUUCCAAAUCCUCGCUUGAUUCACAUUGAUUCCGAAAUCAUCUUGCCAUAUCUUCAGAGACUUAGGUCCUAAGGCAUCAUGGAGGAUUGCUCGCCAAGAAUGAGCACCAUUGGGCUCCUGAGGACCCUAGGCCGAUCAGCCCGGGCUCUAUAGGUCGAUUGGCCCAGGCCCUCUCUGGGCCUGUUGGCCUUCAUCUUUCUUUGAGUCGACGCUUAUUCAGGGCUUUGUCCAAUUAUAGUCCAUUAUAGUCUAAUUUCCUAAAAAACAGAAUGUCCUCCAAAAUACAAUGCAUAUGUGAAAACAACCCAAUUAUUAGGUAUGAUCAAUAGUUUAGGUAUUAAAUUAAUAUUAUUAUUUAAGAUAAACAGGGGUAAAGGGUGUCAUUAAUAACAAGCGCCAACAAGCGUCCUAGCUGUUCAAUAAAUUUUUUCUAGUACCGAUUGGUAACACUAACCGGUGCUAAUAUGUACCCUUUAUUACCGGUUAUUUUACCAGGUACUAAAGGAGACAAGAGCAUCCUAACAUAAGGUUAAUAUCAUCCAUUUCAUGAGUAAAAUACUAUGAUUCAAAAAUAAUUCAAAUCCCUUAAGACAAUACCUAUCAAAUGAGUAAAUUGUAAAUAGAGUAAUCUUGAUCAAACAAUGUCCUAAUGAAACGGAACACUUCUGGUUCGUGUAGAGCACAAUAUAGAAAACAGUAGGGUAGCUGUAUGAUUGACACGUGGUCCAUUAAUUAUUGAGCCAACACUAUGGACAUGUCUUCAUGAGUAGUGUACUAGUCAUAAUACAUGGUAUGCAGUAGGUGGAGGUAUUGACUUAGCCAUGCUAUGAGCACUUAGUUACAACAAACACUUUGCCAUUAUCGAGCAUCCCAAAUCACUACAAAAUCCAUAGUUUACCAUAUACUACAAAAUCUGAGUUAAAAUAAGAGCAUACACGGAAGAGUCCGAAUGCACGGCACAUUGAAUUACUAGACAAAAUUUAUGGGACAAGGUUUUGGGUAACCGCAUGAAAAAUAUUGGAUUUUACUGAACACUUAGUUACAAUUACCAUGCCCGUGAGCACUUAGUCACCACAAACAUUUAACCACUUUAGAUCAUCCUGAAUCCCUAUAAAUUCUAUACCUUACACCGUACCAUGAAAACGACAAGAACAGAGACAGAUGCGGUGAAAAUCUCCAGAGCAAGCCUGAAAUUAAAAUAAGAGGAGGCAGUCACUAUCGACAGGACACGGAGAUUGCUAGCCAUGACAGAGGAAGACAUGAUAUGAUAUUCACCUCUGAAAUGCAGCGUAGACUAAAUGAAGCACAAUUGCAAGUGAGUGUGGCAGAUAAUGGACCAUCGAGACCAUCGAAUGGUAUGAAGCAUGAUUAUCACCUAGACAUGAUAUCCUAGACAGGACGGUGAAUUGUAAAAAGAGUAAUCUUGAUCAAAGAAUGUCCUAAUGAAACGGAACAUUUUUGGUACGUGUAGAGCAAAAUAUAGAAAACAGUAGAGUAGUUGUACGAUUGAAACUGCAUCCAUCGACGUGGUGCAUGAAUUGUUGAGCCAACACUGUGGACAUGUCUUCAUGAACACCAUCUAGUGAGGACAGCAUGCAGAAAAAUAUAAAAACAUGUCAUAGGGAGGCAGACCAAUCUUGCGAGGUAGACGAAACGUGAUACACGAUCUGCCUACCUUGUCGUGUGGAUACCCCAAGUGAAGAUGUCAUAGAGGUGCAGACCAAGCUAGCAAGGAGGUAGAUGAAACGUGAUACACGGCCUGCCUACCUUGCCGUGGAUAUUAGUCCUGAUAUCAUUCUAUUGUUCAAGGAAUAACACUCAAUGCUGCUGCUGCUGCUGACCUGGCUCCAUAAAGUUAUAUUCCUCUAGCCGCUUGCACUAACUUUAUCUGAAGUAUUAUUCUCUCUGCACUGUAUAUAUGGUUACGGAGUUUGCUGGAGUAUCCGGGGGGAAGAACCUACAUAAUAUGUCUUGGAACUAACUGACAUUGAUUCACAGACAAGGUGCUGUUGUUGACAUGGUACAGUAAAUAAUAUAGUUUACCAUAUACCGUAUACCAUUAUAUGUUAGCUAAAAUAAGAGCAUAACAUGUCGCAGGAGUCCAAAAGCACCGGUUGAGGACCAGGUACAUUAAAUUACUAGAAAACAAAAGGGGACAAGGUUUAGGUAGCCACAUGAAAAACAUUUGAAUUUACUGUACCAUGAACACUUAGUUACCAUGCCGGGAGCACCUAGUUAACACUAACAUUUAGCCACUUUAGAUCAUCCCGAAACACCAAUGACCCUCAAUAGCGACAAAUUUUGGUUUAAAUGCCGUCACCAAUGAUCCUCAAUAGUGACGUGUUUAGGUUUAAAUCCCAUCACUAAUAACCCUUGGUAGUGACGUGUUUUGGUUUAAAUCUCAUCACCACUGAUCCUCACUAGUGACGUGUUUUUAGCAACACACGUUAUGAAUGACUUGUCAUUGGUGACAUGUUAAACGCGUUAUCUCAAUGGCAAAUCAAUGGUGACGUGUUUAAAAAAACAUGUCACUGUGAGAGUUAUUGGUGAAGGGUAAUUAAAAUGCAUCACUAAUUUUGUAGCAUUAGUUAUGAUAUAAUUUUGUAACGCAAAAAUCUACCAUAGUAAUGAGGUUUAGAGCCAUCACUAAUGUGGGUUUCUUAUCGUAGUGAUGCAAGCUCUACAAGGUGCUGUUGUUGCCAUUUUAAAGCAUCCCAAAUGACUACAAGAGUCCGGUUGAGGACUAAACAAAUUGAAUUACUAGAACCAAAUGUAUGUCCAGAACAAAGAAAGGGGUCAAGGUUUGGGUAACCGCAUUAAAAACAUUGAAUUUUACUGUACCAUGAACACUUAGUUACCAUUACCAUGCCUUGAGCACCUAGUUACCACAAACAUUAAUUUAGCCACUUUAGAGGUUCCACAAUCACUAUAAAUAAUAUACCAACACCGUACCAUGAAAACAUCAAGAAGAGAGACGGGUACAUGGACCACCAUCAAGUGAGUAGUGACAGCACGCACAAGAAUACCCGGAACCUUUUAGCUUGUCUGUAGUGAUCUGUUUUCUUCGCCACAAAUAAUGAAAGAGGCUGACCAAGCUAGCAACGAGGUAGAGCAAACGUGAUACACGUAGGUUUCAUUCAAGACAUCCAUGUAAGAUUCAUUCAAAACAUUCAUGGAAAUUUCUUGUAAGUUUUCAUGUAAAUUUCAUUCAAGACAUUUGUUAGAGGUGUUGUAUAUACACUUAACGUACAUAUAUCUAUGAUUUCAUGGUUGUUAGUGAUGGCAGAUGAGGAGCAUGCAAGGUGUUUAAUGGAGCAGAUUAUUGCUAGUGGUAGUGGCUCCAACCUGCCCGUAACGUACACCGACGAAGAGGGCAGCCAGGCGGACAUGUUCCUCAACAUGUCCGGUGAUGGCAAUGAAGAGCCCGAGCAAAACCUUGCCGUGACGGAAGGUUCCAUCGAGGUAUAUAUCAUUUCCAUUAUUUUACCCCAUCUAUAAUUUCAUAUUCAUUAUUACUAUGUGCUAAUUAAUGAAUCUUGAACCGUUAGUCCUCUAGAUCAACGAACCGAAAUAAGCCCCGAGGUCUUACAAAGAUAAUGCAGGGAAGGCUUCACAUCAUGGAAGUCACAGAAGAGGGCACAUCGGUUGCUCCCGAACAUGUGGCAAGAAAGUACGUGAGUCAAACCGGGGCAAUCGUAAGGGACAACAUGCCCAUCAGCAUCAGGGAAUGAAAGAGCAAUAGAAAUGAUCUAUACGCACCCCCGGAUACACAAAAGGAUAUGUUGUGGGCAAAUAUCAAGAAACACUUCACAUUUCCCAAAGGAUAUGUUGAAAAAUAUGUGAAAGCGUGGAUGUUGAAGAAGAUGGCCACCCAAUUCCAGACAUUCAAGAAGAUGUUGGAUGCCAACUUCAUCAAGAAGGGUCGAACUCCGGGUUUCAAUGAGUGGCCAAAGUUAAGGGACCACUGGGAGUCGUUUGUCGAAUACAAGACGAGCGAAGGUGGUGCGAGUAAGGUUCACAUCAAUGUUGCCAAUGCUAGCAAGGAGUACCAUCAUCAUCUAGGGCGACGUGGUUACAGCUCUGCAAUUCCCAGAUGGCGCAAGAUGGAACAAGACCUGAUCGAUCGGGGUAUCGUACCAGCAACUCUUGACUGGAUCGAUUGAAAAAUUGGUAUUAUGCUCAUGAAGGCAAUCUGAGCCAAGAGGAUCCGACAUUGGUCUUCAAUAAAACAAUACGUCAGAAGGUCGGAAGGCUUAUUAGGAACAUUGAAGAUGCUAAAGCUGGGAGGUUCAAGGUGGAUAGAGAGAAUGAUGAACUCACAUUGGCCCUCGGGACUGUCAUCUCUAGCACUUCCAGCUCCAGGACUAUCGUCACCACCGGGACCGUCGCUUCCUGCUCGAUCACAGUCUCCAUCUCCAGCACAUCCUGGUGGUGCGAGCGACGACGACAACAACACCCCUCCCUGCCCACCAUUGCCGGGACUAAGACCCGCAUUGAGUAAGGAACCUGCAACACCACUGAAGAAGUCGCGACCACCACCUUCAAGGCAAGUCAGCAAAAGAAGAAAGCAGAGAAGCCUAAACCCACUGAGAAGCCAGCGACUGAUAUGACCGAUGCGGAAAGAUGGAAGGCACUCAAAGAAGAAUGCAGGGAGUGGUUCAGCGAAGGCGAAGGUGAGAAAGUCGUAUGAAUCGAAUUCAAGGAUAUAUAUGAAGUGAACCAUCAGGAUGCCCUUGAUGUCUCUCUCAUCAGCGCCUAGGUUCUGUAAGUGUAUGUUUAUCUAUAAGUAAAUUUUGGCUCAUAUCAUUAUUUUUUUUGCGUGCGUCACCCUACUAACUUCGUCUUCCAUUUUAUGUAGGAUGCUAAUUCAGACGUGCCGCAUAGAAGCGUACUUCCAUGUUGGAUUCAUGGAUCCAUCCCUAGUUAACCAAAAGCCGAUACGGAAGUAGCUAGAGAAAACGUUGGAGGUGGUGUACAACCUCCUGGACAAACUAAACUACAGAAUAGGGGCAAUAUGUGAGGGUCUUGUAGGAUUCCUAGUGGACGAGGUGAUAAAUCCAUAAGGAGAAUAUCAUUCCAACGGACGAGCAUUAGACACACUGAGCAACACCUAGAUGGGAGGAUCCUAGGAAUGACCUCGACAGAUUUUGGUAUAAAUAGUAAUUGUGUAAAUACUAGUUUGAUUUGUAUAGGAAUAUACUAAGAAUUGUAUAUAUAGUAAUUGUACAAAUACUAGUUUGAUUUGUAUGAAUACUAGAUUGAUUUUAUUAUAAAAAAGUUUUAAGUCGUACGUGCAUGCGCCUACAAAGGCGCGGAUGCCUUUUAAUCCCAGUCGGAAAAACAAACUGGUACUAAAGGGGCUCGUGCCGCACCUGGCAUGACCACCCCUUUAGUCCCGGUUGAACGACCCAGGACUAAAGAUCUCCGCGUCUCAAAAAUUUUAUCUCGGAUGCUUUUUAGAGAGAUUUGAGGCCUAUCAACCAAGACUAAUAUCGAGUUUUCUACCAGUGAAACUAACUAACGUUCACAUGGUUUUGACAUUCACCUGCCAUUUGGUGUAGACAAGGGCACCCUAACAUAUGGUUAAUAUUAUUCUUGAAAGAAAAUCCUUUGAUUCAAAAUACUUCAAACCUAAUAAUACAAUACUUCUCACAUCUGAAAAAUAUGAGACGGCCCGACAGUAUUCUAAUCGACGCAAUAAUAUUUUGAGGGCAGCACUACUACAGCGACCCUCAUUCGUGCCGGUGCUGGGACUCCUAUCACGACCCUGAUACAAAUGAGGGUACAUUAUUGGUGCCAGUGCUAGAACAGCCACGAAUAACUUGCUAAACGUGCUGUUACACUCACUACAGGGACCAAGAAGGUAGAUAAAUUACACGACAUAGCCUUGGUUGCCGUGGAAGCGCCAAGAAGGGAGACAAAUUACAGGGACCACACCAUCAAGUAGAUAGUGACAAUAUGCAAAAGAAUACCCGCGCCUGUUAGCAUGUGAACUGACCACACCACGAAACGUGAUACACGGCAAGCGUACCAAGGCCUUGCUGUGCAGACUAUGCAUGGACAACACAUGGUACCUGACCGCUUUUGGCCUCAGACACAUCGAAAAACUGCAUCGUUCCACGUUGUACAUCCAUUGCUAGUUUAUCUAUAUUACAUAAUAUAUUAUUAGCUAUUUGAAUAGAAUGAACCAAUUAAAAAAUUGCGUUGUAUUUUUAGUACCGGCUGCAGGAUGGUGUUACCAACCAGUACUAAUUGGCCUGUAGGAGUGAUGGUUAUUAGACUUGGUACUGUUGUUAGCAUCAUUAACCUAAUUGUGCGCCGUAUGAAUUUGGGGAUGCAAAGCUAGCUCUCUAUGAAUGUGAGGGAUGGAAAGCUAGUUCUCUAGUAGUAAUUAUAUAUAUGACAGUCAAGAAAUCGAACACUAUGCUGCUACGAGUCACCAUCAUUUCCUUCAUUGACAAUCUGACAUAGGUGAAGCUGCUUCAAUAAUUUCCUUCGCGCAGUCGUGGAGCUUAUUGGAUUAUCACCAGGACGGGACACGGAAAUGGCCAGCAAUGAAGCUGAUUGCCGUCUGAGGAAGACUACAUACUUACCUAUGAAAUGAAGCGAUUGCAUAGACUAAUGAAGCAUUGCAUAUUUGCAUGUGAGUGUGGCAGAUAAUUCUGCAGGACAUGAUUGCAAUCCACGCACCAUCGAGAAGACUGGGGCGAUGGGGUUGCCUCAUCAAUAAUCACGUGGAUGCAUGCAUGCAUGUUCCCGCAACCGGACAAGGGUCUGAUAUAUGGCUAUAGUAUUACUGAGCCCACAUCAAUAAUUUCCACUGGUGUAUCGUGUGGGAAGAAUCAACAUACUACACCUCGAGUUCUUGGAACUAACUGACGUUCACAUGCAACCUCCACAAGGUGCUGUAUGCUUUUGACAUUCACCUGCCAGUUCGUGUAGAGAAGGACACCCUAACGUAUAGUUAAUAUUAUCCAUUUCAUGAGUAAAAUACUGUGAUUCAAAAAUACUUCAAAUCCCUUGAGACAAUACUUCUCACUUGACUAACCACUAACCAACCCCGAAACCCUAACUCAACUCCGAACCCUAACCCCUAACGGCAUAACCACUCCGUUUUGCCGGCGAGAUGGAGGAACUGGCUGGAAGGUAGAGAGGGCAGCGGUCCAGGGUUGAAAACGACGGGCGAGCGCAGUAACAUGUGGAGGAGGAAGUGCCACGUAUUCGUUCACCGCUAUUGGGCAGCGACACACGACACGCCCAAUAAGAUCUUCGCACGGUAGAAGGACGUCAUGUAUUCAAUAAUGUUAUUGGUCCCCCAUGUGCAGAAGGGCGCGCGCGUAUGGAAUAACAAGUAGGGACACUGCAACUAAUCUACUCUGCUCGUCCAGUCCCUAGCCUAUAAAUAGAUGCCAUGCUAGCUCUUGUUGUGCUCACAAUUAAUCCGAUUACACACGAGCUUCUCUCCCUGGCCAAGACACAACCAUAGUAUGAUGAAGAACAUGGCACUAGCCGGCAAUGGUAUGAAGAAGUUAAUCCUCGCUGUUCUCUUACUGUGUCUAGUUAUAGGGCAGAUACAAGUGGAAGCUAAGAGCUGCUGCCCAUCCACCACUGCAAGAAAUGUCUACAAUACCUGCCGUUUCACGGGUACAUCCCGUCCAACGUGUGCAAAACUGUCAGGCUGCAAAAUUAUCAGCGGGAACAAAUGCAAGCCCCCUAACGACCACCUCACCCUUGACCCGGACACUGGUAAAUAAUAAAUUUAUCUCACUUGAUUUCUUCGUGAUUUGAGUCGUUAAUGUAUUUUCCAUCUGAUGAAACGUAUUGGUUUUGCAUUGAAGAGGAAGUUAAUGUGCUUAACUUCUGCAAGUUGGGGUGUGCGUCGUCUGUGUGCAACAACAUCAACGCUGGUAAGCAACUUUUGCUCAGACAGAGAAAACAAUAAUCAUUAAUUAGCGGCAGCUAGAAUCCUAUAAUCUAAUAUAUAUAUAUAUAUAUAAUUUUAUCAGCUCUGGGAAAUGAAGAGGCGAACGAUGCCGUUGAGAGUUGCGACCAAGCCUGCUCUAGCUUCUGCAGCGUGCAUGUUGGCAGCGCCACCGUGGUUGCUUAAGCAAAUGCAUCCAACUAGAUCGUCCUUGUGCUGAAUAAUUGGAUAUCGUAUCCACUUAAAGCUGCCUUGUGUAGUACGUCUUUGUGUCUCUCUUUAUAUUCCAAUAAGGUCGGUGAUCUUGAUGCCACACACUCAGAUGUGUGUUCAUCUCCAGAUACUACUCCAUGCUACCUGCCCUUUGUGUUUUGUUCAAUAACUGGGUAUCAUAUCCCAGCCAGUAUGCCGUCUGUUUUGUGUUUGUUUCCUUCUAGUUCCAAAGGGGUCAUCAUGAUGUUACCUUCUUUCAAUAUGGUGCUUUGCAUGACUACUGUUGUAUGGUACCAUCUUGUGGCCAAUAAGUACAUCUUAUCCUAUGACCUUUGCUAUGACCCUUUGCAAAUAAGUAGAAGAUUGUUAUAAGCGUCAAUACUCCGUAUAAAUUGAUCGCUGCUGUGAGUUCCCUUUCAGCUUAUCGUAGGCAUACAUUAUUGCUAGCACGGUAAAGCCAACCAACACGAAUGAUGAAGUAAACGUAGCGGUACUUCUGUAUACCAACACCCUUACUUAAAUGUACCGGUGUCAUUCCCUACUGGCACAUAUAUUCUUAUAUGCUAGCCAGCUUGUAAAAUUAACCAAUUAAAAUAAUUAUUUCAAGAUAGAAAUAACUUAUCGGUUUCUGGAAGCAUGUGUAAUGUGAAUUCAAGGACUCGACGGAAGUUGAAUCACUUCAUCUAUAUUGCUUUCAGUAUUUUGGGUAACUAAAUUUAACAUUUGCACAUACAAAUGUUAAAGUACAAAUGUUAAAUCUAGUUACCCAAGCAGAAUAUGAAGAUAGUUUAUAGUAUAUAUAUACUAUAUAAAUCUAGUUAACAUUUAGUCUAAAUGUUAAAUCUAGUUACCUAAAAUCCUGAAAGCAAAAUGUAUAAAUAUAUAUCUUUUAAGGCAGUAUAAGCUUCGAUUCCUAUUGCUGCUCUGUUAAAUCUCAUCUUUCGUUGUGGCCCAACACUCUAGUAUGCAUGUUGCACCAAGCUUCUUUGAGCCGCUCUGCCCUCUGAUUUUGCUGCGUAGGGGAAUCUUUAUCAGGUUGGGCUACUUCCAGUUGUGCGAUGUAAAGAUUCGUAUUUUCUAGAAGGUAGACAAAAAACUCGCGUUCUCUUAAGGCAACAACCGGAAGAUUCUGCAGCGCACAGGGCAUACCAUUAUUGUAGAAACGACCUUUAGUACCGAUCUCCAACCCCCUUUAAAACUGGUUUUGCAACCGGUACCGUUAUGUCGGUCCUUUAGUACCAGAUCAAAUAAGUACCGGUUGGUAACCAGUAUCAACUUGUUUUGCGGCCAAAAAAAUAAAGAAAAAAACAGUCAGAAGGCUCGCACACACGCGCAUCACAUGAAAUAUGCGUGUGCGGGGUCCAUGGGAUUCGAACCCAUGAAAUCAAGCUGCACGCGACCCUUCGUUACCAUCUCACCUACAUAGCGCAUAUGCUUUCCUGAAGUAACCCGUGGAGGAGGCUUUAGUACCGGGUCAUAACACCACCCGGUACUAAAAAUGACUCUUCAGUACCGGGUCAUAACACCACCUGAUACUAGUAUCGGAUGGUGUAAUGACCCGAUACUAAAAGGCCUCUAGGGACCCUCAAAUUUGAACCCGGUACUAAUGCUAAUAUUAGUAGCGGGUCAAAGUGCAGCCAGAACUAAAGCAUGGGAUGAAAGGUCAUAUUUCUAGUAGUGUAUAGUUGUUGUGAAGGACUGACUUGGCUGUCCUCUCUCUUCUCCAUCCCCUUGGUCUUACGCCGCCGCUCGCACGCGAGCCGGUGCCCAACCAGAGGAGUGAGAGCUAGGGGCAGGUUGGGAGGUGGGGAUAGUGACUGGUGGCCAGGGUGAUGGUUGAUCCUGGUGGGGUUAGGGUUUCAGGGUUUUCGAGCUUCCUAUGGUCGGCGAACCUAGAGGAGAAGCUCAACAUCAGCUGCAACCCGCGAUGGUGGUGGUUUGGCCGGCGCCCGAGGCGAGGCAGCGCGGGAGUGCUGCCGGUGGGUUGGUGUUGGCACUCAUUAUUGACAACUAUUUUGUUCAUAAAAUAACACUCAAACUUGCUGCUGCUGCUGCUGCCAUCGCCACCCUAGCCAUAAUAUAAAGGCAAAAUUUGCUAAAGGACAUGCAAAAUGAUGCUAGUUUGCUGGCGGGCAUCGUUGACCUUGUAAUAUGCUACAAGACACUCUAGUUGUGUAUCAAUUUGCUGAAAGACAUUGCUAUGACUAAAAUAAUGUUUCUGGACUGAGUUGGAGAGAGAGAUGGAGUGAAAUGUCUGUUUUGCCCAUGACCCCACUGGUCAGAUCCUUCUUCUUCCACCCUCCUUUGUUCUUUCUUCAACCAUUACCCAGCUCCAGCGUGUUGCAGAUCUACGAGGGUGGCGGCCUGGGGCGAGGGGCAUCGCUCGCCCUUGGAGGAGCGCUGCGAGCGACGGCGCGGGGGCGGCAACAGCGCGUCAGAACCUGACUGUUCGUUAGCUCCUCUCGCUGCUGGGGAAGAAGGAGGGGGAUGGGCCAUGGACGGGGUUCCCUUGAAAACCUCAGCGUCGAGCUCGGGCGGCUACGCGCAGGCAGCACUAGGCUGCUUCACGGGGAGGGGGCGCGGCCAAUCAUUGGCACCCCACUGGUCCAAUGCUGAUGAAGAUGGUGCCAGCGUCGUGUGAGGACAUCUCAUCUCCUCGAGUUCCAUGGCCAGCACAGGUGAGCUGCCGCUACCACAAAACAGAGGUUUCGUGAGAGUCAAAAAACCUUAUGAAAAUAGCUAAAACCAUCAUGAAAAUAAUCCGUGACAUGACACUCUCACGAAAAUCCUCUCACAAAUAUGGUGCCAUGAAAAUACCAUUUUCAUGAGAGUGAACUGUCAUGAUUUUAUAAGCGUCAAUACUCGGUAUAAAUUGACUACUGCUGUGAGUUCCCUUUCAGCUUAUCGUAGGCAUACAUUAUUGCUAGCACGGUAAAGAGAACCAACACGAAUGAUGAAGUAAACGUAGCGGAACUUUUGUAUACCAACACCCUUACGUACCGGUGUCAUUCCCCACUGCCACAUAUAUUCUUAUAUGCUAACCAGCUUUGAAAAUUAAGCGAUUAAAAUAAUUAUUUCAAGAUAGAAAUAACUUAUCGGCUUCUCGAAGCUUGUGUAAUGUGAAUUCAAGGACUCGAUGGAAGUUGAAUCGCUUCAUCUAGAUUGCUUUCAGGAUUUUGGGUAACUAAAUUUAACAUUUGCACACACAAAUGUUAAUGUACAAAUGUUAAAUCUAGUUACCCAAGCAGAAUAUGAAGAUACUCUAUAGUAUAUAUGUACUAUAUAAAUCUAGUAAACAUUUAGUCUAAAUGUUAAAUCUAGUUACCUAAAAUCCUAAAAGCAAAAUGUAUAAAUAUAUAUCUUUUAAGGCAGUAUAAGCUUCAAUUCUCUGUUAAAUCUCAUCUUUCGUUGUGGCCCAACACUCUAGUAUGCAUGUUGCACCAAGCUUCUUUGAGCCGCUCUGCCCUCUGAUUUUGCUGCGUAGGGGAAUCUUUAUCAGGUUGGGCUACUUCCAGUUGUGCGAUGUAAAGCUUCGUAUCUUUUAGAAGGUAGACAAAAUACCCGCGUUCUGGAAGAUUCUGCAACGUGCACGUUGGCGCUGCCACCGUGGUUGCUUAAGCAAAUGCAUCCAACUGAAUCGUCCUUAAGCUGAAUAAUUGGAUAUGGUAUCCACUGCUUAAAGCUGCCAUGUUUAGUACGUCUUUGUUUUUCUCUCUUUAUAUUCCAAUAAGGUCGGUGAUCUUGAUGCCACACACUCAGAUGUGUGUUUAUCUCCAGAUACUACUCCAUGCUACCUACCCUUUGUGUUUUGUUCAAUAACUGGGUAUCAUAUCCUAGCCAGUGUGCCAUCUGUUUUGUGUUUGUUUCCUUCUAGUUCCAAAGGGGUCAUCAUGAUGUUACCUUCUUUUGAGGUGUCUAUGAUGACUUCGUUAAUAUCAAUAUUAACCAAUUCAAUCUGUCUUAACUAUUUGUAAGGGGUAUGAUGUAUGCAUGAUUAUAACAAUGAUUGCGCAUACAAUCGCCGCCAAAGAAACGGUCAAUACCAUUAAGACAUAUUACAGACAAUUCUCAUAAUCUAUAAUGAAUAUACAUAUUCACUACUGCAGAAGACUGUCAUUUGUAUCGGCUCAUACGUGCCAGGGCAAAGGUCACCCUUGCAUUAAGUACAUUUGCACGGUAAAGACAACCAACACGAAUAAUGAAGUAAACAUGCCGGUGCUUUUGUACACCAACACGCUUACUUAAAUGUACUGGUGUCAUUCCUCACCGGUAGCCGGCUUGAAAAUUAACCAAUUAGAACAAUUAUUUAUUGUAUCGGUGUGAUUUUUGACCUAUUGGAAUAUGAAUUUGACCGUUACUGCAUUCGUCAAGACUCAAGAGAGAAAUAACUGAUCGGCUUCUUAGAGCGUGUGCAAUGUGAAAUCAAGGACUGGAUGGAAGUUGAAGCGCUAGCACUAGUAGAGAAACGACUUUCCAUCCACCCCCUUUUGUCCCGGUUUAAAGUUGGCUCGGGAUAAAAGGUUCACCAACCGGGACUAAAACUCAGUCACUGGUGGGAGGCUCACCAACCGGAACCUUUUAUCCCGGUUGCAAAGGCUAAUGGGAAAAAAAGACUCUGAGAGGCCUUUUAUCCCGGUUUGAAACACCAACCGGGAUAAAAGACCCCCCUUUUAUCCCGGUUGGUAACACCAACCGAGAUAAAAGGGUCAAGAGCCUUUUAUCCCGGUUGGAAACACCAACCGGGAUAAAAGACCCCCUUUUAUCCCGGUUGGUGUUUCAAACCGGGAUAAAAGGGCCCCCACGAGGUGACUGGAAGGUGACUGGAAGGGGAUUAAAUCGUGGGGGACCCUUUUAUCCCGGUUGGAAACACCAACCGGGAUAAAAGGGGGUCUUUUAUCCCGGUUGGUGUUUCCAACCGGGAUAAAAGGGUCCCCCACGAGUUAAUACAAAAGGAUAGUAUCCCCUACAUAGUCAGAUGUGGUGUGUAGGUGGGAUGGUAAGGAAGCUACGCGCGAGCUCCGGAAUUUUUUUUUUUUUUUUUUGCAGCGUCGGCGCUCUCUACCCUUUUAUCCCGGUUGGUAUUACCAACCGGGAUAAAAGGGGGUCUUUUGUCCCGGUUGAGUGACCCGGGAUAAAAGACCCCCCCUUUUUUCCCCGGUUAGUUUAUCCCGGAUGCAUUUUCGGGAUAAAAGCACCCUACCAACCGGGAUUAAAGCUCACUUCUCUACCAGUGUAGCUUCAUCUUCCGCUGCAAGUUAAUUGCUUGGAUAAGAAGUUGUAGCCGCUGCAAGUUAUAAAUAGUCCCGCUGAUGCUGUGCUCCGAAGUCUAUACUAUAUAUGCGGAAACUAGAUUGCUUUCAGGAUUUUGGGUAACUAAAUUUAACAUUUGUACAUAAAAAUGUUAGUUUACGAAUGUUAAAUCUAGUUACCCAAGCAGAACAAGAAGAUAGUAUAUAGUAUAUACUAUAUAAAUCAAGUUAACAAUUAGUCUAAAUGUUAUAUCUACUUACCCAAAAUAUUGAAAGCAAAGAAAGAAUAAGUAUAUAUCUUUUGUUGGAAAAUUGGUCCACGGAGAGGCCCAUUUAGGCCUCGUUCGUUUCACCGGGAUGGGAUUCCAGUCAGGAUUACUUCCAAGUUCGGUUUGAGUGAUUCCACCCGUGUCACUCAAUCCGGCUAGGAUUCAUUCUAUGGGUGAGGAGGUAUGGUUUCAAUCCAGGCCAUCUAAUGUAGAAGGAUUCCAAUCCAGGCCGGUUUUCGUUCCAGGCCAGACUAAAACGAACAACACUUUCAAUGCAAGUCUGGUUUCAAACCGGGCCAUUUCAAACCACCCGGAAUGGACCUCGUUCCAGGCCAAUCCGGUGAAAACAAAUGAGGCCUUAAUGGAAUCCCAAAGCAAGAGUUCAGUGGCAUUCUAUAGUCCCAUGCUGCUAGUUUGAGUUGGUCGAAGCCAACUUAAAUAGGAGAGCUCUCUCACUUCUCUAAAUACGUAACUGAAGGAGAGAAGGGGGCUUGGGUUACACAACGCACGCACGCACGCAUAUUUGCGUUCUUUUCGCGUAACCAACCGCGUGACUUGAAACUUGCGACGUAGCGUGCUGCUAAGUCAAGUUGAUAUAACCUUUUUGCCGUUUGCAUGUAAUCUUUUGACAACGGUCAUUGGAGGUGAUAAGCACGCAGUCAAUACCUUAAUCUUGAGUUAAUAGGGUGGUUACUACUGCCAAUUAGUGGGGCAAUUUUGUAGGGGAAACGGUUAGCAGAGGGCUACCGUCUUCUCUAUAAGAAGUUCUGGAGACGUCCAGGAACACACAUGUACAUGUGAGAGACCCACAAAUUCCUUCCCUUCUCCCUUUUCCAUGUGGUGAAGUGUGCUGUGGUACUGAGCUGCUUGAUCUCGCCGCUCUUCUCCUUGGCAUGCACCGAGGAGGAGGGUGAGCGGUAUCUCCGAGCUAUUGCCGUCAGGAAGCCUGCACGAGGGACAACAAAAAGUUUUUGGGUAGCGCAACUGCCAGCACAACUCUCCCUCCGCCUCUUCUUCACGGUUGAUGGCCACCACAAGCAUAAACCUCGCCUUCGCAUCCACGCAAAAGGGUCGCUGGGGUGCCUUCUUGCAUCGCUUCUCAGCCUCCUUGACUUGCGGCCAGCCAAGAACUGCGCCACCACCUCGGGUGCACGCCACCACUCCAGGGCUGCUACCCCAUGCCUGCGGCCGCCGCCGGCCACCACGCGUGUGCAACCGCGUCGCACCGCUUCCUUGCUUUGUGCCACCACUGCUGCUGUACCACCAGCUCCACCACCUUGGGCUGGUCGCCAGAGUGACUGAUAACUUAUUAUCUGUAACUACUAUUAACUCAGGGAUACAUGCGUCUUUUGCUUCUCCUACUAAUAUGUCCUAAAAUAUCUAGGAUGCCUUAUAUUUCUGGACAGAGGAAGUAUUUGAAUAAAAUGAACCAAUUUAAAAAAAUGUGUUGUACACUACUACAGAAAGACCUAUCAGUGUCAAACCCAAAAAUGUUGUCACCGCCAGUUUUGGGCAUCAUUGGUGAAAGGUUGGCGGUGAUGGGCUUUCCCUUCAACAACGGCACUGGAGCCGACGGUGAUUGACAUUAGAAAACAAAAAAGGGGACCCUACCUAGCCACCCCUGCAACCCGGCCGGCCGUGCCUCCCCUCAUCCCCACCACCUCGCCUCCCCAUGACCCCCCGCCGGCGCCCUUGCGCCUAGCCCCCUCAACUGCCCAGCCGGCCACCCUCAUCACGAGAGAGAGGUGCAUGUUGUAUAAUUGCGUGAAUUUUUUAAUGUUUAAUUUCAUGUAAGUUCCGUGUAAUAAAUUGUACAAGUUUUAUUGUAUAUAUGAAUUCCAUAUAUAUAUAUAUAUAUUUAUAAUUUAAUGUAUGGUUUCAUGUGUAUAUUUCAAUCAUGUGUAUAUUUAGUAGAUUGCCGAUUUUCUUUUUCUACUAGACAAGGGUUGAUGUAUAAUUACGUGUAUAUGUUUAUUGUACGGGCAAUUAGGACAAGUUUUGUAUAAAUUUCUUUUAUUUGAUGGUUGUUGUAUGGUUUCAUGUAUAUACAUUUAUUGUACUACUUUAGACAAUUUUUAAUUUAAUGUUUCUAUGAUUAGAUGUGUGUAUAACUAAUUGUAUUAUUAGUUAAGAUGGGAGCUAAAGAGGAUGAAAGGUAUAUAAUGGAGCAGAUUAUUGCUAGCUCAAACGUUGCAAGAACCUACACCGAGGGUGAGGGUAGCUAGGUGGACAUGUACCUCAACAUGUCCAGUGAUGGCAAUGACGAUGAGGAGCACGAGCAUGACAUCUAUGAUAAUGCGGAACAAGACAUUGCAGAAUUGGAAGGUUCUAAUGAGGUGUGCUUCAUGUUGACAAUCUAGUUGGCUUUUUUUCGUUGGUCACACCUUAGUUACCAUAGAACUUCGUCUCGGGAGAAGAUUGGUGGUGGUAUGGUGAUUGGAAUUUUAUUUCCACGAAAUCUGAUUUCCAUCGAAUCAUAUCCCUUGUAUUUAUCUUCUUUUUAUUUGUGAGAGCAUCUUCUUUAUGCUUGCAAAACAAUUCAAGUGCACAUACUACCCCUAGGGUGACGAUUGGGAGUAGAAAUAAUUGCCAACAAAACAACACCACAUCCUAAGAUUCUUAACUUGUGGCAUAAUUAGUCUAGUAAAAAGAAAGAUAAAAACCUAAUGGGUGUAUGUGAGUGCAAUGUGUAUAUGCAUAUGAGUGGAAGGCAUAUAAGCAAAGACAAUAUUUACACAUAGUUCUAAACACCAUGUUUACAGCUAGGUUGCUGAAUUUCUCCAUAGCCAUAGAGAUUAAUUAACCAAGGUCAAAACACGAUGUCUAUCCCAAGAUCAGUAAUUAUUUAUAGCACAAGAAAAAGAAAGCGCAUUGCAAAGUUUAUAAACCAACCAAUACAGCAUGAAAACAAGAUGAAUAGCUAGCAAGGUUUAUUAAACUGAAUGAUGACGGUCUGUAAGCAAGUUUAAACACCAUCUUUACACAAGAUUGCAAAUGGAAAAUGCCCAUAUGAAGCACUAACAUGGAUAUGAAAUCAUUCAUCAUAAAGCGUAAAGAACAACCAAGCCAACCAUAUGCAAAGCAUGAAUGGAAUGCAAUGAAGGUGCAAGAGAACAUUUUUGGAUGAACACAUUAUGAUGAUGGCAAAAUGCAAUGCAUGCAGAAAAAAUAAAUAUGAACAUGAAUAUGAUGAUCAGGGGCGGACCCACUAUUGUGGCCUGGGUAUUCCUCGGCAUACCCAAUAUUUUUGGGAAAAUGUUUAGUAGUUUUUAAUGGCAUAUACAUGUAUAAUAUAGUUUAGGUGUUAAAAUUGAUAUUCACAGCUAUUUUGGGCUCCAAUUCGCGUCCAAACCAACCUGGCCCACAGACCGCACCCGGCCGCCCGGCCCAUCGGCCCAUCUUGUCACUGAUCCUCCCACCACCACACUCAGCCCGUCAGUUAGUCAGGUCCCGAGCUCCUGCCUGACCUAGUCCGCUACCACCGCCAGGCGCCAGGCACAGCUGUACACGCCGCCCCCGUCCACCCACGUCCGCCGCACGGCCGCGUCGCGCCCCCCCCCGGCGCCCGCUGCUGCCAGAACCCAUUAGGCCUCCACCGGCAAGUCCACCCACAGUCCCGCGCGACGCGGCAGCCUCUUGGCUCUCGGCGCUCGCGGCGCGCCAAUGCCUGCGCAGCCCCAGCAGGCGACUGCCCCCCCCCCCCCCGCAUCGGGCCUCGGCCCCUCCCCAGCUCCCCCUCCCCCCUCCACCAGGACUGCCUGCUGGCCCCCACCGCGAGGUAAUCGAAAUGGACUGCUCAAUCUCUCAAUCUGUUGACAUGAUGCACACGGUUGCAAAAAUAGAUGUGUCAAAAUAGAUGUAUUGCCAAUUGCUAUAGAUGCAUAUGGUUGACAUGAAGAAGUCAAAAAUGACAUUUGGUUCCUUGUAGGCAGUCAAAAAUGAAGAAGUCAAACAAUAUUGAUCUGAAAUCAAUGCGGGAAAGGGCUACGAAGACACACGGGUAGAUUCCCUUGUGAACUUUUUAUGUCGUUCGUCUAAAUAUAUUUUUGCAAUGGGCAUACCCUACUCUGAAAUCCUGGGUCCGCCACUGAUGAUGAUGGUCUAAACAUAAAACAAGCCUAGAUUAAUUAGCUACAACUGAAAUUAAGCAAAGGUUAAUGUCAUUGACCCUAGCUCUAUCCUAGCUUUUACUAAAGUCCCGGCACAUAUAGUGGUUGGGCCCACUCUCUCUACUUCCCUCUCUGCUGCAUGCACACACACGAGCAACUGGAGGCCCAACAAAGCCCAGAAGGGUUCGGCCGAACCCGUCCGAUCCAGUCUGAGCGCCGCUCCCUCCCAGCCUUCGCGCAGAUGCUCCUCCAACGUUCCUUGACCCCUCCCUCAGUGUCCCAUUGGGUUUAACAUUGUAGGAGAGGAGUCCCUUUUUUAAAAUCUCAACCACCUCCUCUCCUCAUUCACUCCACUCUCAUCUCCAUCAAACUCACCAAGAUCCACAUCGGAAAUACCUGCUUACCACCAUGGCUGGCAAAGCCCUCGUCCCUUUCACCAACUUGGGCUUGACCAUUGAUCUCGAUGGGAAAAUCACUCCAGCAAAUGUCAUUGUCCCUGUCGGCGAUCUGGCGAUGGAGGAGGUCCAGGCACUAGAGGUCGAGCCCCUAGCCAUCAUACCGCCCAAGGGGUAAAGCAGGAGCAUGACAGGCGCUGCUAGGGGUUCAGCCGAACUCCCAGUUCAGCCAAACGAGGACGGCGUCGCCUCGGCCUCCCGCUCGACUGCAUGCUUCCCCUUGCCAAGGAGGACUCCAGAACAGCGGGCGCGUGCGUCAAGUCCCUACAAAAGGCUGAAAUACAAUGAAUAUCCAGGGUCACCCUUGAAGAUGGGUGAACGCUACGCCGGGUCCUUGUUUGACUAGUACGGCGAUGCAUUCUGCCACCGCUAUGUCGUUGUCGAGAUUAGCGGAUCAAGACUUAGACUAGUAAAUUUCUUUUAUGCGCGUAAGGCUUCAGAUGGUGGCGUGGGAGACAUGGGUUUUAUACUAGUUCGGGCAAUGGAAUACCCUACGUCCAGUGUCUGGAGCUGCUUGUGUUGCCCACGCGGGGUUCUGUAGUAGGGGUUACAGGUGUGCGAGAGAGGGAGCUAAUCCCAGGUCUCUUAGGCGUGUUCCGGUCCUCUAGAUGGGAGAAGUGUGUUCUGUUUGCUUGGGAGUAUCGGUUGUGUCUGAGUUGUCUCCGGAGCCUCCUCCCGUCUCAGGUCCCCGAUUCUCCUUUCAUAGCACAAGGAGACCAUCGGGGUUACAGACGAGACCGAGCGUGGGGAGGAGUAAAGAGAUAAACAUAGCUAGGUAAAAAUACAACAAGAAAGGGGGGAACCAAGUUUCUAGGUCACCGGCGUCCUCGCCGGCCUUCGACUUCCGCCGGCGCAUUUGUCGGAGGAGGGUGGCCGCCAUCGCGUUCUGUCGAUGGCUUCCUCGGUGACUGUAGCCACCGGGCGUGAUGAUGGCAUUUCGUCGUGACCCUUUGUCUGUUGGGGGAGGCGGCGGAUCCUGCCAUUCUGCUGACGGCUCGCGGAGUGCGAACGUCGCAUCCCUGCCGCUGGGCACGCGGGGCGCGAGAACGUGCGAGGCUUCCCCCUACCCCAGGCGGCGCAGGCCAUGAGUGCCCUGUGGCAAAUCGGAGGAGGCCGCAGCUACUGUAGCUUGUACUGUGCAGCCACGUAUGGGUACUUGUGGCAGGUUGCGUGGUGGAUGCGGAUAUCCUUCUCCCUGACAGAUCUGCGGCGCAUUUAUGGCGAGAUCGACAUGGGGACCCACAAGACCCGCGCCCAAGGCGGAUACUUGUCUGGAGGGCCCGGGUUAGCCUGACCCCCUACGCUUGGGGUCGGGCGAGGCGGAGACUUGCGGCGGGGCGUCGGACGCUCCCGACACUAGACCUGCGGUCGCGCAAGGCGGAGCUUGGUCUUCCGGGGGUCGGGGGUGCCGGACCCCAGGAUGCGGGGUCGGGCGAGGUGGAGCGUAAUUCUUGCCUCCCAUGUUGGGCCGAUGGCAGUCUUUGUUACCUCUAGUGGGCUUGGGCCUUUAUGUUUUGUUGUUUCCAUGGGCUUCGAGAGGUCGUUAAUAUUUCCCCCCAACAGUAGCCCCCGAGCCUGUGGUGGAGUGGGGGCGCUCCUCCGGAGGCUACUAUCAUCGCCCCUAGGGAAUCCUCGCAGUUGAUCCGGGAUAGGAGGUGUUGUUUGCACGGCUUGACCGAGGGGGUCGAUUAGGCGACGCAUCCUGUGAGCGACUCGGUGCGGGAGGGUUUCUUGUUGUUCCCUUCUGUCUGAGAGCCUUAAGUCGAGACCACCUGCGUGGCCUUUGGUUGCAAGGCCAGCCCCCGAGCCCCCGCACGUUGCAGGGGACCGGUCGGAGGCUAGGUCGACUUUUGUUCAUUACCCUCAAGCGUCUGUUCGCUAGGACGGAGGGGGCGAGCCGUGCCAUGCUAUCCUCAUCGGACGAACCAUGGUGCUCAUUGAGUUACUAACGGGUUGAUUCGAGUGGGAUCCCGGUCCCCGUUCGGGGGGGGUCCGGCUUGGGCCAAGCUGGUGGCGUACCCCAGGCUCCGGUCGGCCAGUUCAUAUAGUUCCUGAGUCCGUUCGGUCGGACCGGGGGCUCAUUGCCUUUCUUCGGGGAAAAACCAUGAACUUUGAUGCCGGUCCAGACUCGAAUGUGAGAUUGAGACGCCCGGGGCUGUCGCGUGCCCGGGUGAUGGCCGCUAGCGGACCCGUCUCCUCUCACCCCUCACUCGGGGGUAUCCUGAGGCGGCUGUCGAACCCGUGGCGGGCCAGCCUUCGAACCUCUGGAUCGUAAUGGGCCGUAGGGGCGUUUUCAGCCCCGUAUCCCUUUUUACCUUUUGGUGGGCCUUGGGCCGAAUCAUGGAGGAGGUCGGGCCUUGGGCCGGAUGCGGAGGAUGUCGUGCCUUGGGCCGGAUGUGGGGGACGUCGUGCGUGUCUUCCGGGAGACGAAGUGGUGGAGGGUGCCAACCCGCGAAUCGAGGGAGGAGGGGAUGUUUCUACUGCAGGUCAUGCGCACGGUUUCCGAAAAGGCAGCGGGCGUGACGGGACGUACCUCGCGCCGCAUUUAUUGCGAUGGGGGCGUCUGUUCUGCUUCCCUCGUGCCUUCCCUAUAAAACGAGGACUUCGCCUCGCCGGUUCCGCCCGCCAUCUACCUUCAAGCCUUUUCGCCUCCUCGCGCGCCCUUAGCUUUCCUGUGCCCGCUUCGUCUUCCUCCGCCCAGUGCCGCGCCCUUUCUCCCCAUCCGCCGUCGAGUUCUUCUCCCUCCGGCGAUGGGAUCCUGGGCGCGUUCCCACUUCGGCCCCUCACGCGCCGAAGGCCUAGUGAGGAAAGGCCUCCUUUGCGAGAGGACGGAGACGGAUGAGUGGGGGUUCCCUGAGAUGGAAGAGGUGCCGACUCCGCCCACCGGCUACGUCGUUUCCUUUGCCCACUUCCACGAGAGGGGGUUUGCGACUCCGCCGAGCCUCUUCUUCCGCGGGCUUUUGUAUUACUACGGGCUUGAGCUGCAGCACCUCAACCCCAACGGGAUUCAGCACGUCGCGGCGUUCGUUGCGGUGUGCGAGGGGUUCCUGGGCAUUGAGCCCAACUUCUCGCUGUGGAAGUACUUCUUCACGGUCAGCCUAUACCAGAAGGCCGAGAAGAGGGGAAGCCAGCAGCGGUCGACCCCGGUGCCGAUAGGGUGCGUCGGAAUCCACCUCUGCCAUACUCGCGCCAAGGAGUAUAUCGCGAUGAAGACCGCGGCAUCCCACAAGGGGUGGCACCAGCAAUGGUUCUACGUGAAGAACUACUCCAACCCCCCCUGCCGGAGUUCACCGGCCGCAUUAUUGAAGCGGCGCCGGAGGUGUGGGUGUACGGCCCGGUGGAGAAGGAGAAGAAGCGGAUCACCGGCCUGCUGCAGGCCAUCGAGCACCUGAAGGAGAGGGGACUGACCGGAGCCGGAGUCAUCGGGGCGUACCACGCCCGGCGGGUGGCGCCGCUGAUGCUCCGGGUCCGCUCGCUCGCCGACAUGACCCCCGGUGCUCUCACCGAUGGCACUGUCCUCGCGACGGGUGCUCUCGCUGCCUCCGAGAUCCGGCAGCGGAUCCGGGAGGCGCUGGAGGACAAGGACGCCGAUUACCCGGUGCCCGGCCACCCUCCGAUGCGCCCGGACGAGAAUUUCAUUGAUCUGGUAAGGAUUUUGCGCGCCAGUUUCCCUCUCUUGCGUUUCUUGGUAUGCCGUUCUGACGCGAGGCCCUCUGUGUUUGCAGGGUAGCAUGACCCGGGUCGUCGACUUGCGUCCGCCAGUGUCGGAGGACGCCGAGUGGCGGUAGCAGAACCGUCUCCUUGCCGAGAAGCAAAAGUGACGCAAGGACAAGAGACAGCGAAGAAGAAGAAGAGGGCCGCCAAGGAGUUCCAGCGGCGGCGGUGGGGAUAGGUCGUGUCGGAUGACGAUGACGAUGAGAAGGAGGAGGAGGAUGACGAGGAGGAGGAGGAGUUUAUCCUGUCCCCCCGGUCAGGGGCGCUUGUUAUCCGGGAGCCGCGCUCCCAAGCGGCCAUGGGGGACAAGGCGGGCGAGCUGCCUGCCCGGACCCGAUCCUGCGAAGCUUUGGGGGCGCGCCCCAGGGGUCGGCGCAGAGCGCCCCCCGGGGGUCGACGGAGCCGACCCCCAUCCCUACACCUGCAGCCCAGGAGCAGAGGAGCAGCGACAAGCGGCCGUUGCCAGAUGCCCCGGGGUCGGCGUCCAGCUCAGAGGCGAAGCGCGCGCGCCGCCCUUGCGCUGGGGGAACGUGAGUUGAAUUUCCUUGCGAAUCUCGUUCCUUUCCAUGCAUUGUGUUUGUUUCCGCUGAUGCUGUUUGUUGUCUCACAGCACCGCCCCUCAAGGCCUUGUCCCGCCGUUGGCGCCAAAGAAGGCGUUGCGGUGUUGUCGCCUCUGCGGGGCGGACCGCGGCUCCGCCGGCGGCGAGUGGCGGGGUCACUGGUGAGACCGCGGGUCCUACCGCGGAGGUGGCCCCUGCGGCGGCAACCGGUGGAGUGGUGCCACCGCCGGGCAUGGGACAGGGUCUGGACCCCGCUCCGUCCUCCGCCUCUUCGGCCGACCCCGCGGUGCAGAGUAUCGCUCCUGGGGGCCCUCAGGCCGGGGAGGUGAUUGACCUCGACGCCGACGAGGUGGAGGAGACGGCGGCGGUGGAGACGGGGGCGGUUGCCCCAGCGGCCAUGACGGGGACGACGACGGCGACGGGGGAAGGAGAGUCUACCCCCGCGGCCACGGCGGGGACAGUGGCGACAGAGGAGGCGGGGACGCCCGCCCCGGCGGCUGCGACGGAGGAGGCGGCGGUGACGGAGACGGGGGCUUCCGCCCGGGAAGCCACAGCCGAGGUGGCAGCGGCGACGGAGGUGAAAGUGCCUGUUCUGGAGGCCACGGUGGGGGUGGGGACGCCUGCCUCGUGGCCACGACGGAGGGCGAGGCGGCCCCAGGGACACUUGCUCCGGCACCCGCGUUGGAGGCGGUGGCGCCGACGGGUUGGCCCGUGGCGGCCUCGACGGGGGCGGGGGUGCGUGCGCCGGGACCGUCGGUGAGGCCGGCGACUUCCGGGAUGGUGGUGCCCGUCUUGACGGCGGCGGCGGCGCGGUCGGCCCCCGCCCUUGCCUCUACCACUCCCAUUCCCAAGGCGUGGAGCGGAUCCGUCCUGCGUUGGUCGUCUCGUGACGACCCGCAGAGGCCCCUCUUCACGUUGGAUGAUGCCACAGAAUGGGGCAAGUGGCAGGCGCUGCAGGGCGGACUCGCUAACGUCCGCGCCGCUCUAUCUUCGGCGUUGGGGGAGCUGGACGGCGUCAUCUUCCCCGGUGGCCGGGUAUGGUGCUUUCUCCGUUGGUUAUUUUCUUCCCGUUACUUCGUCCCUGAUGGCACAUUGUUCUGCAGGCCCUCCAAGAAUGUAGCCGGGGAAAAUCUGAUUUCCUUUGGCUCGAGCAGGGGCUCUGGGAGCGCUUCAACUUGGAGUUGCAGCGGACCGGGGAGCUGACCAUGCAAGUCGCCACCGUCUAGCAUGUCAUCGACGAUCUGCGAAGGCACGAGCAGGCGGCACAGGAGGACGCGCGGCGGGCGGAGGCCAAGUUCCAGGUCGUUGCCGAAAGGGCUCGCUGCGACCGCGAGGAGUUCCAGGCCGUUGCCGAAAAGGCCCGCCACGACGCUGAGGAGCUCGCACGGCUGAAGGUGCAGCAUGAAGCUCUUCAGAAGAGCGGCAGAGGGCCUGGCAGGACCGGGACGCCGAGAAGGUCCGGAAGGAGGAGGCUGAGAAGGUGGCGGCCAACCUUGGGGCUGAGGUCAGCCAGCUCCAAGUGCAAGCGCGAGAGCUUCAGGCCUCCGUGGCCCAGGGGCUCGACCAGGAGCGCCAGCUGAAGGCCUAAUCCGAGGGUAUGACUCUGUUUAUUUCUUUGUCUUUGUGAUGUUGCGGUGAUAUUUUAUUUGGCGGGUUCUUCUGGAUGAUCCUUGCAGAUGAGCUCAACUGGCUGAGGGAGGUGCUUGACGCGGAGCGCGCUGAGCACGGCGACCUGCGGGACGCGGUCCGCGUCAUCUGUGACUUCCUUAGUGUGGUCCAGGGGGAGGGGACGAGCUCGCUGGCGGCUCGUGUCCUCGGGACGUACCGCCGGACCAGCGAGAUCGCCCUGGAAGCGCUUCGCACCGGCUUGAGGCAAGCCUUUGGGGUCUUCGGCUCCCACUAUUCCGGCAUCAACUUCGCCGGGAUGAGCGGGGGAUACGCCACCGGCUACUACGAGGCCGAGCUGGAUGAGAUCGACGUGUCGGUGCUCAGCCCGGCGGAGGCCUUGGUGAAGCUCCUCGAGGAUGAGGCCGUCCCGCCCGAAGAUCCCCGGACGAGUUAACUAUAUCGGGCUGGCGCCCCAGAUGUAAAUACGUUAGGGAAAGACUUGUUUUUUGUGAGGGCCGUAGAGGCCUUUUCUAUGAAUUGUCGUAAAAAAGUUUUUGAUUCCCUUUCUUGCUUUUUGGACUUGGAAAGUUUAGAGCACGUUGUCGGGCGUGUCAGUAAGCUUUGAUGAGCGAAGGCACCGUAGCCGCUGGGGCGUCGUUUUUUUUGCAGUCCGAUCAAUCUUGCCUGAACACCGUUCGUGCACUUUCUCCUUUUUAUGCCCAAAAGUUCAGAAAGAGGGUCGGCUCGGAAAGAGAAAGCGUUUUGAGAGGGUGUCAAGUGGCUUAGGUACUUGCGGCAGGUUGCGUGGUGGACGCGGAUAUCCUUCUCCCUGACAGAUCUGCGGCGCAUUUAUGGUGAGAUCAACAUGGGGACCCACAAGACCCGCGCCCAAGGCGGAUACUUGUCUGGAGGGCCCGGGUUAGCCCGACCCCCUACGCUUGGGGUCAGGCGAGGCGGAGACUUGCGGCGGGGGGUUGGACGCUCCUGACCCUAGACCUGCGGUCGGGCGAGGCGGAGCUUGGUCUUCCAGGGGUCGGGGGCGCCUUACCCCGGGAUGCGGGGUCGGGCGAGGCGGAGCGUAAUUCUUGCCUCCCAUGUUGGGCCGACGGCAAUCUUUGUUACCUUGGGUGGGCCUGGGCCUUUAUGUUUUGUUGUUUCCAUGGGCUUCGAGAGGUCGUUAAUAUUUCCCCCCAACACUAUGAGGAGGACUUGUGGGCAGAAAGUCAGCUACCACAAACUUGCCUCUGAAUAUUUGGAGUGCAAACAUUGGAUGGUGGUUGUGGAGAGCCCCAGCCAUACCUCGCACCCGUGGAGAGGUAAUUGUCGGAUUGCUUGGUUCGUCUCUAGAAUGCGACAAGGUCAGGCGCCACCUCUCACUGCUGCCAGUCAGAAGGCCGAGGGGCCAGUUUCAACAUAGUAAUGAGAAUCUCCGAAGGCCAAUAUGGUUAAGCAGCUAACCUCCAUGAUCAUAGACUUACGUUUAGAAAAUAGGAGGCUUAGCGAUGCGUUAACAGAGCAGAAGUUAGAAACAGAAGAACUUAAGGACGACUUCCGUGUCCUCCGCCUUGGUCUUUGUGCUAAGAUAAAGCGCUUGUACAAUGCCACGGGGAAUGACGGUCUCUACGAUGCAGCUCAAUAGACGUGCCCCUUGUAUCCUUUCCUUUAGGCACUUUAGAAUAUGUUUAUUUGUUUUCCUUCAUUUUAAUUUCCAAUAGAUUGUUAGCGCCUCCAAUUUAAUUUCAAUAAAGUGUAGACUCACCGGUCAUCCAACUUGAUGGAGUCCUUUUGUCACCUAGUUGUCUUUGGAAGAAGUAGCUGGGUACAAAAUAAGUGUGGGGGAGAGCCACAGACUCUCUAGAGCUGAAACAAUGCACAACACCCACAAAUAGAGAAAACCACGCUGCACCAGCACGUACGUGAAAGUGGAGCCAGAGCUGGACCCAUAGGGGUUUGGCCAACCCAAGGGGUGGCCCACUCGGGCCAUCUUCAUCCACCGCGUCGGUUUGUGUCUCUUUACCCCUGAUCUCCCUGAUUCAUGAGUUUGAAUGAAUUUUAAAUCUGAUCAACUAAUUCAAACUCAACUAAAAUGAAUCAACUGCUCCACCUGCUCUACAUGUUUUCUAUGGUUGGCUUGCAUAUGUUUUAUUUCAUGCUUAUCAUCUUGAUGCUUGUGAACAAAUAUCUUUAGGACAGCAUGCUCAUCUAAGUAGUUGAUGUGUAUGAUAUGGUUCGAUGAUAUGAUCUUCACUCUUAAUGCUUAAGUGCUUGGGAAAAUCUAUUUGAAAAUUUAAAAGCCUUUUUGAAAUCUCCUCUUUGAUGUGCCAAAGUCCUACCAAAGCCAUAUGAUAAGUUAUCUUGAAAAACCAUUUGCAUAUGUUGCUUGUCUUUGCAUUGAGCUUUGUCAAAUUGGUGUGACCCUUGUCACAAUUCUUUUCAUACUUUCAUGAUCAAGACUCAUGUGCACGCCAUAUACCCCUUGCUAUGCUUCUAUGAGAUGUUAGCAUUGUACCAUCCAUUCAUUCCACAAAAUAAAUGCUCCACCAUAUGUGUUGGUCUCCUUCUAAGAUUAUUGUUACAAAAGAGAUAUGGGCUAUCAAAAAAAAAUAUGAAUGUCCAAGAAAGUUGGACACAUGAAUGUCCAAUAAAAAGAAAAAGAAAGAUAGCCAUGUCCUCAGAAAUAUUUACAAAGGGAGAGAGAUCAUACAAAAAGGAGUUUCCAUUCCAUCCACCACAUCCAUACAUGUGCACAUCUUGAUCUGAUUGUAUGACUUAUUUUUCUCUUUGGAUCUGGUCUUUGACUUUGCAAUAUAUGUGAUGCAAGCAUGCCUUAUCCUUCAUAGCCUACCUUGAGCUCCACAUAUAGCCAUCAUUAGAAGUAGGAUGAAGAAAGGCAAGUCUAAUGCCUUGGUGAGGACAUAUACACAUUGAGUGAUCUGAGAGAAUCAAAUGAGGAGCUAAGCAAGGUUUUGUUUUGAAAACUAAUUGAAAAAUCCCAAGCUACUUGGCAUAAGGAGUUGAGGUGACUUGAUUCAAGACCAUUACAUUCCUCAACUACCCAAGAUGGCAUGAUAGACACUCCAAAGUUCACAAGUGCAGGUAUGGUUUGGAAUAUCUUUUAGGCUCGCUUCAUACCUUUGAAAGUUAUGUUUCACCUUAGUCCUUUCUCGUUCACUCAAGGAUAAGCAAAGGCUAAGUGUGGGGGUGUUGUUGAUGGCUCUUAAGUACAAAAUCUGCGCCAUCAACUCUUGCAUAAACACAUAAAAUAUGAGCAUCAACAAUAGUGGUAGGAGUUAUUACAAACGAAUUCCACAAGUCUUGGUGAAUAUUUGUAUGCAAGCCCAAUAGGAGAGAAAAGACACCUCAAAAGCAAGGAAACACACUCUCAACCAAUCAAGAGCAAGCACAUGGAACCAUGGGCCCACAACCAAAAGGAAAUCGACUACAUUCCAAACACCCUAUACCCACAUGAGAACCCAUAGGGCAGUGACCCAGAGCAAAGGUGAUGCCAGAGUGUAGAUGGUAGUUAGCAUGCCAAAUUUUGAACCGCAAGCGCUCGGAUUAGUUGUUUCUUUUCCCUUAGAGAUUCCCCCAAGGUUUAUCAAUCCAUGGAACAAGGGAUUUGCACGUUUCACUAAGCACUAAUCAAUGUAAUUGAAAGCUUUUCGAAUAAGAUAUGAUUAUGCUAACAAAGGAACUAAGCAAUCUAGAUUAAGAUGGAUAGAGAGUACAGGUUGUGAACAAGAUAGAUUAAACGCUUGUAGAUGCAAUCACCAUGCAUGAAUGAAUUAGAUCUAGGUGUUAUUGUGAGUGGUUGUGAACCAUGCCCAACACUUUCCCACCCGCAACAUUGUCACUACAUGUGGGUACUCAACUAUCGGAACAUAAGAACACAUCAAGAUGAUCAUUCUAGGUAAGCAAAUAAGCAACCCAAAGUAGCGCUGGCCAGCCUUUUCAUGAAAGAGCAUCAUCAAGAUAAGAUUGAUAACAAAAUAGAUCUCAACCAAAGGUUCAGCGAUUACAAAUCAAGAUCUUCGUAUAACCCCGAUGACAAAUAGAGGUAUUACCCCCAUGAUCUUACACAUGUUGAUGAAUUUUAGGGUAAAGGACACCCUGUAGAUCAACUGGACCAAAGAUGAUGAUGAACGGGGGCAGGGAAGGCCCAGGUUGAUCAGCCUGCGCACUUUUGAGCCGAUCAGCUCAGGGGGUUUCCUCCUCCCCUGGUGCUCCUCUUCGCGUGGCCUCCUCUGGAUCCAAUCUUCUCUUCAUUUCUCCUACUUGUGGCGGCAAUGGAUGGUGUUUGCAUGGUGAUUUCCUCUUCUCCCCAACUCUCCCUCCUUGAAGUCCAUGAGGGGGUAUUAAUAGUCUCCAAUAGGCGGCAGCUCUGGGUCAAUGUCAGUGAAAAAAUCCUAGAGAUCAUCGUACACUUCAUGCUGAGGAAACAAGAGGUUGACCGAGCCCUGGGAUAGACCAAGAGGAUCAUCCUAGAGGGUCCCAGGCUAAUCGGUCUAGGCCCUUCCUAGCCCUUCUAGUCCUCUCCUUCCUCGUGCUGGCUUUUCUCGAUGACCCUUGUCCAAAUAUCCAUGAAGCUCUAUAUACAUACCCCCUUGAUUAUGUUGUAUUUCCUGUCAAAAUACAAUGCUCCAAAAUACAACACAUAUGCAAUAAUAGGGUUAUUUCAGGUGCCAAUUGGUGGGUUAGUAUACGAAUAAGCAUGAAAAUACUGUUUAAAUGACACUAAAAGUGUGUCAAUAACGAGCACCAACAAUCCCCCCACGCUUAGAUCUUGCUCGUCCUCGAGCAAGUCUAGCGACUAAAAGAUCUUGAAUUAAACCUGAGCAAGCGAGUCAAGUACCUAGCCUUGAAACAAAAGAUUAGAGGAGCAGCAAAGAUAAUCAAAGUCUGGGUGUUCAAAGAUUUAUCUAAGCAAAGAUUCCCCUACAACUAUUAUUCAGAACCAAGUAACUUCAAAAAUCAACUACACUUAUUUUCUGGCUUUUUUCAGAGGGUUUUUCUUUCAUCAUAAAACAAUCUCCCUGCAACAAAAUUGAAAAAAGAAUUAUUUUCAAGGUGCUUACAUGUCGCUUAAAUGAAUGUUGGCUAUCCUACUUAUUUGCAAGCUCUCAUCUCUCAAAAUUCAUUCAAUUAUAUGGUGGAGUUUGGGUAAGGUUAGCUAGAAUCAACACGUAUAUUAUUGAAUUAAGAAAACCCUCUAACGGUGGCCUACCUUCCGAGCCAUUGAUCAUAAGAAUAUCCACAUAAUGUGAAGUUUUCAAGGAUGAGAAGAUAUAGAAUGGUGGACAUGUGCAAAGGCAAAGAAAUAUAGUGACUCUGAGGCACAAGCAAUGUCCUCGUCGUUGGAUUGCAUAUGGUUGUAAUGAAAAUAUGUUCCUUAAACAAGUCUAUCUUUUCUUUGCACCACUCUUGAUCUUCAUGACAGUAAAAACUCCUCCUUUAUUUCUUUCUCUCUUUUCCUAUUAUUUCUUUUUAUUUGUCUCAAUACUUUUAUUUCUUUAUUUCUUUAUUUUAAUCUCUUCUCUGAACCUCUUCUGAACACCACAUAAUAAAAAUAAGUUUUAGAUCCUUCCAGAGACCUUCCAGGAAUUUGCUACAUGAAAACCGAGGCAAGGAGACCCCAGGCCGAUUGGCCUAGCCACUCCUUUGCUCUCCUCUAGCUCUUCUUUCUGGUGAAGCUUCCUUAUCUUGUAUCUUUCCAAAAAUUUCAUAAAGCUCGACUAGAAACGGAACAGAUCUUCAUAUAAUGAGUUGUGUUCAAGGAAUUGGUAAUAAAAUUGAGAAAUUUGUGGUUCGGGUUUACGAAUUCAGUACAAAAAUAUGAUUGUUCCAAUGAAGAACUCUCAUUACUGAAUAUUGACGAGGCAAGCAUUCAAAGAUGGUAAAAAGGAUAUGAUCAAUUCUCAAAAUUAAAGCAAACCAAGAGAGAGCGAUCCUAAUUCAAUUCAAAGUGUCAAAUGUUGCUUAUGGUGGUAUGAAUAAAUAUUUUUAGGCAUUGGGUAGGAUAAAUAAAAACUCUCAACCUGGUUAAAAGAUAUUGAUCAAUCUUGUUUUUGCAGAGGUUUUAAAUAAAAAAUAAAAUUUUAAAUCACCUCCAAUUCAAAGCCUUACUCAUAAAUCAUAAUCAAAACUGAAGCACUUGAUCAUCAUAAAGCAUGGGUAUUGCAUAAACAAAUCGAUUACUAAAACUCCACAACUACGAUUUAGAAUUCAAGACAAUGCUCAUAAUCUAAAGUUGCAAAGAUAAAAUAAAAGACAACCAAGCCAAGGUAGACACUAAAAACACUUGCACGAUCCUUGAAUUUUAUUCAUGCUUCUUCUCACAAAGACGCUAAAGUAGCCAUGUAGGCCUAAGUCUUCCCAAAAGCUUAAGAAAACUACUACUUUAUCUACUUUUGGUUGAAAUAAAAAGACUAAUCUAGACUCUCACAUGAUUCGACUCGACCAAAUUAGAUCCAAAAACUCAUACGAGCGACGAUCUCCCCCCCCUCACGCUUAAAAUCUACGACCUCCUCGUCGUAGCCAUAUGGAGUACAAGGAAAAGAAGCUUGUAAACGCUCUAAUGACGCUACCCGCACUACUUGCACACGGGAUGGUUGCUGCUUCCUUCGCUUUGUUCUUCCUCAUGUUGCUGCACAUCCCGAAGAGCUUCCUCACGUUCCUCUGCAAGAACUUGAACUCGUCCUCCUGACGGCGAUCAUUAUCUUCUGCCUUUUGAUCCAGAGCUUGUAAGGCUUGCAUGAUGUCAUCGAACGCAUCGAAGAGGUAGUGGAUGUUCUUCCUGCAAGCUGUGGAACAUGUACGAUCAUGCUCCUCCGAUUCUGGCCCGUCGUCUUCUAGAUCCUUCUCUUUGCCCUUGUCUUGACGGUGGCUAUCUUGCUCCUUGCUCGCCUUCUUGCCUUCAGCCCAAUCCCAGUACGUGUUGUCAUCUUCUUCAUCGUCACGGCCUGCAGCACCCUAUGAUCCAUUGUCUAUCUUGUAUGAAAGAAUCAGAAGCUUGUUCUCCUCAGGGUGUCUUGCGCGGUGCAGCGUUUGCAAGUGCAAGACUUGCUAGUUCCUUUUACACAUUGUAAUGUUCAUUGCAUGCUCUAAUUGUUCUACAUUUGUAAUUUCUUGGUGAAGUUUGGUUACUGAUCCACUGUUUGAUUAACUCUUGGGCCCAAACACUGUACUACUUCUGAUUAGAUAUCUGUAUCUUGACUUUGACCAAAAAAAAUAUCCGGCAGUUUUUGCCAUUAAAGUUUCAUAAAUCAUCUUGCAAAAAUCGUACUAUACAACAAGGGACGGUUUAUUAUAAAAUAUACGUUCCCCUUAUCACAUGCCACUUCCACUCAAAAGGCAACGAAUCAGUUUUCAAUCCUGAGUGAGCAAUUUGCUUUUAUUACCGAUGCCUCCUAUUCCCUUGUGCACCAAGUUUAUUUUGGAUAGGGCUGCAAAAAACGACUAACCAGCUCGGAUUCUCCACCUGCAAAACCGCAUCUGCAGCAACCAACCCCACGCGGUGGAAAAAAAAACAAAACCUAGAAACCGGACGGGGGUGGAUGUGGGGCUCGGAGCCCAAGCAAAAAACGGAUCGGGAGCGCCGGAGCAGGCCAUCACCGGAUGUUAGAGAUAGAAAAUGGUUGAAGUUUGGAGUGGAAAUCAAACAAGCCUUGGAGCAAAGGAAAAAAAAAGAUCAAACCACUCAAGCAUUCAUUUGAUUUAGAAAAGAGAACAUUUGUUAAGGUGGGGAGUUGAAAUCAUCUUUUAAUUAGUUCCACGUAUCUGGUAUCAUUACAGUUGGUUUACUUGUGUAAGUAUAAGUAGCUCUGCCGAAGCCUUUGCUCCUAUAAUUUAGUAACUAGUACAAAUGGAUCAAUAGGAAAAUCAAGUUGCAAUCAUUUCUCAGCCAACCAAACCUAUGUAAAUCAAAUUAUUGUCCAUGCCCGGCAUGCACAGGUGCCUGCCAUGCAUGCAUUGUUGCUCCAUUGUAAUAACCAUUAUUGUCCAUCGAUGUUGCAGCGCAUGUGUGCACUGUGCAGACACCAAGCAUCGAGAUUAUGUACUAGUAAGGUGUUGAAAUAAUGGGCCUAGCCCAUAAGUAAUUUCAGAAUUUCAAAUAAAUCUCAAAGGCCCAUGUGGGCAAGAGGUGGAGUGGUGCAAGUCUUUAGUCCCACAUUGCUAGUCGAGGGGAGGGAUGACCAACUUAAAUAUGGAAGUUGUCUCCACUCCUCCAAGCUAUGUGUGAAGGGCGCGGGCGCGAGGCACUUGCGUGAAUGGUCCGCCGAAAUCUGGCCCCCCUUGCGGGGGCGCGGCUUCCUUUUGCCGUUUUAUUUUUUGGUUACUUGGUCGUUAAGUCAUGGAAUCCUAACCGGUUUAGAUCACGAUCGUGAAGGUUUUUGGGAAGCGCUCUGCGCGACUGCUCGAUCGCUUCUUCCGCUUCGUCAAGUUCUUCGUCGACUCCUUCACCACGGCUCGUCUACCUCUUCGUCGCUCGGGCCUCACUCGUCGUCGCGAACAACGUCAGGCUGCUGAUCGUCGUCGCCUGCUGUAUCCGGUAGUCGUCCAGGAGCCGGUUUUCAUCAAGAAAGAAACGUACGGUCUCUUAACUCACAUUAUGUCUUCCAUACUAGCUAUUAUGAUUGUUGCAGUCUGAUAGCUCUGGAUAGUAUGGUAGAAUGUCUGAUUCUAUUUGCAAUGAUAGACUUGUCUAGAUCUUGCGUAGACAUGUCUAGUUUAAUCUGCUGCUUGUUCAUCAUAUUCAUGAUUUAUUUCUGGAUUAAGUUAAAACUAAAAGUGCUUAUAUAUCCAACAUAAGGUACCAAGAACACGUGAAGCACCCGGGGGAGGCUGCUCCACUCCGCAUGCACAGGUGGGCACGGCACCACUACUCGUCUCCUUCAGGCUGAGGAUAAGUGAUGUACGCUGAUCAACAGACCACGACGGAACCAGCAAUAAUAGUUUCAGCCUGCCUCACAGUAAUUAAUAUAUCCUGUAUCCUCCGAGGACCCCUCCCCUUAAUCUUGGCCUAUUGCAUCCAAUAAUGAUAUGUGUGUUUAUCCAAAUUUACGGCACCUUUGGCGGGGGUUCCACCCAGCUCCGCCCUCUCCACCUUCGGUACUCCAUGGGAAACCAUUCCUUUGGAAUCAAGGAAGCUUGAACAGUAUAACGAAUAAAGUUUCAUAUAUCCAUUUGAUUUCACAUGAAAUAAAAUAUUCUGUCAGAACCAAUGGUUUCACUGAAGCUCCAGGCAGCGAGCGAAGGGGUGAGAGAGGAUAACGCUUACUGUGUGUUACCAUCGCGUGCACCAUGGAUGACCAACGCGCAGCCGAGAUGAAACGGCGGACCUAAACAGGUCCUCGCUAUUUUUGCAGGUUCUCGACCAGGCCAGUUCUUUAGGCCAACCUAUCAUUCACGAGUUAAACAUACGGUGGCUGGAGAAAUGUUCUAUUCUUUUAAACAAUACCAGCUGGUUCCUCCGUUUUUAUUCCACCAAUACAAGCACCACCUUGUAACAUUUCCUAUGUUUUUUUUCCUUUCGUCUGUUUUCUCACUACAUGCGUUGCUCUUUCAUGCAUUUUUUUCCAUUCCUGUAUUCCAAAUAGGUCUACAUGAACACAAAAUGAACUAGGGGACAGAAAAAGCCAGUGAAGUUAGUUUUGAGCUUCACCAGCUACUUGCUACAUAAAGUGUGCUAUAGUCGCAGAAAAGCUAAGCUGGAUCAGACGUGGCCGAAACAAUGCCAAAGAGCUAGGUCCCUAGCUGAUGGCAACACAUCAGAUGACUAGCCUGCUUUUCUGUAAUAAUGAUAUUGAGCAAUACACUGCAUGGCUAACCUGCUUUACAAUAAUUGUCAUUUUAUAAUAUUGGUCAUCACGAGAGAUGCACAUUGCAUACACCGGCCCAUCCCUAUAAAUAGCCAAGCCUUUCAGCCAUCUUGGGCACCUCCUCUCAGGGCCUCGUCUCACCAUCAGACAUCUCGUUCCCAGUUAUAAUUUGCGAGGUUAGAUCAGGCUGCGCCAUGGCGUCCGCAACUGCUGUCAAGAUCGUCGCCACCUUCAUGCUGGUGCUGACCAUGGGCCACCUGAUGGCCGAAGCAUCACCGCAGCCUCGGCGUGUGCUUGCAGAAACGGAGCAUGCUGCGGUGUCCGGGAAUCCUGGCCUCCCAGGUGAUGCUAGCGUCAUGCAGGUCCUCGAACCCGCCCUAGUUUCUCGGCUUGCCUGCAAACCAGAGUGCACAGUCCCUUGGCCUCCUUUUGUAUGUAUCUGCUAGAUCCUCUUCCUGGCUCAACGGAACUUCAGGGAAAUGGCUGUGACGUCGGCCAAAGAAUAAAUUGGAUGAACAUAAUAUACCCCGGGUAGUGUAGCUUGGGCUUUUGUUGAGCGUCUGGUGCUAGUUGUAUUUUGUUUGCUCAUGUGGCUUUGCUUCUGGUUGCAUAUUGGCUUUCCUAUCGCUCUCUGUUGCAGCUAUGGUUUCUGCCAGGUGUGUGUUAAUGCGGUUUGUAAGCGGUGCUUGUUCCUACCUUCUGUUUUCAAUAAAAGAAGUCGGAGUCUCCCUCCGACUCUUGUUAUCAGUCAACAAAAAUGAGUUGUAUCAUAUAUAUCUGCGUCUUUUUUCUACGUAUCUUUGGGCUGCUUCAGCUGGAAGUUUAUCGUAAGUACGUGUAUCAGGAUGAUCGUUUGAAUUAAAACGAAAUGAUAAUGUGUGGCUGCUAGAAAUGGAAUGAGCAUCUUACUAUAUUACUAAUUGGAAGCCUCCACGUGAAGCCACCUAGAAAUUCUAGGUGGACGUUUUAAAAAAAACAAAACUCAUAGAAGCCUCCACCACCUAGGAAUCCUAGGUGGACACUCUAAAAAGAGACAAAUCCUAGAAAUUCUAAAAAAAGAAAAAAAUAAUAACAAUAAGAUUUUUUUGCAGUCAAUUACAUAUAUUUUUUUGAGACACCGUGCUGCUAGCUCUUGCCAUUGCGACCAGUAAAGCAAGCAGAUAGUAAGAUGACAUGCGUGUGGAUUGAUUAAAACAAAUUCAGUUAGUUGAUUCUAAAUCGUAUGUAUCCUAAAAGGAAGAUAUGUGCGUGCAUGGUCCCUAGCGAUGACAUGUAGACAUGUAUUGCAAUUUCUUUUUUAAAAAACAUGUCUAUCUCUAAACCAACAAACAGAAAAAAUAUCAAUCUAAAUCUAAAUCUCUUCCGUUCUCACACGCCUAUUAAAGAGAAGACAACCAAUCCCAUCCAUGUUCCAUAGAAUCCAUCUAAAAGCUUGCUCACUGCGGACGGCAUUUGACGGCAAAUCAAUGAAAGAUCAUCCUCUCCAAAUAGCUGGACGGCAUCACCAUCUUUAUCUCACCAACCUACAGAGCUACAACGAUGUUGUAGAGAUCAACUAGGUAACCUACCAAUCACCCUCCCCUUUUCUAUAUGCUCUAAAGAACACGUGGAGUAAUUAUAGGCCUAUAGGAGCCGACUAACCUAGAUUAAUAUGAAAAAUAUUCCAAUAUUAAAAGCAAGCAGAUAGUAAUACUUGCCUUUGACCAUUUUUCUAGAACUGUUAUUCCUAUUGAAUGUUCAAGUGCUACGGCCAGGCAUCGAAUGCCUGCACGGAACCUUCCUAUUGAAUGGUUACUCUAGAGAUCAACGCACCGCGAGACAUUUUUAUGGAAUUUGUUUGAUUCCCCUUCUACAAUUAGAUUAAUUUUUCAUGGCAUAUAUUACUACUAUUAAAUUAUUUGUUUAUUGUCGGGCCUGCUGCAUGUGUGGUAUAUAUGACUUGCUUCUCACCAUUGUUCUCAAACUAUUAUUCCUAUCGAAUCUUUCUAUCGAAAUAUAUUUUAAUUACUUGAUUGUUGUUUGUGUACCAUAACUUCUGUAUAGAAAAAUUCCAUGUUUGUAGAUAAUGUCUUUUGUAUAGAAAAAUAGCCCAAUUAGAUCCAUCACCAUCUUUUGCUUAUGUAGUUGAACAAGUUGCAAUGUUGAACAAAACUUUAAGUGAAAUUAGACCAGGAAAAGGAAUUGUGGAACAUUAAGGCAAGGGUAACCAGAUUGUGGAAUGCAACCUUACUCAGUAGUGGCGAACAAUUAAGUCUUGACAUGAUCCUUAUUGAUCAAAAGGUAUGAUAGAUGUUCACUUUGAUUGCAUUAUUGGUAUAAUUUUUGGUUUACAAAUUAUUAAUGAUGAUGCAAAAUUAGGGAACCAUGAUCCACGGUGUUAUCAAUAAGCCCUAUAUGAAAAAGUUCAAACCAUUGAUUGAAGAAGGCAAUGUGUACAUAAUUGCAAAUGUCAGAAUCACACCAGAACCACAGAAGUAUCGGCCAGUGGAAAAUGACAGGAUAGUCAACUUCUUACCCACAACUGCACUAAAAACGAUCAAAGAUACUGAAGACAUUCCAAAGUAUAGUUUUAACUUCAUGAGCACGGAUAUGCUUUCAGCAAGAAUAAAUGUGGACAUGUACCUAUUAGGUAAAACAUUACUGGCUUUUCAAUUUUUACACUUCCACUCAUUAAAUGACCAUCUAAUAAUAAUACAUAUUUAUGUUUCAUAGAUGUUAUAGGUAUCUCAGCUCACAUUGGACCGAUAGAAGAAACAAGGACAAACUUCGGAUUUACUAAAAUCCGUGAUAUUGUGCUCCUGAUCGAGUAAUUCUCUUUUCUUUUGUAGAAAACAACUACAAAACUUUCAACAUUUACAUGUAUGUUAUAGAACUUCUGUUGAACUAAAAAAUAUCUUCUACAGUGCCCCUACAAAUAAUUAAUUUCGUAGUUGGAUAUUUAAAAUAUUUAUUAUUCACUUUUAAAUUUGUGGCCAUGAAGUUAAAGUUAGAUUUUGGGGAGACAAAGUUGAGGAAGUUGAUGAUAAGACAAAAUCCCAUGUCAUUGCAAUAACAUCUACAACUGUGAGUAAAUUUGGCAGUAAGUCUUCAUUCAAUAUGAGUUAUUCAAUAUUAGUCAUUCAACAAACUAACCUCGUAAGAAAAAUAAAUAAUUGAUGUUUUAUCAGGGUAUUCUCUAUCGUCAACCAAUGCAACAAAACUUUAUGUAGAUCUACCUAUUCCUGAAACUAAGGAUGCACAUGAUAGGUGAGAAAAAUUAGAUAUUGUUUUUCUAUUUUAAUCUAUGUAGCAUGCACUCUAACAUGAUACAUUCUUUCAUAUGAUAAAAAAAUGUUAGUUCAAUUGAAAAUAUUGUCAAAGAGAUUCAUAUUGAGGACCAUCUAAAAGGGACAUUGGAAGACCAAAUGCAGUACAAUAGAAGAACUUUAGAAGAAUUAAAUUUCAUAUUAUUUGAAACAUCAAAUCAGGUAUGGAUUAGUAUGUUCAUUGUACACUAUACUAUUUAAAGACUUACAUACAUAAUGAUGGUAUUGUUCCUACUUUCAGGAUGAGGUAUUUACUAUUGAAGCAACAAUAAAUGAAAUUAAUGCAACAUAUGGUUGGUUGUCACACCCGAUUUUAAGGACAAAAUUGAGUGCAUUAAAUACAUGUGCACCAGGAUCAAGUUACACACAUCCUAUGAGUACCGUCCUUCUUUGGCACAAAGAUAACCGGUGCUCCCCAUGGUGAUGAACUAGGCCGAAUAAACUAUUUUGCUGAUAAUUCCUCUAGUUGUUGUUUCAAUUCUUUUAAUUGUUCAACCAACAUUCUAUAAGGACGUUUGGAGAUAGGUGCAGUACCAGGUAAAAGAUCAAUAGCAAAUUCAAUGUCGCGGUCAGGUGGCAUACCUGGUAAAUCGUCGGGGAACACAUCCGGAUAGUCACACACCACUUUGAUAUCUUCCAAGGAUUUUCCAGCCAACUGAUUAACUGCACAAUCUGCUGCUGAGGGUAGAGUAGCUACAAACUCCACUUUCUCUCCAUCAGGACCUGUUAGCAGAACUGUCCUCUUGGCACACUGAAUCGUUGCAUCAAAAGCGGCUAACCACCUCAUCCCCAGAAUUACAUCGAUUCCACUGGACUCAAGGACGAUAAGAUCAGCCGGAAACUCUAUACCCAUUAUUCUCAGUUUAACUUGUGGACAGAUGUAUUGAGCCUUCAUUGACCCCCCAGGUGAACUCACUAGCAUAUGACGCCUCAUGGUAUGCAUGGGUAAAUUAUGCUUUGCUACAUAAUGACUAGUGACAAAAGAAUGCGAUGCUCCAGAGUCAAAUAAAACUGAUGCGGGGGCAGAGUUGACAAAGAACAUACCAAGCACUACAUCUGGAGCCUCCUUAGCAGUCUCGGCUUCCAUGUGGUUCACCUUGCCACAAACAAAGCUUUGCUGCCCCUGAUUGCCUUGUGGGGUCUGGUUCCCAUUCCUCGGUUGCUGCAUCUGAUUCUGCCGAGGAGCACUGCUGUUCUGCACGGGGGUAGCUGGCCCACCUCUCUUAGGACAAGAGCUGGCAUAGUGACCAACCUCGCCACACUUGAAGCAGGUAGGACCCACUGGAGCAUUGGGCCUUGUUGGAGUGCCAGUAGGGGUCAUCUGGCGGUUCUGCGUAAAGCUUGGGCGCGGAGUCUGCAUAGUCUGCAUCCCUGGAUGCUGGAACUGAGGGCUAGGGCGCUGGAAUGACUGCUGAGCAGGGCGCGGAAAUGAGUGCUGCCAAAAAUUCCCACUCGGGCCCCCUGCGCGGAACGGCGUCCCUUGCUGUGGAGCAAAGCGAGGGCGGGUGUUGCUUCCUGAAGACUACUGGGAAUUGAAUUUCCUCUUCAUCUCCCCGAGCUCGUUCCUCUUGUGUUCCAGGCCAAUUGCCUUGUCUAGCAUCUUCUGGAAACUGGGGAAGGUGUGCGACAUAAGCUGAUAUUGGAGUGGUCCAAUCAACCCAUCCAAGAAUAGCUCCUGCUUCUGCUCAUCAUCAGCAACAUCUUCGGGAGCAUAUCGGGACAACUGGACAAACUUGUCCCUGUACUCUGCCACUGUCAUGUUCCCCUGCUUGAGAGCAAGGAACUCCUUCUUCUUAAGCUUCAUCAAUCCGGAAGGAAUAUGAUGACUUCUGAAGCUAGUCCUGAAUUCAUCCCAGGUGAUGCCAUUAGCAUUGGCAUGGGUGGUGGUGUAAGCAUCCCACCAAUCAGCAGCUGGCCCUUCCAGGCGUCCUGAAGCAUACAGGACCUUCUCCCUGUCAGUACAUUGGGCGAUAUCCAGCAUCUUCUCCACUGUUUUCAGCCAAUCAUCAGCAUCUAAUGGAUCCGGAGAAUGUGAAAACGUCGGGGGCUUGUGGCUCAUGAACUCCCUAUGCCUGUCCCUUGGCGGCGGCUGCUGCUGGUUGUUGUUGUUGUUAUUGUUCAGCUGAGCUUGUAAAGCUGCCACGGUGUUGGUCAGUCCGGCGAGAAGCUGAGUCUGAGCUGCUAGAAACUGCUCCAUCCCUGCAGGUGCUUGUUGGUUCUGUUGCGGAGCGGUGUUGGGAUUGCUGCUGUUGUCCCUGUGGCGUGGCACUGUGGGACGGUCAACUCCUGAUCCGGACCUGGUGUUUACCAUCUGAGCGUUAGAGACAAUGGAUUUAGAUAGAUGUGUGAAAGAAUAACUGAGAAAGAUAAAGCGACCAGAUGUAAAAGUAACACAGAUUCUGUUAGCUCCAUUUAAUUAGGUGUGGUCGUCAGAAGAAGUGUCCAUAAAUUCUGAACAAUUACCAAGUCGUAACUUAUUAAAUUUGUAAACCAACCCAACUGGAAUCAUCUCAAUCGGACUUCUGGAUCUCGAGUUACAAAAUUAACAAGCUGACAGUGUCGGUCGAUAGGUUCAGAUUCUGAGUGCUUUACUAAUUCGCAUACACCUCCCAGACAGAUACACCAAAAAUUCUGAAAAAUUUACAGAUAGUACUCCACGAAAUUCUGAAACUAACCCCACUGGUUUCAUGUCAUUUGGACUUCUGUAGCUAGAGAUAUAAAUAAAAAAGUACUGGCGUGUCAGUUAAUGUCGAGAACAGAAUUGAAUGUCGCUUAGCUUGCGUGAUGGAUAGAUUUAGACAGAUGGUAGAUCAUGAUUAAGGAAGAUUAAAUACUGAUUUAGAACAGAAAUAAAACCCAACUAAGCACUUUAUUUAUUAAGACCAGUAUCGUGUGGCAAUUGCCCCACAUACCGCACUCAUUACAAAAUCCAACUCAAACAUGUAGCACAAAACCAAUCAUCUAAGCACACUUUAACUAACACACUCGAACGACGUCUAACGAUUACAAGAAUUUAAACUAAAACACUCCUAAUUUCCUAGAGGUCUUCUGCGGCGGUGCCGGGCGAGUCGUAGCGGGGACGCUUAGGCGACGGCGACGAAGCGGGAUGAACAGCAAACUCCUGCGGCGGCGGUGCUCCCGUCGCGGCAGCCAUAUUCGCAUCCCUCUCCCACCGGAGUUCCUGAACCUCCUGUUGAAGCUCCUGGAUGUGGUUGUUUGCUUCAUUCAAUGCGGUGAGAGCUGCCGACGUGUACUUGCGGAGGAAGUCUGUAGCCAUGUCAACCCCAUCGUUAGUAGCGAUGAAGGUUCUUGCUUCCCCACUAGCUCGGUAAGGAAGGAACCGAUGGUAAGUGUGCUGCAAUCGCGGCCGUUCCUUGUGGGAGACGACCUCAAGUGCCCUCCUGGCGGCCUCGGCAAUGCCGGAUUCCAUGGUCCUCCUUAUGGUCACAUCAUGGUGAAAAGCCUUCACCUCCCAUCCUCCCUCGUGCUCCUCACGAAGGACAACCUUCACCUCCCAAAAAGUGGGAUAGCGAGGGUGGGUGAACCGGGAGCACUUGUAGAGUGGCCUCAUGCCGUACCCCAAGCGGUGACAAGUCCACCUGAGUAUGUCGGCCAUGUGCACUCCUUGGCCAUAAUCUUCCUUCACCCAUUUGAUCCAUGUCUCGGGCUCGGGAUCUGCUUCGGGCUCAUCAUCCGUCAAGUCGACGACCGGUACGGGCGUCGGGGCUGGUGCAGGAGCGGGCGCCGGUGCUGGCGACGGUGCUGGUGACGGCGUGGUCUCCUGCUCCACGGUCACGGCGUCCCCGUCAGAGUCAUCCCCCGGAUGCUGGAAGAUCUCUUCCUCUUCUUCCUCGUCCCAAGGCUCCAUGGGGGCGUACGACGGCGCGAUGCCAUGACGCGGCGGACGGGUGCUCUUGCGUGCGGUCAACCGGGUGCGAGCCAUCUAACAGAAAGAAAGAAGAAAAUUUUAGAAUAAAAUUUUGAACAAAGCUAGAUAAUAAAAUAGCAAUAAGGAUGAGACAAAUCAAGUUUAAGAAUAAUUAAGUAGAUUUAAAUUAAGAAAGGUAGGAAUGGCUACUAGAUUAUUAUAAUCCUUAAAUACGACCAUUUUCUAACUAGGCUAACGUCCUACAGUCAACACGGCUCUGGUACCACUUUUGUCACACCCGAUUUUAAGGACAAAAUCGAGUGCAUUAAAUACAUGUGCGCCAGGAUCAAGUUACACACAUGUACGACAAUAGUGAAUAGUAAAGCCAGUGCUAAAUCGAAUAAAGAGAGUAUUAACCAUUAUUACAUGACCGAAUGUCUCAAAUAAACCACAAAGUCUAAUUAUUACGCAGCGGAACUCCAAAGAUGACGACGACUCCAUAGGCAGCUGACUGAAGAAACGUACGCCUAGAACUCCUCGAAGUCGUGGAAGUACUCCUCUUCCCAAUUAACUUGGUCUGAACAGCGGUUUUGCAAGGGUGAGUACACUUAUGGUUGGUACUCAACAAGUCGUGGGAAGUAGUGUAGUGUAAGGCUAAUUCAAGGUAUGGCUAAGGCGUAAAUAGCAUUCGCUUUUAAUUAAGUUGGUCAAAUUUUAUUAGCAUUUACUAAGUAUAAGUUCAUACCACCCGAAAUUAAACAUGAACAUAAAGUAAACCACAUGUGCAUGAAAUGAUAACAAAUUAAAUCCAUCUUCCGAUAAUAUUAUCAUGUGAGGGUCCAGGCCGCUCUUAACCGUGAGCACGGCUGAUUGAUCAGUUUAACACUCUGCAGAGGUGGCACAUCUUUACCCACAAGUCGCGUAAAAGUUCAAAAGAACUUUGGACCCAACCAUGCGGUGUUUGCAAGGCACCAUACCACACUUCCGAGGUGUGAUUGCAUAGGGACGCUACGAGGCCUUUACAAAGAUUCAUUAAUCAGUGGUAACCCGCUAAGGUUUCGGUGUCUGGCGUGCACCACCCAUCCCAGGUAAAAUGCAACGACUCAGUCCCCCCCCUUGAAUCAUCACGAGUAAGGUCACCCCAGACUAAGGUUUCUAAUUAAUCAGCCAAGACCAGAGCUAUUUAGUCUUGUGGUAGCACUGUUUUCCUGGGUGGUCGCUCCAUGUUCUGAUUAACAAAUAAUGAUCUUGUCUUAAUGAAAGGUAUAACAGAAAUAAGGCAAGAUUAAGCAUUGUUUUUAGUUAAACCACCAUGUACCAAGUAAGCACUAAGCAUGAGCUACCCAACAUAAAGUAAACCGGUUGGUCAAGGCAAAGGUAAAACAAUCUAGGCCAACCUUAAUUGGGACCCAUCAAUUUAAUCUUAAUAUGUGCACAGCAUAAAUGUUGAGUACGAGAAAGUAAAGGUGUAUAGGACAAAAAGGUAGUGAUCAAGGACACGACUUGCCUUCUUGGCCUUGCUCCUGCUGUUCGUACUCCUCGAAGGCUUGAUCGGCAACUCCCUCGAACUGCGGGGCGUCUACACGCAUCACACGAGCACAUACAAGCAAACAUGGGCAAAAGUAAGAAAACAGUAUACCAAACAUAGUCAAACAGAGAAAACAAGCUUGAAAAGAUGAUCUACGCUUUAAAACGAACACGCGGAUAUAAAGAACGCGAAAAACGGAGUUAAGAUGCAAAAGAUAUGAUUAAAACAAAAUCCAGGGACUUUUCUGUAAGAAAAACAAAACUUUUAGGGCCUAUCCGCGAAAACCGAGGGCUUAUACGUAAUUAUGCGUAUAAACCGAGGGUCUGAUGCGUAAAAACAUCAAACCCGGACGGCGGGUUGAUUUCUGGAAAGGUCAAGGGUUAAACCGAAAAAUGCGAGGGCAGAUCUGUAAAUACUUUCAACGCGAUCUGGACCGCGGGUUGAUUUGCGAAAAAGGCGGGGGCUAAAGUGCAAAAACUGCACGGCGCGGCUCGGUUGACCGGUACGCGAUCUUGAUUGACUCGCGUCCGGCCGUCGGAUUAAGAUCCGACGGUCGCGGUGAUCCGCGACAUCGCGGCGGCGGCGGCGAGCGGCGGCGAGCGGCGGCAAGCGGCGGCGGGUCGCCGGAGUUAGGCAAAAUAGCGCCACGAGGCACGGUUUAACGCGCGGGUUGCACCAAAAAAGAGAGGGGAACACGUCGAUCCCGUUUUGGGGGUUCUUGUCGACGGGGGCUCACCGGCGACGGCGAACGGCGGCGAGGAAGAGGCGGCGGCGCUAGGAGCUCGGGCGGCUAGGGUUUCGGGGAGCUGCGGCGCUGGUUUUGGGCGGAGGAGACUGGGAGGAGGCGGCGGCUUUUAUAGGGCUUGGAGAUAGAGCCGGCGCGGGUUCAAAUCCCCCGGAGGAGUCGGAGCGGAUGGAGUCCGGGGCGGAGACGGCGCGCGGCGGUUGCGGAGUUCUGACCGGAUUCGGCCGGAGGUGGGAGACGAUGGGUGGGGUCCACCCGUCAGUGGCGGAGGGGAGCGGUAGACGGGCCGGCGCGACCGUGGGCUGGCGCGCGCUCGUGGGCUGCGGGGAGCGGGAGAGAAGCGGCGAGCGGGCGCUGGCGGAGCAGGCCGAGCGGAGGUAGAGCUGGGCCGCGGAGAAAAAGGAGGAGGCCGGCGGGCUGCUUCGCAGGCCGGUAAGGAUGAGGCGGCCGGGCCGAAGAAGAAAAAGAAAAGGAGGGACAAGGAGCUUUCGGCCGAGGGAAAAGAAGAAGAAAAAGAAAAGGAAGAAGAAAAGGGAAAAGGUUUUGGAAUUUGAAUUUAAAUCUGAAAUUCAAAAUUUGAUUCAAACUCAAGCAACCAAAAAUUAUGCUCCAGCAUGAAUGCACAAAUAAUUCCUAUGAUGAAUUAAUUGAAUUAAAGAAAAUGAAUUUAAAUGCCUAGAAAUUAAAUAACACCCUAAUUUGAGCAAAUUUUAAUGAAUUUGAAUUAUUGAAAUUUUGGGUGUUACAUUGGUACUACAUCUCAUGUAGUAGAGGCGAUUGUAAGAAGCAACUUGAAAAGAAGUUUGAUCACUACUAUUGCAAUAAAUGUGACAAGAGAGCCGAACCUAAAGCCCAGUAAAUUAUUUAGUAGUUUACAAUCUUAUUAUAAUACUUCUAUUUCUAAUAGGAGAAUAAUAUUUUCAGAUUCAAAUUAAGCUUCAAAUAAGUGAUCCAACAACAAGUGCAACUUGUGUACUUUUGACAAGGAAGCAGAAAUGAUAAUUAAUGAAUGAGCAGAUUCGAUGAUCACCUCAGUUGAUCAUGAUAAUAAGUAGCUACCAAAAUCAAUUCAGGAAAUAUGUGAAGAAACAUUGAUUUCUCAAUUCAGAUUGACCGAGUACAACUUGACAAGUUUUAGACCUGAUUAUACUGUUUCAAAGAUAUUUUUUCCAAAAGAAAAGGGCAGUUCAAGAAUUGGUAUGGAAAGUGUAAAAAAGGUAACACUUUAUUAUUAAUUUUUUAUUGCACUUUUUUCUUUUGAAUCCGUAAUACUUAAUAAUUUUACUAUAUCAAUGAAACAAAUUCUAACCUAAAUUUAUUUUCUUUUUUAUUAUUUGUAGGAAGUAGAAGACAACUCAGACAAAUGCUACACGAUAACUACCGAGAAUGAAGAGGUAGACACUGAUGACUCUUUUACCGAGAAAGUAACAUUCGUAGAAGAAGCCAUAAGGACUGGGGAAAGAUUGGCUAGAAAAGUAUACUCACUUCCAUGUCAGUGUUCAUUCUAUUUACAAUACAUGCAAAAAAAAUAUUAUUCAUGCAAAAUUGCAGGUCUACUAAGCAUUAAAGGAAUAGCGGAUAGUGCAAUAUGUAAUCUGAGCAGCAUGCAUUACAAAGUGCUCUACUGCAAUUAAAUUAAAAAACAUGAUAUAUGUUGAAUUCUUAGACUUUAUUAUUAUACUUUUCUACGUGACAAUUCACAAUUUUUUAGAAAAAAGAAGAUCCCAGAAGAAGUGACCAUGAAAAAAGGUCUAUGACCAGCAAUAAGAAAAAAUGCAAGCAUAGAAACAAAUCCGUAGAAAACAUAGAAAAUAAGGUACUCCAUAAACAAAAGUAUUCUCUUAUAUUUUUAUUAAAUAUUUUUUUAACACUUGACAAGUUCUUUUUUAGGAUCAAUAUAUCAGCAAUUCAGAUGUCAUUGGAGAUGAAACCUUAGUUCAUCCAAAAGGUCAAAAAAAAACAUCUGAAGAAAGGUGUUUGGCUGAAAAGGAAAAGCAAAAAAGUGGUAAUGCAGACAAACACAUGCAGAAAAAUAUAAAAACAUGUCAUAGGGAGGCAGACCAAUCUUGCAAGGAGGUAUAGACGAAACGUGAUACACGACCUGCCUACCUUGUCGUGGAUACCCCAAGAAGAUGUCAUAGAGGUGCAGACCAAGCUAGCAAGGAGGUCGAAACGUGAUACACGGCCUGCCUACCUUGCCGUGGAUAUUAGCCCUGAGAUCAUUCUACUGUUCAAGGAAUAACACUCAAUGCUGCUGCUGCUGCUGACCUGGCUCCAUAAAGUUAUACUCCUCUAGGUGCUUGCACUAACUUUAUCUGAAGUAUUAUUCUCUCUGCACUGUAUAUAUGGUUAUGGAGUUUGCUGGAGUAUCCGGGGCGAAGAACCUACAUAAUACGUCUUGGAACUAAUUGACAUUGAUUCACAGACAAACUCUACAAGGUGCUGUUCUUGCCAUUUUAGAGCAUCCAAAGGACUAUAAAUAACAUAGUUUACCAUAUACCAUAUACCAUAUACCAUAAUAUGUUAGCUAAAAUAAGAGCAUACACAUGUUGCAGGAGUCCAAAAGCACCGGUUGAGGACCAGGUACAUUGAAUUACUAGAAAAAGACAGGGGACAAGGUUUAGGUAACCACAUGAAACAUUUGAAUUUAUUGUACUAUGAACACUUAGUUACCAUGCCAGGAGCACAUAGUUAACACUAACAUUUAGCCACUUUAGAUCAUCCCGAAUCACCAAUGACCCUCAAUAGUGACAAAUUUUGGUUUAAAUGCCAUCACCAAUGAUCCUCAAUAGUGACGUAUUUAGGUUUAAAUCCCGUCACUAAUAACCCUCAAUAGUGACCUGUUUUGGUUUAAAUCUCAUUACCACUGAUCCUCAAUAGUGAUGUGUUUUAGCAAAACAUGUUAUCAAUGACUUGUCAUUGGUGACGUGUUAAAACGCGUUAUCUCAAUGGCAAAUCAUUGGUGACGUGUUAUCUCAAUGUUAUCAAUGUUCUAUUCUUUUCAACAAUACCAGCUCGUUCCUCCGUUUUUAUUCCACCAAUACAAGCACCACCUUGUAACAUUUCCUAUGUUUUUUUUCCUUUUGUCUGUUUUCUCACUACAUGCGUUGCUCUUUCAUGCAUUUUUUUCCAUUCCUGUAUUCCAAAUAGGUCUACAUGAACACAAAAUGAACUAGGGGACAGAAAAAGCCAGUGAAGCCAAUUUUGAGCUUCACCAGCUACUUGCUACAUAAAGUGUGCUAUAGUGACGUGUUUUAGCAAAACAUGUUAUCAAUGACUUGUCAUUGGUGACGUGUUAAAACGCGUUAUCUCACUGGCAAAUCAUUGGUGACGUGUUUUAAAAAAACAUGUCACCGUGAGAGUCAUUGGUGAAGGGUAAUUAAAAUGCGUCACUAAUGUUGUAGCAUUAGUUAUGAUAAUUUAGUAACGCAAAAAUCUACCAUCAGUAUUGAGCUUUAGAGCCAUCGCUAAUGUGGGUUUCUUACAUAGUGAUGCAAGCUCUACAAGGUGCUGUUGCUGCCAUUUUAAAGCAUCCCAUGACUACAUGUUAAUAACAUAGUUUACCAUAUAUCAUAAAAAUAUUAGUUACAAUAAGCACAUACGCAUGUGGAAGAGUCCGAAUGCACCGGUUGAGGACUAAACACAUUGAAUUACUAGAACCAAAUGUAUGUUUAGAACAAAGACAGGGGUCAAGGUUUGGGUAACCGCAUUAAAAACAUUGGAUUUUACUGUACAUGAACACUUAGUUACCAUUACCAUGCCUUGAGCACCUAGUUACAACAAACAUUAAUUUAGCCACUUUAGAGCUUCCAGAAUCGCUAUAAAUAAUAUACCUACGCCGUACCAUGAAAACAUCAAGAAGAGAGACGGAUACAUGGACCACCAUCAAGCGAGUAGUGACAGCACGCACAAGAAUACCCGGAACCUGUUAGCUUGUCUGUAGUGAUCUGUUUUCUUCCCCAUAAAAUCCAUGAGUAUUGCCACAAAUAAUGAAAGAGGCUGACCAAGCUAGCAAGGAGGUAGAGCAAACGUGAUACACGGCCUGCCAAGAUUGCCCUGGAUACGCCAAUAAGAGCGACAGAUACAUGGAUCACACCAAUAUGGUGAAACGUAUAUUCAUCACACAAGCAAAGCUGGUCAGUUUAUCCAUGGUCAAAUUGUGGUCUUUGUUUUCACUUGAGAGCUAAUUGAGGCACUAUAAUAUGGGCAGGCCUAUCUUCAACAGACAUGACAGCUACAGGGAACUUGACAUAAUUUGCUGGGCCGCCUGUGCACAAUUAUUUGUUUUAUUGUCCUUGCAUAGAAUGCUAAAAUACUCUUUACAAAAUGUUGGAUCUAAUAUUUGAAAUAUAGAGUAGUAAUCAUAUAUUGAUCAACAACUUGAAAUUAUCUGUACAUUCUCGGUGAAGCUGUUGAACUAAUUUUUGCAAAUUAUUAAUUCAUCUCAUUACGUAAAGAAAAAAGUAAGUGGAUAAGAUAUUUCGUGGACCACAUCACUGCAAACAUGUCAUGGAGAGACAGACCAAGGAGGCAGGACGUGAUACACGACUUACCCUAGGUUGCCGUGGAACCGCCAAGAAGAGAUACAGAUACAUGGACCACACCAUCUUGGGAGUAGUGACAGCAUAUAUGCAGAAGAAUACCCCGUGCCUAUUUGCAUGCAUGUCUCAAGUGAUCUGUUUUCUUCAGAAAAUACAUGAGCAUUGCCAGAAAGAAUGGCAAGAGACAAACAUGUCAUAGAGACUUGCAUGUCUUGCCUUGGAUACGCCAAGAAGAGGGACACAUACAUGGAUAACACAAAUCUAGUGACACGUAUAUUCAUCACAAAGGCAAAUCUGAUAAUUUUAUCCAUGGAGCAGACCAAGGAGAAAUUGAUGACGGACAUGUGAUCUCUGUAUUCAGUUGAAAGCUAAUUGAGCUACACUAAUAUGAGCAGGACUAUAUUCAAGAGACUUGUUGAGAGCUACAGGGAACUUGUAAUAAUUUGCUGGGCGGCCUGCGCACAAUGAUUUGUUAUACAUAGUUGAAAUAUUUCAAGAAUUUAUCAACCUCAUACUCUGAAACCCUUGGUGCAAUGUACUCUGCUUUCCGAGGUAGACUGUUCACGUAAAAUGAGGUCAUGCGUAAGACGGAAUCGGAUUGGAUUCACAGGGAAUCAGAUUUGGAUAGCACCUUUUAGCAGGUUUUUAGUCAAAUGCAAAUUCGGAUCCACAUGUGGUUGAAUGCGAGUUCAAAAUUCUACUUGGAUAUCCAUUUAAUUUAGGUGAUAGCAAUUAGCACAAAAUGUUGGAUGAACAAAAUCAUAGUUAGACAUACAAUUACAUGUAUGGUUAAAGUAUAAUACAAUACACCAAGAUUAUUCCUUGAAAAUAUUUCUUAAAAAUAUUAUAAUAAAUGAAUAAAUAUAAUUGUGGCCACCAACAAAUAGUCGGUGGUCGCUAAGUUGGAGCCAUUUCUGGUUACUAAUGCGGCCUUCUCCUCGACCAGCGACGACAGCUGAGCUUGUUCCUUCUGACACUAAAUCAUCAGAGUCUUCCCUCCACUACUAUAGAAUGCACCUUUAGCACCAAUUGGGAAAUCCCCUUCAGUAUUGGAUGCUGCAACCAGUGCUAUAUAUCAAAAUGGAGACUAAAAGCCUCGGUCUUGGGUACCGGUUGCAUAACGCAUUACUAAAGGAGGCAAAAGAGAAAUGUAACAAAAAAAAUAUUUUGAAUUCCAAGAAUGUUUCACUAUUCAAGAUGACUAGCUGAGAGUCAACAGACAAGAUACUAGGAAUGUGGGUGCUUGAAUGCAUUUGUACAGAGGUCAUACUAUUUACAAACUCUUCUAUGUUUCCAUAUGACUACCUACUUCAAUGUCACGCGAGCCAUUCAGCUGGACACAUGGCACACUAGCUUGCAUGUCGAAUCCAUGAUUAAUUAUUUGCACUUGUGAUCUCUUACCAGUAUUUGUCCAGACUAGAAACGUGCAACACAUUUUUAGGAUAUGGACACGCAUAUAUUUGGACUAGUAUACAGGUCACCUUUGGAUGCGUACAAGGAUGACCGGGAGGGACUAAUGGAUACAAGGAAGGGACCAUCAGGAUUAAUAUUGACAUAUGCCACAUGACAAUCUUCAUUGUCAUGCAAUCCCUAUCAACAAUCAUGGAAUCCCUAGUGUACUAAUCCCUGGAGGGUUGUGUGGAAAUUUAUUUUACCUUGCGGUGAAAAUCUCAUGAGCAGUCAUUAGUUAAGCUGACUAGCUGAGAUAUAAUAGACAAGCUAGUAAGAUUGGGAGCAUCAAUGCAUCCAUACAGGGUCACAAUAUCCUUUCCAUUCACUUUUAUAUAUAACCCUACGAAUACAAGUCCAACGAAAUGCGGGCCUUUCGAUCAAGAUAAAUUAAAUGGCCCACUUGUAUUUCUAAUCCAGGAUUAACUAUGCCCUCUGUUCAUCUCUUGCAAGCACGUGCAACACAUUUUCACGAUAUGGACAUGCAUGGAGGUUAUUAUACUGUUUGGACAAACUCUGAUGUGCCAUGACCUAAAUGCUUAGGGCCUGUUUGGUUUGAGUUGCUUAUUAUAAGCAACUUAAAGUUGCUUAAAGUUGCUUAUUUGAAGUUGCUUAUUUUUAGUCUAAACUGUUUGGAUACCCUUGCUUAUGAGCAUUGAAUGAGUUGGACAUUGUCAAAUUUGCCCCAUGUGUUGCUACCCCUCCAAUUUGCCUCCCCACCCUUCUUCUUCCUGCACACGUCCGAUCCCGGGGGCCGACGGCGGGCAGGGAGCAGCAGCAGCUGGCCAGGGCGGCGGUGGGGCGGGAGCGGCGGCGCACACCAGCACGCGCUCGCACGCCAGGUGCUAGGGCGCGGCGAGGCAGUCGUCGUAGCCCACCGGGAGCGGGUGCUCGGGCGCGAGGCGGUACUCGACGGAGAUGCCGAGCGUCGGGCGCGCGGCGGCGAGCGCGUUGAGGAAGCGAUGGUAGUGCGGCGACGUCGCGGACUCCGCCACGAAGCCGCCGCCGUGGACGUACACCACCACGGGCAGCUUCGUCUUGCCGUCGGCGGCCGCGGCCGCGGCCUGGGGUGGCAGGUAGAGGCGGACGGAGCAGGAGCCGAGGUCGACGUCCCUGGAGUCGACGCCCGUGGCGGCGUCCAGGCUGGGCCCGACCGGCGGCGGCACGAGCGGGCGCUCGAUGCGGCCGCUCUUGUAAAUCCGACGGGUCUGUGCGGAGGCGGGCGGCGGGCGGGAGCGGCGGGUGGGAGCGGCGGCAGGUGGUGCGGAGGCCGGCGGCGGCGGGUGGCGCGGAGGAAGGGGAGCUGGUGAGUGGUGACAGGGGAGGGGGGGAGAGAGAGGGGGGGUAGGGUGCAUUGAAUGAGGGCAGGAGGUGUAAAGUGCACCUUUUAGUCCCCAUGAGCAACCAUAAGCAGCCCAAGAGUUGCUUAUUUGCUUAUAAUAAGCAACCUCAUAAGCAAGAGUGAUUGGUUUCAUAAGCAACUUAUUUGCUUAUUUUAAGUUGCUUAUGCAUAAGCAUGUGAAACCAAGCAGGUCCUUAACCUAUGGUUGUGGCACCACACAGUACAUAGUAUUUAAUAAUGCUAUUCGUUUGGUAUGUGCACAAGGGCACGCAUGAAAUGUCUGGCCCACGGUAAACAAGUACGGACGCUGCAAAUAAUCUACUCUGCUCGUCCAGUCCCUAGCCUAUAAAUAGAUGCCAUGCUAGCUCUUGUUGUGCUCACAAUUAAUCCUGACUACACACGAGCUUCUCUCCCUGGCCAAGACACAAUCAUAGUAUGAUGAAGAACAUGGCACUAGCCGGCAAUGGUAUGAAGAACUUAAUCCUCGCUGUUCUCUUACUGUGUCUAGUUAUAGGGCAGAUACAAGUGGAAGCUAAGAGCUGCUGCCCAUCCAUUACUGCAAGAAAUAUCUACAAUGCCUGCCGUAUCACGGGUACAUCCCGUCCAACGUGUGCAAAACUGUCAGGCUGCAAAAUUAUCAGCGGGGACAAAUGCAAGCCCCCUAACGACCACCUCACCCUUGACCCGGACACUGGUAAAUAAUAAAUUUAUCUCACUUGAUUUCUUCGUGUUUUGAGUCGUUAAUGUAUUUUCCAUCUGAUGAAACGUAUUGGUUUUGCAUUG